rnacentral:lncRNA from 1 species
UAAGAUCUUUGAUGUAAUUUCUGUAUAUUGAAUCGUAGAAGAGAGAGAUACAAAGCUUCACCGUAUCGUAUUUACAAACUCAUGACGUAUGUAAAACGCAUACAGGAAUAGUAAGCUCAAACGCUACUUCCACAAUAACAAAAACUGAAUACGUAUUUCUCAACAAUUCUAGUAUUUAUACUAAUUGUCUUCCAACUGCUUCUCUCACGCGUUUUCUUCACACGCUUAACCGUCUUCACUCCCGAGCUAAUACCCAGCUAGACUCAUGCAAUGGAAGAUUUGUCCAAGAUAGCAACACUUCCAAACACCCUUCUUCAUUAUGACGCAUGUCUAAUAAUUCGCUGGGUGCUACUACGAUUUCAUCAACAUCAGAUAAAACCGCUGGCAAUGGUAGAACGUCGUGAUUUGAACCCAAGGCUUCUUUCAAAUGUGAAACAUGGAAAACCGGAUGAAUCCUUGAAUCGGAUGGUAACUUCAAGCGAUAAGCGACCUUCCCAAUUCUCUCUAACACCUCAAAGGGUCCAUAAAAACGGGCAGCAAGCUUUUGACAAAUUCGACGAGCCACUGACUUUUGUCUAUACGGUCGGAGUUUAAGAAACACCAUACUUCCCACUUCAAAAUUCACCUCUCGUCGAUGUUUAUCAGCUUGACUCCGCAUCAACUCUUGAGCUCUCAACAGAUGAAGCCGAAUAUGUUCCAACAUCGAAUCUCUUUCUUUCAGCAUUUCCCCUAGCUCAAAAUUAGCUGUUGAACCUUCUUCAAACCUCACAAGAGUUGGUGGUUCUCUCCCAUAAACCACUGAGAAUGGAGUAUUUUUCAGGGCUGUGUGAUAGUUUGUAUUAUACCACAAUUCUGCCCAUGAAAAAAUUUUUGCCCAUUUCCUUUGAUGAGCUGAUGCUAGACAACGGAGAUAAGUCUCUAAACAUCGGUUUAAAAUCUCUGUUUGUCCGUCAGUUUGAGGAUGGAACGCUGUACUAUACUUCAACUUUGUUCUAGCUUGGUUAAAACAUUUUUUCCAGAAAUGACUGAGAAAAAUCCGAUCUCUGUCAGAGACAAUGGUCUUGGAAAACCCAUGUAAGCGAACAAUUUUUUUAAUGAACUUGUUCACCACCUGAGUUACAGUGAAAGGAUGCUUUAAUCCAAUAAAAUGGCCAAAUUUGCUCAAGCGAUCCACCACAACUAAUAUAGCAUUGAAUCCCAUUGAACUUGGAAGACCUUCGAUGAAGUCUAAACUGAUAUCUUCCCAAAUAGCCUGUGGAAUUGGUAAAGGCUGGAGAAGACCUGCUGGACUGAGGGUAGAAUAUUUAUGAGUCUGACAGAUUUUACACUCAGAGACAAAUUUUUGUAUGGUUUCACGCAUCCCACUCCAGUGAAAAGACUGUUGAACUCUCUUUAGUGUUUUUAGUAUACCCGAAUGUCCUCCUACCACACCUUCAUGUAACUCUGCGAGAAUCAAGGGAAUAUAUGCAGAUGUUGCUGGUAAUACCAAUCUCCUUUUAUACCACAGUUUACCAUCUUUGACGACAUAACCCGGUUUGACUGUUUCAGCAUUAUUUACUCGGUUGAUCAGUAUUUGAAUCUCCGGGUCCUCCUCAAUUUCCUUGAAUAUGUCCUGUAAUUGGACCACAGAAGGUACUGUCAUGGCCAAUAAGGAUGUGGUAACGUUUUCCAAAGGUGCUUGUAAACUCCGAGAUAGUCCAUCCGCCGCCUUGUUUUCGAUGCCCGGCUUGUAUACUAUCUCGAAAUCAUAACCCAACAGUCGAGUAAGCCACUUUUGAUGUUCCAUCGUCACUUCUCUUUGUUCCAAAAGAAACUUAAGGCUUUUCUGAUCGGUAUGAACCACGAACUUCCGGCCUAUUAGAUAAUGUUUUCAUUUCUGAAUAGAUAGAACAAUUGCCAUUAGCUCCUGUUCAUACACUGAUUUCAACUGUUCGCGAGCAGUCAACCCACAACUGAAAAACGCUAUUGGUCUCUAUCUUUGCAUUAGUAAUGCUCCUAACCCAAAACCAGAUGCAUCAGUCUCCACCACGAAAGUGGCAAAGUCAAAACUGGUGCAGACGUCAUCGCUUUCUUUAAUGUAUCAAAAGCAAGUUGAGUCUCACACGACCAUUGAAACUUGUCCUUUUUUAAUAGCUAUGUUAAAGGUCGAGCCAACGUGCUGUAUCCUUUCACAAAACUCCUAUAAUACCCUAUGAGUCCUAGAAAUCCGCAUAAUUCCUUCACUGUUUUGGGAGUAGGCCAUUUUGUCAUUGCUUCAGUCUUUUUUGGAUCAGUUGCCACGCCUUCCUUUGAGAUUAUAUGGCCCAAAUAGUCCACUUCGUUUCUAGCAAAUAAGCACUUCUUCUUGUUUGCAUAUAGUUGUUGUUCAGCAAAAAUUUUCAGGUACAACCCUCAGAUGAGCUUCGUGAUCCUCCACACUUCGGCUAUAUACCAAUAUAUCAUCGAAGAACACUAGAACAAAUUUCCGAAGGAAUGCUCUGAACAAAUCAUUCAUUAAAGAUUGAAAUGUUGCAGGCGCAUUUGUGAGGCCAAAUGGCAUCACUAAGAAUUCAUAGUGGCCAUCGUGUGUUCUAAAAGCUGUCUUUUCGAUGUCACUCUCCUUCAUUCGUAUUUGUUGGUAGCCUGAUCUCAGAUCCAAUUUCGAAAAUAUUACAGCUCCAUGAAGUUCAUCUAGUAGCUCGUCAAUCAUUGGUAUGGGAAACUUGUCAGGAAUUGUUGCUCGAUUCUAAGCCAUGUAGUCUACACAAAACCUCCAACUUGUGUCUUUCUUCUUGACUAAAAGAACUUGGCUUGAAAAAGGACUAACACUUUUCCUGAUCGUUCCUGCAUCCAACACAUUUCUGCUACCAUUUUUUCCAUAACCUCUUUAUGCAUCUGGGGAUAGCGGUAUGGUCUCACAUUCACCGGACCUUGUCCAGGCUGCAAUGUAAUACCAUGUUCGCGGUCUCGACUUCGAGGUAAUCCCGAUGGAAGAUCAAAUACUUCCUCAAACUCUUGUAAUAAGGUUACAAUCAGCUCGGGAAUCUUUUCUGUGGACUCUUCUUUUGGGAUGUUCUUUUCAAACUCCAGACAGACGCCUUUUGAUGUUAUCACUGGAUUCGGUGCAAGUGUCUUCAGAGAUAACCUUUUUGUGUGCAAACUUGUGUCACCAUACAAGGUAAUCCACUGUCCUUGGUAUUUAAAAGAGAAUUCUUGUCGUUUCCAAUCCACCUGACAUUUACCAAGGGUUUCUAGCCACUGCACUCCCAAUAUCAUAUCCACAUUUCCUAACUCCAAUGCUAUGAAAUCUGUCGUGAAUCUGAAUCCUGACAACAAGAAAGAUAUGUCUUUACAUGCUCCAUUUCCUUUGAUCUGUAAUCCAUUACCCAGUAACACUUCUAACUCCUUUUCUGUUGAUAACUGUAACAGAGUUUUCUGCACCGUUGCUGACGAUAUAAAAUUGUGGGAAGCCCCACUAUCGAGCAUGACCACCACCUGUGUCUUCCCGAUAGUCCCGUGAAUCUUUGUGGUCUUUGGUGUAUCAAUUGUCAGAAAUGCGUUCAAUGAUAGAUGUCUCAACUCACCCAUCUGUUCAGUUUCUUCUUCAAUGAAUUCAAACAUGUUCUCAUCCAAGACUUCCACUUCAAAUCCAUUGAGUACUGUCAACACUCGUAGCUCUUGUUUCGGACAAACUUUAUCGUGGCCUCUGAACCACUUGGCAUCACACUUGAAACAUAAUCCCUGACUUCGUUUCACAUCGAGUUCUGCGUCAGUGAAUUUUUGGCGAGGUCUUAUAUUGGUUCGUCCUUGCGUUUGAUUUUCUUUUGAAUCCGUAGACUCAAUAGUCAGCACUUUCGGUUUGAAUGGUGUUGUAUACUGAGUCCGUUGAUUGUUGUAAAAGCUAUUGAUACGAGUAUUGUUCUUUGAUCCAUACUCUCUCCGAGAACCAUCACCAACUAACUUGCAAAAAGCACUACUCUCCAUUGCAAUAUGAUUAGCUAGCCCUUUCGGUUCCUUCAUCUUGAUAACUUCUUUCAUUUCCAGUGUUAAACCAUUGUAAAAGAUGUCUUCCAAGCCUUUAUCAUCUACUCCUGUGACUUGUGACGACAGAUCCUCAAACUCGGAUACAUAGUCUCCAAUGGAUCCCGUUUGUUUGAUCGAGUACAAACGCUUUCCCGGUUCUUCCUCUAGUGAUUCAACAAAUCGUACCAACAACUUCGCUUUAAAGUCCCUCCAAUCUCGGAAACCAUGGCGUUUCUUUACCCAAACAAACCAUUUCUUGACUUUACCAGCUAGUGAGAGAGCAACUAAAUCGAGCUUCGCUUCAUCAUCGUAACGGCCAAUAUCGAAGAAAUUCUCGACUUCCGCAAUCCACACAUAUGGAGCACAACCAUCGAAUAUUGGCAUCUCGAUUUUCUUAAUCAUGCUCUCUCUAUUUGCUAAAUCUGUAUGACCUGACCGAUAACCUAAUGGUAUUUCACUCCGAUUCGUUCCAGUGAAUGAAUUUGGUUCCUGAUUGUGAUUUUGUGAGGAAUUAGGGAUUUCGAUCGGUCGGACACCUCCGUCGGCUCGCGGUGGUAGCUUUGAUUGUUGUUGAAUCGCCAUUAGUAUCGAAUUGAGUUUCUUGUUCAUCUCUGCCAUGCGAUUUUCUGUUUGAGUCUUCGAUUCGCAAAGCCGAGUGAAACCUCCUUGUAAGAACUCUAAUUCAUCGCGCAUCGCCGAUAAUCCUCCAUCUCCUUCGUCGCUGAAUACUUCCGACGGCAUAUCUCCUUUCUGAGCUGAUUCGAUCUCGUCACGACGCACCAUUUGAUAAAAUCUUUAAUGUAAUUUCUGUAUACUGAAUUGUAGAAGAGAGAGAUACAAAGCUUCACCGUAUCGUAUUUACAAACUCAUGACGUAUGUAAAACGCAUACAGGAAUAGUAAGCUCAUACGCUACUUCCACAAUAACAAAAACUGAAUACGUAUUUCUCAACAAUUCUAGUAUUUAUACUAACUGUCUUCCAACUGCUUCUCUCACGCGUUUUCUUCACACGCUUAACCGUCUUCACUCCUCUGUUCUCUUCCUUCCUUCUGUUCAUUUCCUUCUUUUAUACACAUUAAGAGGUCUAUCAGUUGGUUUUGGAAAUGUUUUUAUGUCGAUAAAGUAAAAUCAUAUUUGAUUAAUGGGUUAAAGGAGUUACCUGGAGGCGGCUAAAAUUACGGUGAGGACACUUUGAUUCCAGGUGGAGCUGUUAGGAGAUUCAAGGGAAGACAAGUUAGCUCUGUUUUCAUGAAUCUGGGAAGCAAGUCGAGAGUACAAGGUUCAGGUUAAGGGAUUUACCUGAGGUCAUCUAAGUAGCUGAAGAACAUUGGUUGUUCACUGGGAGAAGCUGCAAAGAAGAUGAAAUUGAGACUAGGGUUAGUUUCAGGUGGAGUAGCUGCAAACGAUUCAAGAAGAGAUUGAUUUAAAGCUCAGUGCACAUGAGAUGAAUCAACAGGUCGAUAAAGAUGAAUCAAGUUUUGUGGAGAAGCUACGAAGUAUAAAAUCAAGUUCGGAUUUCACAGUGUCUCGGAAAUAUCAGUUGAUACAGAGACAGAGCAAGGAGGAGAUGAUGCAGGUUCGGAGGGUUACCUGAUGUCAUCCCAAAAAGCGGAGAAGAUGAAGCAGUUCGUCGGAGAAGCUGAUAAAGAGGAAAAGUCAAAAAAAAUUUUAGAAUUUUGGUGGACUGGAAAUCUGAUGCAGCACAUCGUUGAUUAAUGGGCUUUUAUGACAAACACGUCGCGGGCUUUAAACGUGUUUGUUCAACUAUUAUCUUCAUCUUUUAUUUCUAGUUUGUUUUCUUUUAGGAUCAGAUAAACACAAAUCUUUUAGGAUUAGGAUCUUUCGUAAUCUCUUUAGCUUAUUAUUUAAGGUCGUCGAAUAGCCUUGUGAUCGACACCUUUUUUUGACAUUUAAAGCAUUUAUUCAAGAGCUUGUUUAAGCACUAAGAGGAGUACUCUUAAUCCUUUGUCGUAGUCGAGCUUUCGACUGAGACAAAAUCGAGAUCGUUUCAAGCAAUUCUUCGAGUUCUUGUUGUGAUUUCGUUUACGUAGCUUCCGCCUCUCUAUCAGUUGGUAUCAGAAUCGGUACGUUCCUGAAGGUUGUUGACGUUGAGACAAUGCCUCCGAAGAAGAACAUCAACAACACCGGUCACAACACUAAUUCGACAAGUGAUUGGACCGAGCUUCGUGCUACUCUCCUGGCGAUGCAGGAGAACAUUCAGGCGACGAUUCACGCGUCUAUUCAGGAUAUGGGCGAGACACUAUUGACGCGUUUGGACGCUCGUAUGCCAGGUCGUGCACAGGGUGAGGAGCGUAUGAACAACCCCUUUGCAAAUCGCGAUGAUAAUGAUGACGUGGAGGACGAUGAGUAUCCCAGGCGAGUUCGUCGUGAUAAUUACCAUGGUGAAGGCGGCGACAACAGGUGGGAGUCCGGUUUUCAUGUUGAUAUUCCGGAAUUCCUAGGAGGAAUUCGAGGUGAUGAACUCCUUGACUGGAUCGUUUCGGUGGAGGAGAUACUCGACUUCAAACGAGUUCCCGAGGACAGACGUGUUCCUCUUGUGGCGAUGAGAUUUCGAGGUCAUGCCGCGUCUUGGUGGAAGCAAGUGAAGUCGACAAGAACAUGCACAGGGAAAGAGCUGAUACAGUCCUGGGAGAAAUUAAAAAAACACUUGCGCAAGGCCUUUCUUCCGCACAAUUAUGACCGCCAGAUGUAUACACGCUUACAGAAUCUGCGGCAAGGGAGUCGUAGCGUGGAGGAUUACGCGGAGGAAUUCUCCGUCUUGCUCACUCGCAACGAGCUUCGUGAUUCAAAGCCUCAGCUGGUAUCUCGUUUCAUUGGAGGUUUGCGCCCCCAGCUUCAAACGGCGAUGGCACAGUUCGAUCCUACGACGAUCAGUGAAGCCUUCCGACGAGCUUCAUCCUUUGAACAGCAGCUGAGAUCGUCAGGUUGGACCUCUGGGUCUGUUCGAAACAGAACACAGGAUCCUGCGAGUGUUGCUUCUUCUGCAACGCAUAAGGACGUUGGUGAUAAUGUUGUGCAGUCGUCGCGCGUCACAGCGCCUCCGGAAGACCAAGCUUUACGCCGUUCUAGCCAGCCCAACGCACUAAGAUGCUAUUCUUGUGGCGAACAGGGGCAUCGCCAGACAGCCUGUCCCCACCAGACGCGUCGUGGUCUUGUCGUCGGAGAUACUACAAUUGAUUUGGCCGCGGCUUAUGACUCAAAAGCAGAGGACGAUGACCUUGAGGACUCUGAGAUUGUUCCGACACACGGUGACACAGGACGACUUUUGGUGUUUCAUCGCAAUUGUGUCACACCUCGACGACAAGACGAACAGUGGUUGCGAACUAACAUUUUUUGAUCGACGUGUACGAUUAAAGGACGUGUCUGCACUUUUAUCGUCGAUUCGGGCAGCUGCCGCAACGUGAUAUCUGCUUUUGCGGCUGACAAAUUGGAGAUUCCCAAGGAAGCCCACCCUGCUCCUUAUACUCUUGGGUGGCUGUACGAGGGAGUUAGCGUCCGUAUCACAGAACGUGCACUCGUGGCAUUUUCUAUUGGGCCACAUUAUCGCGAUCGUACGUACUGCGAUGUUGCUCCUAUGGACGUCUGCCACCUCUUGUUGGGUCGUCCGUGGGAAUUCGACAGGAAGAUUAUCCAUGACGGAGCGCGUAAUACCUACAGCUUCAUAUGGGAAACACAUCAGAUCCUUUUAGUCCCUUCACGUGAAGCUUCGUUACCUGCCCCGCCAUCUCCGAUCGUCUCUGAGCCGAACUCGCGUCGCACACCGGCACCAUCGAUAACAACACUCUUAUGUUCAUACUCUGAUUUUACAGCUGAGUUGCGUAGGGAGGCAUCGCGUAUGCACUUCUGCCUUCGUCCCCUACGCGAGUCCUUUCUUCUCGCUCUACAUCGGCACUUGAUGCUGUUUUAGCAGAGUUUGUGGACGUCUUUCCUGACGAACUCCCUACACAGCUUCCACCACUUCGCGACAUUCAGCACACUAUUGAUCUGGUGCCUGGUGCGACGCUUCCCAAUCGUCCACACUACAGGAUGAGUCCUCACGAACACGAGGAACUUCGUCGUCAAGUGGAAGAUUUGCUUCGCAAAGGCCAUAUUCGUGAGAGUCUUAGCCCCUGUGCGGUACCAGCGUUGUUGAUCCCAAAAAAGGAUGGCACUUGGCGUAUGUGUGUAGAUAGUCGUGCGAUCAAUAAGAUUACGGUGCGUUAUCGAUUUCCUAUUCCACGCUUGGAUGACUUACUCGAUCAGAUUGGAUCAGCAACUGUCUUUUCAAAGAUCGAUUUGAAGAGUGGCUACCAUCAAAUUCGAAUUCGCCCAGGUGACAAAUGGAAGACGGCUUUCAAGACGCGAGAGGGUUUAUUUGAGUGGCUAGUCAUGCCAUUUGGGUUAUCAAAUGCACCCAGUACGUUUAUGCGUAUCAUGAAUCAAGCCUUGCGUCCCUUCAUAGGCAAAUGUGUGGUGGUCUACUUCGAUGAUAUCCUUAUCUUCAGCGCUUCUAUGGACGAUCAUGUACGACAUAUUCGUGAUGUUUUGCUUGUUCUUCGCAAAGAAACAUUUUUCGCGGCAAAGCAGAAGUGCGAAUUUGGUGUUCCCGAAGUGCUUUUUCUGGGAUAUGUGGUGUCUGCAAAAGGUUUGGCGGUAGAUAUGUCUAAGAUUGAAGCCGUCCAAUCCUGGCGCGUACCGUCACGGAGGUUCGCAGCUUCCACGGAUUAGCUUCUUUCUACCGGCGAUUCGUGAGCCACUUUAGCUCUAUAAUGGCUCCGAUCACGAGCUGUAUGCGAGAAGGGAAAUUUGAGUGGACUUCUGAGGCAGCCGCUGCUUUCGAAUUAAUCAAGGAGAAGCUCACUUCAGCCCCCAUUUUGGUUUUGCCAGACUUCUCUGUCACGUUUGAGCUGCAUUGUGAUGCGUCGAAACUUGGCAUUGGGGCCGUAUUGAGUCAACUUGGGCGCCCUGUUGCUUUCUUUAGCGAGAAGUUAGCAGGCGCAAGAGGACGCUACAGCACUUACGAUGUGGAAUUCUAUGCUAUCGUCCAAGCAAUUAAACACUGGAGACAUUACUUGAUUCACCGUGAGUUUGUUUUAUUUACUGACCAUGAUGCACUUCGCCAUCUUGAUAGCCAUGCAAAGGUUUCUGCGCGUCAUGCUGCCUGGAUUUCUUACCUGCAACAGUUCACAUUCUCUAUUCGUCAUCAAUCUGGCAAGACGAAUCGAGUCGCGGAUGCGUUGAGUCGCAGGCAUUCUCUCCUUUCAACAAUUCAUACGACGGUGGUUGGAUUGUCUUCCCUCGCGGAACUAUAUACGACUGACCCCUUUUUCAGUCGCAUAUUUGCAGAAGUAUCGAAUGGUCCGAAUUCUGAUUAUACGCUCCAGGAUGGUUUUCUUUUUAAGGGCCUACGGCUGUGUGUUCCUGAGUGUAGCUUGCGUACACAAAUCAUUCGUGAAUUACACAAUGAAGGACAUGUGGGGAGGGAUCGCACCCUGCAGCUUAUCACGACGUCGUAUUUUUGGCCGUCUCUGCAUCGAGACGUUGAGCGAUUUGUUGAGUGCUGUCGCAUCUGUCAGCAGGCAAAGGGCAAGGCGUCUAAUGCAGGCCUCUAUUUGCCUCUUCGCAUUCCGACUCAACCCUGGACUGAUGUUAGUAUGGACUUUGUUCUGGGGCUUCCUCGUACACAGCGUGGCAGUGACUCAAUCUUUGUCGUUGUGGAUCGUUUCUCGAAGAUGGCGCAUUUUAUACCUUGUAAGAAGACAACAGAUGCAGUGAGUGUGGCCAUUUUGUUCUUUCGGGAAGUUUACCGCCUCCAUGGAUUACCAACUUCCAUCGUAUCGGACAGGGACACGCGGUUUCUUAGCCACUUUUGGAGAUCCUUGUGGCGUUUGCUAGGGACGAGCCUAGACAUGAGUUCGGCGUAUCACCCUCAGACGGAUGGCCAGACGGAGGUGACGAACAGGUCGCUGGGCAAUCUUCUUCGCUGUUUGGUUGGUGAUAACAUCAAGUCAUGGGACUCUAAGUUGUGCCAGGCAGAAUUUGCGCACAACCACGCCGUUAAUCGGAGUGUUGGUUUUUCACCUUUUCAGGUUGUGUACGGCGUCGUUCCUCGCUGCCCGCUGGACUUGUCAACACUUCCUGAUCGCACGCGUCAUCAUGGUGAAGCUAUUGACUUUGUGGACAGCCUGCAGCAGGUUCAUCAGUCCGCGCGUGAAAAUUUGGUUAAGUCUUCUGCUAAGUACAAGCUCGCAGCUGAUGCGAAACGCCGUGAGGUGAUCUACAACCCUGGCGACUUGGUUUGGGUAGUCUUGACGAAGGAUCGUUUUUCGGUGGGCGACUACAACAAGCUCAAGUCGCGUAAAGUUGGACCGGUGGAGGUACUCGAGCGUAUCAACGCAAAUGCUUAUCGAGUUCGUCUUCCAGCACACCUGCGCACUUCCGACGUGUUUAAUGUGAAGCAUCUUUCUCCAUUUUAUGGUGAUAACGACCCUGUCGAUUCGCGGACGAAUCCUUCUUCACCUGGGGGGACCUGAUGCAGCACAUCGUUGAUUAAUGGGCUUUUAUGACAAACACGUCGCGGGCUUUAAACGUGUUUGUUCAACUAUUAUCUUCAUCUUUUAUUUCUAGUUUGUUUUCUUUUAGGAUCAGAUAAACACAAAUCUUUUAGGAUUAGGAUCUUUCGUAAUCUCUUUAGCUUUUUUUUUAAGGUCGUCGAAUAGCCUUGUGAUCGACACCUUUUUUUGACAUUUAAAGCAUUUAUUCAAGAGCUUGUUUAAGCACUAAGAGGAGUACUCUUAAUCCUUUGUCGUAGUCGAGCUUUCGACUGAGACAAAAUCGAGAUCGUUUCAAGCAAUUCUUCGAGUUCUUGUUGUGAUUUCGUUUACGUAGCUUCCGCCUCUCUAUCAAAAUCUCAGAAAGGGUCAAUUUCAAAUCAUCAGAACAAGGAGAUGAAAAGGAGAUUGAGGAUACCUGAGAAUACAGCGGAUAACAGCGACAAAGGAAUCGCAGGAGAUGAAAAUUUUCUGGUCGGAGAAAUUUUUUUCAUCUAAUUUCACUAUCAGAGAAAGUUAGCAACAAUACGAGCAUAUCAUGGUAAAAAAAUGCUGUUUACUGGUCCCAAAAAACGAGUUUGUUGCCAAUAUAAAAUGCUUAUGUUUCUCAACCUCAACAAUUCAGACAUAUUAUUACGAUUUGUAGCCCAAAUUUUUGGUCAUAUUUUUCAGUUUUGUGACCUAUUUUUAUAGAGAGAGGGAGGUAAAAAGUAUAAUCAUUGUCAAGUGUACAAAUAGAUCAAAGAACCUUUUGUUGCGAGAAUGGUGUCUAGCAGUGAAAGAACGAUGAACAUGGUGUAAGACCGCAAAAAUCCGAUUGAAAUCACGAUUAGAAAAUAGCAAUAUUAUAAACGAUAUGUUAAGGUAAGAGAUUAAAACGAGAGUUAGAAAACCCAUUGAAAACAGACGAAAACACGGAGUCGAGAUAUGAUCUCUUUCCUUAACUCAAUAAAUCGCCCGUAAUGUGUGACGGUUUGUAACGAUUUUUGAAUCCCAGGAUACAACCGUGAUGAGACUAUUACGCAACACCCUGCAAACUGAAAUUAUACUACGCUAUAGCUCUCGAGACACUUACGAUAUUAAGACGAGAGGGAUUUGCUGGAAAGAAUUAUUUGCUGUGUGUUUGGAGUAUUCGAGAAUUCGAUUAUAAUUCGAUGAUCUAGAAUGAGAGAAGAUGGCGUCUAUUUAUACUGAAAGGUUCAGCUUGAUCCGCAAGGAAUAAGCUUUGGCGAAAAGGAAUAUUCACGAAAUAUUCUCCUUUUUCUGCAAGUAAAAGGAUUCGGAAAUCUUUCGUUAUUAUCUGGACGCAAUCUUUUAUUUCUUAAGAUUUAUCCUUUCAAUAUGCAAAAAAUAUAUCGCAGGAACUACGAAGCCCACAACCCACACCCAGCUAUAUAGAGCCCAAGAGCCCAAGAGCCUUAAGAGCCAACUAAAAAAUGCAACGAGCAACGAGCAACGAGCAACGAGCAACGAGUACGAGCCCGAGCCCGAGCCCGGCACCGGCACCGGCACCGGCGAUGGCGGUGGCGGCGGCGCGCGUAGGUGUUUUUGCAUAAUGCCCUUUUACUUCCACAAUGCUGCUGACCCUUAUUGUGAGAAGGCCAUAUAUAUACAAGAGAUUUUUCUCCUUGGUGAGCAAUGUGGGACAAAUACACUUCUACUAAACUUCCACUUUUAGUUAUAGCCAAUAGGAACAUUUCAUUUCCAUAGGCUCAAACCCAAAUCUCAAAUGAAUUUAUAAGGUCCAUUUGCUUAUUAAACUUCAUUUCUUAUUCACACACAAACUCAAUAUUACAAGUCCAAAUGCUUAUUAAUAUUGGGUUCCAACACAUGGAGCCACAGAGCACAAGACAAAAGUCAGUAGAAUGAAGUAGCAAAGCGGUGAGAUCAAACUUUCGACUAUUUUUUUAUUUCGUCAAAUUUUAUCUGUUUAAUGAGGUCUCUAAUACGACAUACAGAGAGUGUCACUGUGUUUCCAACUCGCUCGACUGUUUUUAAAAAUUGCUUUUUCCAACUAACACAGCCUUUACUAUGCAGAUUUAACCGUUUCGAAGCAUGUCGUCGACGAUGCAGACUAUAAUCUAUCAGAAAGAGUAAUGGGUAAAGGAUGCUACCUGACGAAAUCAAGGUUGACCAUUUAUUAUUGACCGGAAUACCUAGUAUUGGUCGCAUAGAUGCUGAAAGGGACGACUGAUUGAGAGCGGCCGAGGAACUCGCAAUUUGGGAAGCUUUUCAAAUAUCCACCCACCAGGAAAGUUCACUCAGGGGAGGUUGAUUCAUAACAUACUAUGCAGGCAAUUAGUGUCAAAAUGGAGAAAUGAGUUAUUUUUCGUGUUAAUGAGGUUUUCCUUGCGCGAAUUUCACAUUAUUACAGGGUUACUUUGUCAUACAAUACCAAGGGAAAACGAGGUGUCAGAACAUCAGAAUCCAGAUUCGAUCACAGUUUUGAACAAGCUAUUCGGUAGUAAAAAAAGAAAUGACUGUUAUAGAGGUUGUAGAAAUGCUAAUAGAAGACAAAAAAAAAAAAAACAACCAACGAGCAGAUGCAGAUGAACCCAUGGAAAAGGUUUUGCCUGGUUCUCAUUCUUUUGGUGGAUAGUGUGGCUGUGUGCAAUAACAAGGACCUCUAAAUUACUCCAGACUAUGUCUAAAAUCAGUGGCGGACCCAGACAAUUUUUUAAGGGGUGUGAAAUUAUUAGCUAAAAAAAAAAAUUUUUGGUCUUUAUGGAGGUUUGAAACUAGGUUUCGGUGGUUCAGAAAGCCAUGCUCACCAACUUUGCUACUGAUUUUUCACAUUAUUCUAAUACAAAAUUACAUCUAUUAAGGUUUAAAGGGUGUCAUAUGACACAGUAUCCUCUUUACUAGGUCCGCCUCUGUCUAAAAUGCUUUAUGAUUUUAAAUACUUUUUAACAUAUCUGUGAGGCAGAAAGUCCUUCAUUAAUACAAUGAAGAGGUUUGGACCUCUUGCUCAAAGCAAGAAUUAUCCGAUAGAUAAAUUGAAGACACAAUUGAAGCAGCAAAAUAGUUGUUGUUACGGUUUUCCAUUUGCACUUCAGUUACAAGCGUUUGAGGCGAUACCCCUACUUCUGUCUAAGAUCCCUGAUAGAGGAGAUGAUUUAAGCUCAAACAUCAUUCACAAACAAAAGGAGAUAAACCAGGUGGAAGCGGAUCUGCAGGUUAGUACGUACACCAAGGUUGUACACCUAUAUACAUUUCUCGGUUAUGAGUAUUGUUUGCUGAACACUUAACGUUAGCAUUAGUGUUGAGCAUGAUAAUAGUGUACAAUAGCAUAAGUACAAAAGUGUUGAACACUCUAUUAAGAAGUGUACACUUUGUAGUUGCUAGUACAUUACAUUUUUUGUGUACACUAUAUUUGGCAGUUUCUAUUCUCUAAUAGAUUCUUAUAUUUGGCAGUUGAGGGUUGAGUACACACUGUUGGGUGAGGUAGGCGUCAACAACAUGGAUUUCCAUUGGGAUGAGGAAGCUGUAGAUGAUAAGGUAGCCUAUAUGGAGAAGCUGUUGCUGAAAGAACACGAGUUUAAGGAAUUCGAAUGGCCAGGAGGAGACACUUCUCUCCCCUCUGUUAAAGUUGAAGUUGGCAGAAAAGUGGAACUUGUAGAAAAUAAAGGCGUGCAUGACGUCACUAAGGAGCAUCAAAGGAAAGAAAGGGGCAGAAAACUGGAAAAACUGUUGGGAGAGAUAAGAAAUAAAGGGAAAACGCGAGACACAACUCCUAUUUGUUUUAGUGACAGUGUUAGAAGCUGUAGAAGAUCUCUUGGCCGGUAAUGGUAAAAAAAAAUUGUUUAUAAACUGUUUUAAAAUUAUUCUAUUUUGUUACAAUAUUAUUCUAAAAAAAUAUUUUUUAUAUAUAAACUUUAUUUCGAAAGUUAGAUAUUAGUUUAUAUAUCUAAAUAUUUCCUUAAAUAUAGGUCAUAUUAAAUUUAAAUUAAACUAUUUAUUUUUUUAAUUAUAUUUAAUGUUAAAAUAGAUAUUAAUUUAAAUUACUCUAGACUUUCUUAAAUAUAGGUUAGAUUUGAUUUAACAUAUAAAAUUUAAAUAAUUCCAGAAUAACACAUAUGUGAUUAACGAAUUGUUAUUUUCAAUAAUAUCCAAUCAAACUAAAAUUUCACAUAUUUAAAUCUGAUAAAUAUUAAUAUUAUAUAGUAAUUUGAUAGGGUUAAUUAGGUUUUUUUAUAAUUGUACUCUUAUACAGGUUAGGUUAUCAAAACAUGCAGAAUAUUAAGAUAAAAAUUAUUUCAAAAUUAAUAAAUAUUUAUAUUAUAUAUAAUAUAAACAGAUGUGUUAGAAUUAUGGUCUUCCAUGGUUCUUUUCGGAUUAAUAAAAUGAGCGAGUUAGAAAUAUACUUUUAUAAUAACAGUCAUUUUUCAGUUAAUAGAAUGGUUGGAUUAGAAUUAUAGUUUUAUGAUAGUGAUCAUAAUAAUACUAGAAAAAAAACUAAAAAUAAAUUAUAAUUAAUAAUAAAAAUAAAUCUCUAUCACUGAUUAAAAAAAUUAUAUCUAUAAAGAAAACAUAAAUUAUUUUACAUUUUUUGAUUAAAAAAAUUCUCGUACGGAUGCACGGGAGGAUAAAAUCUAGUUAUCAAUUAAAGCAAUGCUGAUUGUUCUAUGCUGACGAGUUGUUGUGUGUAUAUAAAUUUCUAAUAUAAAUCUAAGAAACAAAAUCAUAUGGAUAUAAAUCCCUAUUAUGGUUAUCAAACCCAAAACCAUUCUAUUCAAGCUUCAUGAUUCCAAGACCAGUCCUAUGUUUCGAGCCUACACUUUUAAAUCAUCUAACAUGUUCUUCUCAAACCAUGAAUGUUUGCAUUGUUUAUAGUUUUUGGUUUCUGGUUUUUAGCUAUUGGGUUUUGAUUUUUGGAUUUUGGUUUCUAAAAUUUCAGACCAAAAACAAGAUACACACCGUGGAUUUAGUGUUAGAAAGCUUGAUUUUGAGUCUUAAGAACCAAUCCUUUAUGUCAUCUGAAAUCUCAAUCACCCUCAUAUCUGCUGUCUGAUGGCUCUUCUUCAUCUUUCUCGGCAUCCAAAAGGCUGUAACAAAAGCAAAACCUCGUGUGGCUCAAAUCUUCUCAAAUCUAGCAUUAUCUGUAUUCUAGAUUGUUGCUCUAUGUUGGAUCUUCUCAAAUCCACACUGCUAACAUCGUGAAAUUGUGCAUAAUCCAGCUUCUCGUCGGCUCCUUUCGAGAUAAGACCAAAGACAAACUUGUUUUGAGAAAACCACUGCAACCUUUUACCAAUCUGUUGAAACGCCAUAGAUUGAAGCUUAAGGAUCCCAUAGAUAGCCUGAGCUCUGACAACAUGUUGAUAUUUCUAGCAAAGUGAUUCUAGCUUCAUUAGUGGAGCUUUAUCUAAUUAAAAUGAAAUAGCUCAUAAAGAGUUUUAUUGUGUAAGAAAGUAAAAGAGGAGAAAACUAAUUAAGAACACCGAGCAAAUAGCAAAUCUUUAAGAUUGAUAUUAAAAAGAGGACAGGGAGGUGGCUCAAUCGGCAACCCUAGUUAAUUCAUUUGAUAUAUAUAUAUAUAUAUAUAUAUAUAUAUAUAUAUAUAUGAAUCAAUUACUAGAAUACCUAGUAACAUAGACUUAGGUGUUGAUUGGUUCACCCGCUAUCACCAGUAAACGCUGCGUUUGCGGUUUGUAGCAGUUACUGACGUCUUAUAACAAUUAUAUAAAUCGCUGCAAACCGCUUCGUAUCGUUUUAUACCGCUGGAAUCCAAAAGUUACUUCCCACCAGCAUUUGCGGUUGCGGGCGGUAGCGGUUGGAUAAAAAAAAAGUCAUGCUAAAAAUAAUGAAAAAUCAAGUUAAAAACAAUUAUUAAAAUCUAAUCUUUACAUUACUAGACAUAAUUUUGGGUAAUGUUCCUAACAGUUGAAAUAAAAUAUUAUUCUAAAAUUUAUUAGUUUUUAAAAUAAUUAUAUUGUAUUUAUUUAUAUUUUUUAUUAAUUAUUUUGAACUAGUGAUUUUGAUAUUAAACAUAAGAAUAUAGUUUUAUAUUUUUUCAUAAUUAUUUUUGAUAUUUAUUUUGGUAAUUUUAUGUUUAACCACUAAAAUAUUCGCUGGUUCACCAGUUAAAAAUAUCUCGCAAGCGGAUCCGCCUUAAAAAUUUUAACCAGUCGUGCAAACCGCUUAAUAACGUUCAAAAUCAUAAUCGUCUAUUUCCGCAAAUUCUCGUACUCGCAACCGCAACCGCUGCGUUUAAACCAGUCAGGCCCUUAGAAACAAUGGGCUUGUGAAUGAUAUUAGGCUUCAAUAGUGUGUAUGACUAUUUCCGCACAAAUAUGAGAUUUAAAUCUACGAUAUCUGCAAGGAAAUGCGUUGGCGGCUCUUCAAAGUUACCACACAAGAGCAAACUGCAAAAAUACCCACCACAAGCAACAUUGGUAACUAGUUUUAUCAUUUCAUCGAAACUUUGCAAGAUGGUUUGGUCGAUGUGAAUUAAAAAAGACUGGACGAUUUGCUAUGAUGCUACAAUUAUUAUUGGUAGAUAUAUGGAAUAUAUCCGUUUCUAGUAUAUUUGCAAAUAUUGUGUAUAGUUUGCAUAUAUCUCUAGUAUGUAACCUUCCUCUUUCUAUGGGAAUUUAGGGUAAAUACAUAUAUAUAUAUAUAUAUAUAUAUAUAUAUUGAUCUUCGGCUCCUACAUCAACACAAGAAAACCUCCAUACAACAUUGGCUUUUUUUGACAUGGUAUUAGAGCUUUGAUUCGCAAACCUAGCUCAUUUUUUUCGCUUACAUUUUUUCUUCUCAUCUAUUCACUCUUCGUGUUCUUCGCUGUGAUUCGAUAUGGAAAAAGACAAAGAAAGUGGGAACAAUUCGGAGUUGUCGGCGACUAAAACCUCCUGGAUUUAAGAAGUGAACGAGACUCUCCUGGAUUUUUGGGUCAAGUUUGGCGCUGAUGCCGACCUGGCCCUCUGGUCGUAUCUCGUCGAUGCAGAAUUGUGUGAUGACCUCUUGCUUUGGUUUUGUCUUCUGGAGGAUAAGGUCGGUUGUUGUGUUUUGAGAGCUAAUCAUGCAGGCUUGGUUAGCGGAUCGAAGUUUGCAUUCGUUGGUAUAGCAGGAUCGAGCUACUGCUUGAUUACCCUUAAGAGUGUAUAUGCCAUCAGGAGUUGAAAACUUGAGGCAUUGGUGAUAGGUGGACGCUACGGCUUUCAUCGCGUGGAGCCAAUGUGUUCCUAAGAUGGCGUUGUAGAUUGCUGGUUUGUCGAGGAUGAGAAAACCUUGUGUAGCGACAAUGGCACAAAGUUCAUGUGCAUGUCAUCUUUCUUCCGUGAGCGCAUUCUUACUGCCGCUUACCUGAUUAAUCACACUCCUACUCCUCUCCUUGCCGUAAAACCACCUUUUGAAAACUUUAUAAUCGUCAUACACCGCUUUCAUCACUUACGCAUCUUCGAUUGUUUAUGCUAUGCCCAUAAUCAACAUCACAAGGGUGAUAAAUUUGCCUCCAGAAGCAUUAAAGGUUUUUUCAUCGGGUAUCCUUAUGGGUAGAAGGGUUGGCGUGUUUUUGACUUGGCCUCCGGCAAAAAUUUUAUGUCUCGUGAGGUUGUCUUUUGCGAGUCUGAGUUUCCAUUCGCCUCAGAAUGAUUUUUCGCCUCUUACCGGUGAUUCUUUGCCCCUUUGUGAUGGACUUGAUUUUGGAUAAGCUGAUGUCUCUCCUCCUUCUGUGUUGAAAUCACCAUUGUUAUCUGCAAUAGAGAUUACACGGGAAAAAGGCCGAUUAGUACCUCAACACCAUCAUCUGCUACCAAUAAAUACCCAAACCAUUUUGAUAGGUUAAUCAGUACCUGAACUUAUUAAAAUCAGUAAAUACAUACCUCAACAAUAUUUUUGUGGCCAAUAAGUACAUUGACUUUCUGUCUGUUAGUCAAACAUAUUAACUUGCAAACGGAAUCCGACUUGGAUACCACUGUGGAUACUCUAUUCGAAUGAAACUAAUACGACGCCGUUUAAGGUUAAAAAUCUAGAAAAAAGGCAAAAACGACGUCAUUUUAAAUUUAUUAUCCAUUAAAAAAAAAUACAGCAUCUAUAUCUUCUUUCGUGGGAGAAAAACAUUGAUAGUUAGGAUUUGGGUGGUGUUCAAAAUCAAAUUGGAAUGACUUCAUCGUCGAAUGCUAACGCUUCUUCGGAGAUUCAUGGUAGGUUUAGGUUUGCAAUUUUGGUUUUGAUUUUGAUUCAAACACUUUCGGAAAAUCAAAUCGAAAAUUUCAAUUUUGAUUUCUUUAAUGUAUAAUAAAUUUAAAACGACGUCGUUUUGGCCAAAAAACAUUAUUGAGGUAUGUAUUUACCGAUUUUAAUAAGUUCAGGUACUGAUUAACCUAUUAAAAUUGGUUGGGUAUUUUUUGGUACCAGAUGAUGGUGUUGAGGUACUAAUCGGCCUUUUUCCCGAGAUUACACCUCAACCAACAACUUAUUUUGAACCAGCUUCUGCAAUUGAACCAGCAUUUGUUAUCACUCUUGUACCGAUUUCUGUUACUGAACCAGAACAAGUAAUUACUACCGAACCGGUUUCCAUUAUUGAACCAAAUCCGGAUAUUCAGACUGACUCAGUGACUCAGAUUCUCCAGUUCGUUCCAAUUUGCAAAUUGAAGAUAUCCUCGUCAACUGCUGCUUUUGACUCUUUGCGCGUUGUUUCGUCUUCACCAACGACUUCAUCAUUGUCGCCUGAUCAGUCUUCUGCAUCUCCAAUGACUUCAUCUCCUUUGGGUUCUUCUGUGACUAUGCCUGCUUCCUCAUCUGAUGAGAUUAUUGAAGGGUGAUUUGCAUCAAUAUUAUGUUUGGAGGAGCAAAUUAGGCGAAUGGCAUCGAAAAGGAGUCAAUUCAGUGUGUAGCAGAAGUCAACCAAAAAGUAGGGAUGGAAAAGACACUAUGCCCCUUGCUCCCGUAAAGAAGACAUUGCUUUUUCUGUGUCAGAUAGGGACCACAUGAUGAUAGUUAAGCGCGGACGCUACCUGGUUUUGGCGACACUACCAACGUUAACUUUAGUAACUUUUUGCCCAUCCCUUAUGUUGUUUGUCGUAUAGUUAAUUGUACGGAUCGGUUAAGUGGAGGGGACCCUUGGGAUCUCAAAUAAAUAGCCAACAAGAAAGUCCCAUAAACCGCCUCUAGUAAACAAUUGUCUUAGGGCUUGUCUACUUCUUGGUUUACCAAGGUAUGUCUACUUCUGUGGAAAAAAUCCGACUACGAACCAUUUUGUAGUUGGCUAUUUAUUAACCUCUUCACCCUUGUUUGUGUAGAUGGCAGGAAGGCAGAUGGUGUUGUUGGUGAAAGGGAAAUAGUUCAAACAGAGCAACGGAGUGUGGACUUUCCUUACGGACCGCACUGGGAAUACUAAAGCGGUGUUCCUAAGCGCGCGGAUGAUAUUUUGUGAGGUGGUAAAGCUCGUUAAGAAGAAAAUGGGUAUCAAGGAAGAUGUCGGCAUAACACUUACUUUCCAGUGGCCCUCAUACAUGCUGAUGGACGACGGCCGCGACGCGCCACCGGUGCUGAUGUCGUCAGAUGACGAAGUGUCUCUUUUUGUGGAAAUGAGGUCGGAAAUCGACCAGCUGAACCUGUGCGUCACCACAGACGAGAUUGUGAGUGUACCUGGAAAAAAAGGAAAGAGCUUUGGUUGUCCACGGCACGACGGAGGAUGACGACGCGGGCGGUGACGGUAAGACGUCUACAAAUAGCUGACUAUCGCAUAGUCCACUACAUGUUAUACAUAAAUAUGUCUAAUACGGUAUGUAGUUAACUAUAAUAUCGAUGGUAUCCUUGUGUGACAUAGUUAACUAUUUACCCAUAUAUUCACGCCAUAAACAGAAAAUUUCACUUCAGGAUGGUAAGACGUCUACAAAUAGCUGACUAUGGCAUAGUCCACUACAUAUUAUACAUAAAUAUGUUUAAUACGAUAUGUAGUUAACUAUAAUAUCGAUGGUAUCCUUCUAUGACAUAGUUAACUAUUUACCCAUAUAUUCAGAAAGUGAGUUUAUAUUCACAAAAACACCAUUGGGUAGUCGUAGUUAUUUAUUGUUAACCUUCUCAUGGUAGUUGUCUAUUGGUGCAGUCCCGUCUAAUGAAGAAGAGUGUGAGAGGCUGGACGAGUUAGCUGUCAUCUCUUUGGCCAGAGAGGAGCCGGACUUUGAGAAGGGUGAAGAUUUCGUCGGAGAGGGUAACCAAGAGAAUGUGGAUGAUGCUGGUGAGGAGGUACCCCUCGAGGAUAACAGUGACGCUGAAAUAGCUCGUACCAAAGGAAAGGCUAAAGUGCCGGAUUGUGGACCUGGUUAUGUGCCGGAUAGUGGAGCCUAUGAAAAGGGAGAGUGUAGCCGCAAUUCAAGCAGGUACAGUUGCGCAGACGAAACUAUUAAUGGUGUUUUCUCUGAGACAGAUGAGGUACCAGCAAUGUUUGGAAGGGAUGCUCUGCCGGUUGUGGAUGAGGUUUCUGAUGAUGGUAUGUAUAUAUAUAUAUGUAACUACCUUCAUAGCUGUUUACCAUUGAUGGUAAGUAUAUAUAUAUAUAUAUAUAUAUAUAUAUAUGUAACUACCUUCAAUUAAAUCGAUUUUCAGGGAUAGACGGUGCAUUGAGAGAAAUGCGAUACAAAGGGGAUGGUAUUUUUGUUGGCAGAAUCUUCAGAAACAAGGUGGAGUGUAAAAUUAAGUUGGCUAUUCACGCCAUAAACAGAAAAUUUCACUUCAGGACCCCACGGUCAACACCCAACUACAUGGAGUUUCUUUGCAUCAAUGAGACAUGUCCAUGGCGGGUAUACGCUUCCCUCAUGGGUGCGAGUGGGAACUUCCAAAUUAAGAAGGCCAAACUGAAGCACACAUGCCCAAUUGAAGACCGUCAGAAAUAUCACAAACAAGCGACAACACAAGUGAUUGGUGAGCUCAUCCAGACAAGAUUUAUCGCAGGACAAAGAGGUCCUGGCCCAAUCGAAAUCCAGCGAAUCAUGCUUCAGGAGUUCCAAGUGAAUUAUUUCGUCACCUUGUUCUUCAAGAGCACACGAAUCGGUAUCUGACUAUAACUAGUUGACUCCUUGAAUGACGUAACAGAUAUUUUUGGUGUUGUGUCUACUUAUGAAAUGUAGGUCAACAUUUCAUAUUGGAAGGCGUGGAGGUGCAGGGAACUUGCAUUGGAGAAAGCAUUUGGUUCAGUCUCUGGAAGUUUCGCAUUGCUCCCUUCUUACUUGGAGAAUCUGCAAAACUCUAACCCUGGGACAGUUUGCAAAACAGAGUUCGGUGUGGACAAAAAUGGUUGUCAAAGAUUCAAGUACCUAUUCAUAUCGUUUGCUGCUUCAAUAGCUGGACUCCCAUAUUUAAGACCGGUGGUGAUUAUUGAUGGUAAGUUAGUGACUACAAAAAUAGGACUCGUUGCUAGUUGACUACUCAUAUCAUUAUAACAUUGUUAGUAAUUGACUACGUUGGUAAUUGACUACUAUGUAAACACUUUCCACUUAGCAAUGUACACGACGCUACUUACUUAGACCUCUCUAUUCGUGCAGGGACCCAUCUGGUAGGCAGGUAUGGGGGCUGUCUGAUAUGUGCCAGUGCUCAAGAUGGGAACUUUCAGAUCUACCCAAUUGCAUAUGCAGUUGUGGACAGCGAGAACGAUGCAUCUUAUGAAUGGUUUUUCAAUUGCUUGAAAACUAUAAUUUCCAAUGACCGUGAUAUUAUGUUUGUUUCAGACAGACACGGGAGCAUCUACUCUGGUCUCAACAAGGUUAGAACUAGAUAGCUACUCUAUGAUUACAAGUAACCGAUAAUUGUUUAUAUAUAGUGGACUACUAAACAUUACCUGUCUUUCUUUGAUUUUAGGUGUUCCCUGCUGCCGGCCAUGGGGCGUGUCUUGUUCACCUAGCAAGGAACAUCACCGCACGGUUUAAAGAAAGCCGGCUGCCUGGUCUGAUGGUAUCAGCUGCUAAAGCGUAUACUGUGAAUGAGUUCCAUCAGAUAUUUGCAGAUCUACAAAACAUAAGUCCUAGCUGUGCGAAGUACUUAUUGGAUUUAGGACUGCCACGCUGGACGCGGGCAUACUGCAACGGCGAACGAUACAACGUUAUGACUACGAACGUUGCGGAGUCUCUCAACAAGGUCUUGAAAGAGUGUAGGGAAUUUCCACUAAUCUCGAUGCUUGAGGCCAUCAGGAUGAGUCUUAUCAGCUGGUUUGUAAGGAGGAAAGCUGCUUCAGCGGCACAGCAACAUGCUAUCAAUCCGAAAGUACGUGACCUGAUGGACGAAAACUUCCAUAGUUGCACCGAGUUAAAGGUAAAAUAGUAGUCGACUACAAACUAUCGGUUAUCAGUUAAUAUGUCUAUUUAUUUGUUGUAUUUGGCUACUUGUAAUGGACUAUGUUGAUAUUUAGGUUGUUGUGGUCGGAGAUGAUGAGUAUGAAGUUUACGACAGACAGGGGGAAAGGUUCGAAGUGAACCUUGUUUUAAAGACUUGCAGCUGCAGGGAGUUUCAAAUGCUUCUCAUACCAUGCCGUCAUGCAAUGGCAGCUUCUUCGUGCAGCAAGAUUGAGCUCGAUAAGCUUGUGGGGGAGGUGUACACAACAAGGUACACGAGAUCCCUUUAUGAAGGAGCUUUCCACCAAGUACCAACGCCUGUAAGUUCUGGUGGGACAGAACUACUUCCACCACUGAUGCGCCGACCCCCAGGCAGACCAAGGAAAACAAGGAUCCCAUCCCGGGGAGAGCUGAAGGUAGUAAUUAAUUAUGUUAGUAUGUGUCUACCGCAUAGUCAUUUACGUGUCUUCUGUACUAAACCGUUUGCUUAAUUGUUUACAAUCGUUUUAUCACUUAAACAGAGGCGUUCGAGGAAGACGACGAGGAUUUGCAGCAGGUGUCUUGGAAAGGGUCACAACAGAGCUUCAUGCAAACUUCCGGUGCAUGAAAGGUAAGUCAAGUCGCAGGGGUUAUGUAGGAAUGAGGCAGGGAGAAAUCGGAUAUGAUGCACUUCAAGGCAAUUUAAGGGUCAACAUUUUAUGUCGGUUCUUAUCUCGUGCUUAUUUGAAGCUUUUUUGGUAUUAUGCAUCCUAUAAUAUGUAAUUUGGAUAUUGGAAAGGGAUCACUAUUGGAAAUUUUUUUGUAAGGCCUCAGAUACUUUUCUCUCCUACUUAUUUUGUUAUUUCUGAAUUCGAGACUAUGGUAAAAUAUGUUCUUUAAUAUUGUCAUUGUUGGUUCAUUGGGAUUAACUUGAGUUACUAGCUCCCCGUGAUAGUCAUCUACUUGUAGUUAAUUAUCAAUUCCCAAGAAAUAGUACCAAUAUUUCCCUUAACUUAAAUUAAUAAUUAUGCAGUUUGGAUUUACAUUUGUGAGACUUUAUGUGAUAAUCAGCUACUUGUAGACAUAUACUAGUUUGUAAGGAUAUGUAUUUGUAAAAAACAGAUGACUAGUAGUAGUUAUUAAUGACGAAGUUUAUAACACACACAAACAUAAUAAAAUGCUAAAACUAUAAGUACCUAAAGCGAAAUGCGAUGUUUGACAGAUGAUAAGUUCAUAAAACAACUAGAAAAUAGGGUUCUCUAGGAAAUAUGGUGAGGAUCAAGUUGGAGGGUCUUGGGAAUGACGACGUCGGCUAGAGAAGGCGGCUCGAUCAAACAUAGGAGAUCAUACGCAAACUUAAGAGAUGCAUCACGAAGAACAUCAUCACCCACAACAGUGUCUAGAGGCAUAUUGGCAGCGUGCAACUGAAGAGACAUGAGUGCCAGCACACCGAGAUGGCCUUGCGGACACAAAACAAAAUAUAUAGUUAACUACAUGUAAUGACAUACUAAGUAUCUGACCUUUUGAUAAAGUAGCACAUACCAGAUGCCGAUGUCUGGAACAUUGGUUUCACAAUUUUAAUUGUGAACGGCGUUAGAUCGUCGGCUUUCAUCUCGGAAUUGUAGGCCACUCUCCUGAUAAAAUGUGGUAGAGUCUGUGCUAGCGGUGCAACACUUGUUUUAAGUUUUAUCUCUUUGAGAGUCGCAUACGCAUUCAAUACCAUAACCUUGUGGCUUUCGAAAUCGAUGCAUAGACCCACCCAGUAUCGGUCAUCAACUUGGUAAGGACAAUAAAUGUGAGCAACCUGAGUGUACCAUGAGCGCCUGGAUUUGACGUAUGCGGCUGAACCAGUAGGGAGUGAGAGAGGUUUUCUUUUCGGGGGAUUUGUUAAUUGUGGAAGGAGUUCAACAAUGCCGUGAAUGAAGGUGUACUCAACGUAAUCAUAAGUGCACUGAUCGUCGUUUAAUUCGGCCAAUUGGUGACGGAAUAACCUAAGAACGCUGUCGAUAGUCUACAAUAAAAAGAGGGAAAAAUCAAACAUAAGUAGUCAGCUAUUUAUUAUGAAUAAGUAGUCGACUAUUUAAAUGACUUACCAUGACGGAAAUUGGGUAUUUCAAAUCGACGAUCUCUUUCAAAAUGUUCACUGAUAGGACAAUUCCAUCCCAGCUAGGCAAAUGCCUACAGAAUCCAAUAAACAAAAGGUAAUGUCAUCUGCCGUCAAAAACCGAUCAACAACAACUAAAGAUUAUACUCACCGACUGUCUUUCAUUCUACUCUGCAGGAGGAUGACUUGUUCAAAGUUCGGUGUUGGAAAGAAGUGCGACAGCUCAACCGAUUUCUCAUUCUUCUUAACACGUUUUUGUCGGGGGAAUAUAAAAUCGGUCAUCUGUGAUGAAGGCACGGGUAGUCGUUUACUCUUGCGAAUAGCUCCUUGUCCUUCUGCUCCCUUUUUAGAUGGUUGGGCCAUGUUUUUUUCUUCCUGUGUAAGACCAAGUGACCAACCAGGAGGCUCAACCCCUGCUGGAAUUUCGAUCUCUGCCUCAGGAUUUGUAGGUUCAAGAAUAGUGUUCUGGGUCUCCAGCAUGACCUAGGUAACAUUAGUAAACAAUAAAAAAGUAGUCGAUUAUUUAUGUAACACACUACGUUUUAUACGUCUAUAUAGAGAACGUAAUCGACUACUUUAUGAACCUGCGGAUCGUGAACCCCAAGAGGGACAUCUUUAUCGGCACCGGAUUGGUCGUUCGCAUCUAAAACCUAAGUACAAUAGAAUAGAUAAUCGACUAAGUUAGACGCAUAGCCUAAUACAAAUAUAGAAAGUAAUCGACUAUUUUAUGAACCUGCGGUUCUGGAGGGACAUCUUUGUCGGCCACAGUUUGUUCGUUAGCUUCUAAAACCUAAGUAUCAAAGCAUAAAUAGUCGACUAAGUUAGACGCAUAGUCAAAGACAAUAUAUAAAAGAUAUAAUAAUAGAUAGUCAUCUAUUGUACACUAACCAGAUCUUUAUGUGGGAGUCCAGAAACGAUAGACGAAAACUCGUUGACAUCGGUUUGGUCCUUGUCUUGUAAUACCUGAGACUUCCGGUGGCAGAUAAUUGAUAACAGAGAUGAACUUACUUAUAACCGAUAAACAAUGGUAAAAACAUCUACUCACACUAACCGGUCGUUGUGGUGGGAGUCCAGAAAUAAAAGGCACGUGAAGGGAGUUAUCCUCGAAGGUCUGGGUCUGCUCUGCCAGCUUCUCCUACAAAGGUAGUGAAAACAAAACAGACGAGGUUAUUAACUAUUUUAUAAAUAGUAGUCAACUAGUUAUACCAACCUGAUCGUAUGGUGGGUCACUUGUGUUGACGUGUGUAACCCCAUCGUCUUCCAUUUGACGUGUGCUAGCAAUGUCGGAAUCGUACUCAGAAACCUUUGGAUGACUUUCUGGAGGGUCUAAAUUGGCCUACAAUAACCUAAUAAAUUAACGAGAUAACUUAUUUGAGUAUAUACUUACUAAUAGUUGUCUACUUACCUGUGCGGGUGGGGACAAAAUAGGAUGAGUUUCUGAACUGUCUACAUUGACCUACAUAAACGAUAGGCAGUUAAAGUAAUUACAACUUACGUAGAUGCAUACUAAUAGUUGUCUACGUACUUUUACAGGUGGGGACAAAAUAAGCUGAAUUCCUGAAGCGUCUACAUUGACCUAUAUUAAGGAGAGAAAUUGUAAGUAGGGAGUAAGUGCAGUGUACGUAGAUGCAUACUAGUAGUUGCCUACGUACCUGUCCAGUUGAUGAUAAAUCUGAAAGAACAAACGCUAUUUGGUUAGUCGCGAUAGUUGCAUCGUCUUCGACAUCAUCAACAUCGACCUGCAUUUCGUUAGAAACGUCCACACCAACAUCAUCUCCCGUUCUAUCUUCUUGGUCAUCACCAUCUUUAUCUUCAAUACCAUCACCGACAGUACUAUCAGCUCCGUCGUUAGGUUCAGCAGAAGUACGGCUUGACUCCUUCGUCUUGGUAGCGUGAUCAGAGGAAGACUUGGAUUCCUCACAGGAAGAUAUUUGCUGAAAUCUAACGUGCUUCACUUUCUUCUUACUGGAUUUGACCCUACGAGCAGGCUUUCCCUUAGAAGGUGCUCGGACUUGGGAUGAAGCGCCUUUUAAGCUCGCAAUAUAUUCCUUAAAAGUGGACAAAUACCUCGGUCCGGAGAUCAACAAAAUCUGCACGAAGGCUUUUUAUCUCCGUUAAGACCACUGCAUUAGCACUUUCGACCUUAUCAAGAAUGGAAGAAGCAGCCGUAUCUAAAUGCACAUCGGAAGAUGUAUUCUGGGAAGAUGACGCUGGUGUCUUGGUAUGCUUUAUAUGAAAGUGUUCUUUUUCACCGCCAUUCCAUGUCUUCCUUGAAAACUUUUGACCGUCAUUGAUUGCUGCCACUAAGUUGUCAACGCUUUCGUCUGGGACAUCAUCAUCAAACUCCAGGUCGGUGUCAUCCAGUAAAUGUUCAUCGUCCGGUAAGAUUGCCUUGACAGCAACCUGGAUAUGGUAAAAUAGUUUCAGUAGACAACUAAUGUGAAUCUGACUACAAAAAACUGACUAUUAGACAACUACUGUAUACAUUUUUCCGGUUCCGAUCAGAAUUUGUAAUGGGUGAACAAGAUAACAAUGUACUGAUAACUGUCUAACAGUAGUCAACUAUCGUUUAUUUGACAUACCUUUUGGUUAUUGUCGAGAAACUUCACAUGAGGCAUAGAGAUGUUAACAGGUUUCAUAGCACCAUGACUUAAACUUGGGGAUUCAUCUUCUUCAUCCUCUUCAUCCGUCAAAGAAGGCUUGCUGGAUUUAGCUUUUAAAUCCUUUUUCAGUAUAGAAGGCGCACACUCCAAAACGACCAUCUGUAGUGUAUGUAGAAAACCCUGAAAAGCACAUGUUGGCUGACAAGGGUACGAUGUGGUAGCUGUCCUAGUUUUGAUGCUGUUAAUGGUCAGAUCAAAAGAUUUGCGACCCCAAGGAUAUUCCAGAAAUUGGUCAACAUCUUUUACCAUCAUGAUGUGCUCGGCACUUAUCUUAGCGUUUCUAGAAGUGGGACAUACAAUACCAUCGAUGAGGAGUAAGCACGCCAACUUAAAUCGGGUGUCUUUAUCUUUGUAUGGUCGGCCAGCAAGAGUUGUCGCUAUCCAUCCAGGGGUUUCAUUCUUCUCAGAGCCAAAUAAUUCAAUGGUAUACUCACUGACCUUGUCUUCUUUCAGCUUCGGCGGCGGAGGCAAUUUGGAGCAAUCUAAACCUGUCGUCAUAGCGAACUCCCUAAGAGAAAACCGAAUUGGCUGACCAGCGAAGAGACACCAAACCUCUUUCUUCUUCUUUGUAACCAGCUGCCUUGACAAAAUGAAGUGAAGGAAUCUAACCGAUGAUGCAAUCUUGUUGCCUGCUUCGAUGAGUUUACCAAAUUGGGAGAAAGACAGCUUCUCCAUAUGGUCUUCUUCCAAAGCUAAACUUAUCGUGUCAAGAUAAGGUAGCUGGAAGUAGGUGUUGACCUUCUUAUUCUCCGGUUCGUUGCCUAAUGCAAACAGUCUUUCCGGAAACCGGCUCAUAGCUUAACUGGUGGACACUGAAACGUAAAUGACUAUAAAUAAUCAACUACCAUAAGAAAAUGAUAUCUGUAUAUGUAAGUACACAACUAUUAGUAAUCAGUUACUAGGUGACUUAAUCGACUACUAUAAUCGAGUAUACGAAUUAGUGUAUGGCAUGGACUCCAAGGUUGUAGUACUGUUUAAUUUCGCAAACAAAAAGAAGCGCGUGUUAUAUAGUAAUUCUGUGAUAAUGAACGAGAACUUUUCACUACGAAAAUACAGAACAUAUAAAUUCCAUACUUUGCCCAGGAAAAAGUAGAUUUAUUUUCAUGAAUCUAGAGGCGAGCGAAACAAAACUACUAAGCAAACAACAUAGAUCUAACAUUCGAGCAUAGGCGACAACAAUUAAGCCUCUAAUUACGAUUAGUAGACAACACAGAUAUACGACUACUAGGGUAAUUAUAUACUAAUAGACCAUAAGCUAGAAAUUGAUUUCUUCAAAAAUCCAAUAAUAACUGGUGCGAACGACGGCGGCGGCGAUGCGGGAUCUACAGAAACCGAAAACAUAGUAAACUGUAAAAAUAUAAAGUUACCAGAAGAAGAUAUCGUGGGAGGGUGGGAUACGGCGGCUGGGUAGUCGUGAAUCGGUGCGGCGGAUGGCGGUUCCGAGUGGAGGAAAGAGCGAAGAUGCCCGGAAACUUUUUAGGGUAAAGCCAGGCGUCUGGGAAUAUGAAAGAGAACAGUGGAGAGAAAGAGAAAUGACAGUUGCAAAAUAAGUUCGUGGUCUGAGAGAAGAAAAAGUGAUAAAUGGCAGACGUGAAGUUAUGAAGGGUAAUAAAGGAAGUUUUUUUGCGGUUUUUUUUAGAAUUUAAAAAAAAACGGUUAACACUUGGAGAAGCAGUUGUUCUCGAAAUUAAAGGUAAUUUAGAAAGAUUAAUUAAUAAUUAUUAUUUCGAAUACUGGUUUAUCACAUAGACGAUUACAUUAAGUAGUUUUUGAAAUAACCCACAAAGUUUCAAAAAUAUAUUAAUUGGUCAAAUAUUUAUAAUUUAAUAUACCCAAACCAACUAAAAAUUUUACAAAUUAAUCAAAUGCUACUUUUUAAACAAAGUAUUGACAUGAUUGUAAAAUAUUAUAUAUUCACUUCUUUAAAUCAUGAAGAUAUUUUUUUCAUUAUUUUCACUCUUAUUCCAAUUAUAUAUGUGUUCUUUAAAAAUAAUAAAAAAACAUUAAAAUUUUAAAAUUUAAUUUUUUCUUCCUUUGUUUAACCAAUACAGAUUUUUCGUUUGAUAUAUUAAUUUAAAAAACAAACUAAUAAAUAAAAUAUUUGCUAUGAGAUUAAUAACAACUUUAAAUUUAAAACCAAAAACAUAGUUGAAUAUAAAAUGAAUAAAAUCACACAAAAUUUUUUGAAUUAAAUAUAUUUUUGUCAAUUGAUUGUGUAAGAUUUUUAAAUAACUUUUCAAUGAUUAUACGUCAUCUGUUCUAAUAAGAAUGAAAUUGUUUUUCAUCAUUAUCAUUUUUAUUCUUGUUAUAUCUGUGUUUUCAAUGAAUAUAUCAUAUUUAUUUAUUUUAAUAAUUUUUGUAUGAUUAUAUUCAGUUUCAUCAUAUUAAUUCUGAUUUCUUCUAAUCAUAAUUAGGUAGGCAAAACCUGUACAUUUUAAUACAUAAAAAUUUUGAAAAAUGAAAUAACAAUUAGAAAACUUAGAACUAAGAACGUCUACAUUAAUCUAUUGUAAUUUCAAGUCGAAUAUACAAAUGUAAUUUUUUGAUCAUUUUCACAUAAUAUUACAUGAGAUAAUGUAGAAAUAUGUUUUGCAUAUGUGAAAAAAAUUAGAUGAAUAUAAAUCAUAAUUAUUAGUUAUUUAAAAUUCUACGUGAAAAACCUUAAAAUAAAGUAACUUAAACUUGUAUAAGUAGCAUAUAUUUUUGUUAUAAAUAAUAAAUUAAAUGUGUAAAUUAAACAGUUAUAAUGGAAAUUUUAAUAGCGUGUUGGUUUUUUUUGUUGUUAAUAGAUUUUUAUUUUUAAUUUAUUUUUUUAUCAUAAUAUUAGAAUUAGGAAAAAAAAUUAAUUUAAUAUUUUGAUAUAUACGAAUAGAACUGAAAUUUUAAAUGCUGAUGUGGAUUCCUUAAAAAUAAUAUAGCUUUAACUGUUAUUGAUAAUAAAAUAAUUUUAAUUAACAAUUUUUCUUAUAUUGUUUUGUAAACUUUCUUGAUUUUGAAUGUUGAUGUGGACCAAUAAAAUUGUCUUUUAAAAUCCUAUGUGGACACCCUGAGAAACAUUUAGCUUCAAUUUUUAUUAUUAGUACUAGAUUUUGCGUCCACGCUACGCGUGGGUAUUUUAUUGAUAAAACGAUAUGCAAUUAAUUAUAUUUAUUAAGAUAUAAAUUUUAUAUAUUAAGAUUUUAAUAAUAUAUUAAAAAUUUUAUGGUGUUAAUCUAAUAAUUUUUAUGUAAAUUGUGAGGUUUUAACAGUUUUUUUUAAUGUAUAUAUAUAAUAUGUCUCUUUUCAAAAAUGUAUUAUUUGGUGAAACACUUAUAAGUUAAUAUAUUCAAACCGACUAAAAUUUUUACAAAAUAAUUAAAUUCUACUUUUUAAACAUAGUAUUGACAUGACGAUAAAAUAUUAUACAUUCACUCCUUCAAAUCAAGAAGAUAAUUUUUUCAUCAUUUUCAGUUUCAUUCCAAUUAUAUAUGUGAUUUAAAAAAAAUAAAAAAAUAACUAAAUUUAAUAUUUAAUAUUUUUUUUCUCUUGUUUAACAAUUACAAUUUUUUGAUCUAUUAAUCAAAAAACAAAUUAAUAAAUAAAACUUUUGCAUUGAGAUUAAUAACAACUUUAAAUUUGAAACCAAAAAUAGUUGAAUAUGAAAUGAUUAAAAUCACACAAGAUUUGUGAAUUAAAUAUAUUUUUGUCGAUUGUUUGUGUUAACCUUUGAAUAAUUUUUCAAUAAUUAUACCUCAUCUCUUCUAAUAAGAAUAAAAAAAAAACAAUUUCAUCAUGUUCAUUUUUAUUCUUGUUAUAUCUGUUUUUUCAAUAAAUAUAUCAUUUUAAUUAUUUUAAUGAUUUGUUUUAUGAUUAUAUUCAGUUUCAUCAUAUUCAUUGUCACUUCUUCUAAUUAUAAUUAAGUAGGCAAAAUCGGUACAAUUUAAUAAAUACAAAUUUAGAAAAAUGAAUAACAAACUCGAUAACUCAAAACUAAGAAAUUUUUCAUUAAUUUCUUGCAAUUCCAAGUCAAAUAUACGAAUGUAUUUUUUUCAAUCAUUUUUGCAUAAUAUAUUAUAUAAGAUUAUGUGGAAAUAUAUUUUAUAUAUGUGACAGAAAUUUAGAUGUAUAUAAAUCAUAAAUAUUAUUUAUUUAAAAUUCUACUUGAAAAACUUUUAAAUCAAGUAACUUAAAUUUGUAUAAGUAGCAUAUAUUUUUUUUAUAAAAAAUUAAAUUUGUACUUAAAUCAGUGAUAAUGGAUAUUUUAAUAUCAUGUUGGUUUAUUUUUGUUGUUAAUGGAUAUUUUUUUUUUACCAUAAUAUUAAACUUUGGAAACUUUUUAAAAAUUUUUAAAUGUUGAUGUGGAUGCCUUAAAAAUAAUAUGGCUAAACUGUUAUAAAUAAUAGAAUAGUUUAAAUUAACAAAUUUCCUAUAUUUUUUUGUAUUAUCAAUGUAAUUUUAAAAUUUAGAAUUUUUUUUUAAUUUUAGUUAUUGAUGUGGACUAAAAACAUUGACCUUUUAAAUCUUAUGUGGAUAACCUUAGAGGCAUAUAGCUUCAACUUUUAUUUUUAAUAAAUAUUUUUUUUGUUAACAAUACAGAUUUAAAAUUUGAAAUUUUUCUUAAUUUUAAAUAUUGAUGUGAACCAAUAGAAUUAAAAAAAAAAUCAUAUUUGGACACUCUUAGAGGCAUAUAGCUUCAGUCUUUAUUUGUAAUAUAUUUAGAUAUUAACGCUGGAAGAUCCCAUACGAAGCCCAUUGCGGCAAGUGAUUUUGGUAUUUCCUCCAUGUUUUGAGGCUUACUGAAUGUAUCUGAUGCUGUUUGGUUCAGCUAAUUGUUACAUUUGUGGUUCAGGUUGGGUUGGAUUGCUAAAACCUUGUUAGAUGCCAUGUUAUUCUAAUUCCUUGGAUACCUCAGUUUCUUUUGCCUUAAUGCCGGAACCUCUAUAUCUAUUUUUAGUGCUUCGUUUUUAAAAAUUUUCAGAUAUCAAUCACUUGACAUGUUUCUCGGAUUACUUGAAAUUUAUCAUUCUUCUGAAAUUCGGUGGCCAAGUUUUAGAGAUUUUACGGUCUCUUUUUUAAUAUUAAAGCGGCUUUCUAGUGGCUUUGUUUAUAUCUUUUUUCAUCAUAUUCUUUUUAAUUUAGCUAAUAGUUAAACAUAGUUAAACAUAUAAUUUAGUCAAGUUGGUUCUUAAUUUUACGUUGUAAUGAUUUAUUCUUUAGUGAAUCUAACUCUGUUUUUUGCUUUUUUUAAUUGAAAUGGUUGUACACACAUAAAAAAAUAACUUACAAUUUAUUAUAUUUAUGUAACAAAAAUUUGAACGCUAAUGUAGGAGUCUCUAAAUAUAUGUGUAUACAUAUGUAAAUAAAUUUUAAUAUUUUAUUUUUCUUAUUAAUUUAUAUAAUUGAACAAUCUAAUUUAAAUUUAAAAUUUCCUAUUUUAAAAUUAUUUAUUUUAGUUUUUAUUAUUAAUAUAAAUUUUGUAUAUAAUUUAUUCAUCUGUUGACAAAAAAAAAUAAUAUAUUCACUAGUUAAUUUUCCCGCGCAAGGCGCGGACUGAUAUAAUUUCUAUUUGAUUGUUAGAAAAUGUAAUUGUAGUUUGGAUUCAUUUGUUUUUUUUUAUUCUUGAGUAUAUUUGUGUAUUAGAUUUCUUUGAACUUUAAUGUUGGAAGACAUGAUCGUGAAAACAGUAUAAAAUAGAAAAAAGUAAAUAAAAACAUAGUAGUAUCCAAAUAAUUAGUUUAAAUAGUUGGAUUUUUUUAUCACUGACAUAAUUUUUAAAGUACCGUAUGAACUUAUUCGAUUUUGAUAAUUGUUUUAUGUGUUUUAAACAUCACAAAUACUGUAAUUCCAUUAUAAAAUAUAUAUUUUUUUCUUUUUUUGAAACGACAUUCUAUUACUUUUUAAAUAGUUUUCAUUUUUGGUUUCUUUUAAUAUUUUUGUUAGUUUUUUCUAAAUUUUAGAAAUAUAAGAAAUAGUAAACACUAAGAGAUAUAUAUUUUCUUUUUUACUUUUAAAAAAAAAUUUGUUAUUUUUUUAAAAAAUUUUGUUAUAUAUAAUUUUAAAAACGAUUUGAUUGACUAUAAAAUUAAAUAUUAAACCAUAUUUAAACUGGUCUGUUUUAAGUUUUUUUUUACACAUCAUCAGAUAAGAAAUAAUAAUAAAAUAACAUGUAAUUGCAAAAUAUGGUUAAACUGUCUGUUUAUAGCCAAAAUUCAUUUUGGAGCUGACACGUAAGCGAAAAGCUGUGAAACUUGCUGUAAAACGUUUUUUUUUUAUUUUUUUCUAAAAAUUUCAGUUUUAUAUAAUUUCAAAACGACAUUCUAUAGCUUUUUAAAUAGAUCACGUAAUUGUAAAAUAGGGCUAAACGGUCUGUUUAUAGCCUAAAUUCAUUUUGGAACAGACACGUAAGCGAAAAGCUGUAAAACUCGCUGUAAAACGUUUUUUUAAUUUUUUUAAAUUUCGGAUUUAUAUAAUUUCAAAACGACAUUCUAUGGCUUUUUAAAUAGAUUCCAUUUUUGUUAGAUUUUUUAAAAAUUUUGAAAACAUAAAAAAUGGUAAACACUAAGAGAUAUAAUUUUUUUUUAGAAAAAUGGUAUUUUUAUUUUUAUAUCAAAAUUUCGGUUUUAUAUAAUUUGACUACAGAAUUAAGCAUUUAACCAUAUUAAUGAUUUUUUUAAACAAUAUUCCAUUAAUUAGAUAUAUAUUAUCUUUUUUAAAAAACUUUUUGUUAGAUUUUUUGUUAAAUUUUGUUUUUUUUUGAAACAACAUUCCUUUACUUUUUAAAUAGAUUCCAUUUUUUGUUUCUUUUAACAUUUUUGUUAAAUUUUUUCUAAAUUUUAGAAACAGAAAAAUAGUAAAUACUAAGAGAUAUAGAUUCCUUUUUUGUUUUUUUAAACGUUUUUUGUGUUUUAAAAAAAACAAAAAUUUUGUUAAAUUUUUCUAAAAUUUGGUUUUAUAUAAUUUUUAGUUAGAAUUUAAGGAAAGGUUUUAUAUAAUUAUUAGUUAUAAUGUAUAAUUUUGAUUUUAUACAAUUUUGAAAGUUGUGAGAGAAGUAGUGAAAAUUGGCUUAUAUAUAUAUUAAACCAUAAGAAAUCGAUGUCUAGAUUGUUGUUAAAAUUUUAGUUAGAUUUUUUAUUUAUUCGAAGACAUUGGAAAUAGUAAAUUUCUAAUUUUUUUAUAAAAACGUUUUUGGGUUUUUUUUUCUAAAUUUUGGUUUUAUCUAAUUUUAAAAACGGUUUGAUUGAGUAUAAAAUUAAGUAUUUAACCAUAAUAAUUUAAACCGGUUUAUUAGUUUUUUUUUUACACGUCAUCAGAUAAGAACCAAUCAAAUAAUAACAUGUAAUUUGAAAAUAGGGCUAAACAGUCUUUUUGCGGCCGAAACUGAUUCUGGAGCUGACACGUAAGCAAAAGACGGUGAAAUUCGCUGUGAACGCGACACGUAAGCAAAUCACUACACAAAUAAGUAUAUAGAUCUUUAUUCAUUUUUUAAAAAAAAUAAUAAAAUUUAGAAACCUUUUCCAAUGUUGAGGUAGAUCAAUAAAAAAUUUAUUACAGAUUUUUUUAUUCAGCAAUAAAAUUAGAAUUUGUAAACUUUCUUAAUUUUCUUUUUCAAUAAUAAUAUUAGAAUUUAAAAAUUUUCUUUAAUUUUGAAUGCUGAUGUGAACCAAUAAAAUUAAUCUUUAAAAUCCUAUGUGGAUGCCUUGAGAAGCCUAUAGCUUCAAUUUUUAUCCUCUAAACCCAGAUUUUUGUAAACUUUCUUGUGGAGUAUAAGAUAAGAUAAGAAGAUAUUAUAAAAGUGAUGCACAACACAAAUUAUACGGAAAGUUGGCUUUUUUAGACUUAAAGUAUUCAAAAAUGUUAAUUUUAUACCUAAAUUUAUACAUGGUACUAAAACAUACGUGAAGUUCAUAAUAUUUUAAAUUUUAUACCUGAAUUUUGUUUUUUUGCGUUAAAACCUGCAUUAGACUAAACAGUGUUAAGAAUCCGUCAAAUAGUGUAUACGUGGCUGCCACCUCAGCAACGAUGUCUUCUAGAGUUUUUUUAAUUCUACUUUAUUUUAUCUUACAAAACAAUAAACUACACCGUUUUAUAUUUUUGUUGUCUUUCUCUUUCCUUCAACCUUUCAAGUUUCAACCAAUGAAAAUCUGUUACCGUAAAUUGGAGACCCAACUCGAAAAUGAAAAUCUAAAAUCACUCAACCCUGGAUUUCGAAAUUCCCAAAUCGUCUUUGUUUUUGUCUUCAAUUUUUGUUUUCUUCUGAGUUCGUGAAAAAUGGCAUACCAUUCUUUGAAUCUAAUAAACCAAAUUUGUUUGUCGCCAUAAUCGUUUGACCUCCAGAAAAAUUGCAUACCACUCAUAGAGCAACGAAUGCCUAUGCAUAUCUGAUAUCUUGUUCUCUUCAACUUCUCUAUAAUUUGAGAAACGGGAGCCCAUUAAAGCUCAAAGAACCUGGAGAGAGUAUGAUAAGUGAUAGGGGUUAUUACGUAGAGAAACCAGAUCUUAAGGAAUCUGAAGCCAUCUCGGUAGCAAGCCUCUUGCUUGAAAGUUGAGAUACAGUCUUAAAGAAGCCUAUCAAGAUCUUCUCUGGAAUUUCUACCAGAAAGUAGAUCUUCCGUUGAAUUUUCGUGAAAUUAAAAAGAGUAAAACUCAAACACUACGAAAAUCAAAAACUCUUUUGUCGUAAUUGAAAAGACGAAAAGAGAGAGCGAGAAGAUUAUGAGUUACUCACUGUUAGGGAUCCAUGAGAGAGUUAAAGAAAUACAGAAAGGCCAAAAUGGUUUAAUACCGUCUUACGAUCUCAUUCGUUUGGCGGAUUACGAACAAAAGCACCUCGUCUACCACUGUAUCCACCUAAUCAUGUUUUGCCAUUAAAAGAUUUUAGAUUUUCGUUUUCUUCCGAAUUCGUGACACUCCAAUAUCGGUAAUAAAUGUUUUUUUUCUCUGUGUUAGAGUCGUAGCUUGAGAGGACAACAAAAAUAUAGUACAAAACGGUGUGGUUUAAUCAACACAGCAAAAAUCGUUUUGUGAGAUAAAACAAAGUAGAAUUAAAAAACCUGGAUGAUGUCGUUGCUUAGCUGGUAGCCACGUAGAUAAGAUUUGACAGAUGGUUAACAGCGUUAGACUAGACGUAAGUUUUAGCACAAAAAAUAAAGUUCACGUAUGAAAUUUGAAAUAUUAUGAUCUUGGCAUAUGUUUUAGCACUGUAUACAAAUUAAGGUAUGAAAUUAACAUUUCUGAAUACUUCAAGUCUGAAAAGGCCAAUUUUCCCAAAUUAUACGCAACGAUCCCAAACAAUCAUACGCAGUUUUUUUUUUGCGUGGGCGAGUGAUAUACUGGGCUUUACUCUUUUAAAAAACAUCGAAAGCCCAUUUUAGGCCCAAAAUUAGGAAUGACUUUUAAGAACUUUAAAGUUGACCCUUGUGCUUGAGAACUUUACUCUCGAAAUCGAUAACCCUAGUUUCACGACCGAGGAGGGAGAAGCCGUUUUCUCUGGGUUUUCGCUCUUUCUCACUUCUUCUUCAGGUGAUUCCGAUUUCCGUUUUCGCUACUUUUUCUUUAGUUCCUGAAUUCAUGUGAUCUGUGAUGUGUCUCUGAUCUCUCAUCGGUUGAAUCUGAAUUGGAUCGAGAAAUUGAUUUUGCUUGUUCUUGGCUUCAAAAGUUUUUGAAUUGAAGAAGUUUAUAAUCUUUGGUUUAAUCCUCAAAAGUUUUUGGAUUCAUUUCGCUGGAAGAAUAAAAAGAAUUGAUUAGGCGUUACUUUGAUUGGAACAGGUAGUUGAGCGAUGUCGCGUGUGUACGUUGGUAAUUUGGAUCCGCGAGUUACUGAGCGUGAACUCGAGGAUGAGUUUCGUGUCUAUGGAGUGAUCAGGAGGUAAACAAUUUGAUUCCUUUCAAAUAAAACCGUUCUAGGGUUUGUUUAUAUGUAAAGUUGUGUGUUUGCAUUUUAUUUAUCUCAUCGUUUAUCGUUUGGUGUAGUGUUUGGGUUGCAAGAAGACCACCUGGUUACGCUUUUCUUGAUUUCGAAGACUCAAGGGAUGCUCGCGACGCCAUCCGUGAUUUAGAUGGUAUUCGUUCUCUCUGUUGUCUCAGUUCUGCUUUCUAACUACAUAGCAAGAGGGAUCUUUCGAGUUAUUAUGGUGCAGCUUGUCUAAUUCUGUGUGUUGUUAUGUGGUUUAAGAGUUUUGAUAUACACAUGCUUUGUAAUGUUAUGGUAGGCAAGAAUGGAUGGAGGGUAGAGCAGUCUCAUAACCGAGGUGGUGGUGGAGGCCGUGGAGGAGGUGGUGGUGGUCGUGGAGGAGGUGAUGGUGGUCGUGGCCGUGGUGGUUCUGAUCUGAAGUGCUAUGAGUGUGGCGAGUCUGGUCACUUUGCACGUGAAUGCCGCUCUCGUGGUGGCUCGGGGAGGCGUCGCAGUCCUUCUCCUCGUGGUCGCAGCCGUAGUCGCAGUCCAAGAUACAGAAAGAGCCCAACCUAUGGAGGACGCAGGUUAUUAUUGUCCCUCUUUCUUUCUGAUUUUGCGAUUCUUUUAACUUAAAUCAAUCUGUUUAGCUUCUGGUCGAGUAACUUGUCUUUUGGUUUCAGGAGUUACAGCCCUCGAGCAAGAUCUCCUCCUCCUCCAAGGCGUCGCAGCCCUUCUCCUCGUGGUCGCAACUACAGUAGGUCACCACCACCUUAUAGAGGACGUGAGGAGGUGCCAUAUGCUAACGGGUAAAGUCCAUUUUGCUCAAGUCCUUUACUCAAGAGUGUAUGAUAUCUCAAUCAAUAUAAGACGUUGAAAAUGAAUUGAUGGCAAAGUUACUUUUAUUGAAACAAGAUAUAGUGGCAUUAUCUUGACCUGCAUAUAUAGAUCUUUUUUGUUAGGUGUUGUGUUACAUACGUAGUCCAUGUGGGCUAAUAUGAUUUUCUAUUUUGGUUAUGCAGAAAUGGCCUGAAAGAUGUGCGCAGAAGCCGGAGCUGAUCUAGAUAGCAAGUUAUGGGAUCGAGAAGCGACUGUUUGCUUGUGACGUCAAGAAGACAGCUUAUGGAGAAAUUAGUAUCUGUGAAUUUCACUAAGAGAACAUGUUUUAGCUAUGGGAUGGAUUGGAUAUGCUUGCUACUUUUGAAUUGCUGGGAUGCUUCUUUUUUGCGUUUGGAUUUGAAGCCGUAGUUGUAUCUGCCGUUAGGUAACGUACUUUUAAAAUUUCCUACCCAAGUUCUUAAAAGACCUAAACAUAAAGUCUGCUAAAAAAACUAUGGAUUUCUAUGUUUUUCAUUGUGGUUUGUUUUAUGGUUGUCGAGGUUUCUUCGGGUUUCUACUGCGUUUCUACUGCUUCAUUGCUUAUCUCUGCUUCUCUACUCUGCCCUGAGGCUUCUUCGUUUAUUGAUUGACCUGCAAUGGCAUCGUCUACUGCUUCAUUGCUUAUCUCUGCUUAUCUACUCUGCUACUCUACUCUGCACUACUUGCUUCUGCUUCUGCUUGCUCUUAUGUUUGAAAACUUCAUCAGCUCUGAUGUUGCCUUCUUCAAAACUCCUCUGCCUUUUCUUUUCUUGAACUUAAAGAGUUGCUGCGGAGCUGCACUUCGUUACUCUGGCAGGUACUUGUUACCUUUCAGUCUUUGCAGAAAUUUCCAUAUAUUCUUUGAAAAUAUGAUAGUAAUUUGACCAUUCGUAGAAUGUCUUUGUGCUAUGAUAGUGUUUUGACCAUUCGCAGCCUGUCUUUGUUCUAUGAUAGUGUUUUGACCAUUCUCAGAAUGUCUUUGUGCUAUCUAAAUGCUCGGUUUUAGGACUCAUCCUUAUAUAGUUGUUUUCCCUUAAUGGCACCAACUCUAGUUCAGACGAUGUGCUUCUGCAGUGUUUACCGCUUUUGGUUUAAUCUUUGGUUCGCUGAUGAUUUGAGUCUUGCAAAGGCCCGCAUAAACGAGACUCUUUUGCAUGUAUGUGUUGAAUAUUGCAGAAGCAGAUAAUCUUUUAGUCUAAAUUCUAGUGAUUUCGAUGUUGCUCUGCUUGAUUCUAAAAAAGCCUUUCGAGUGCAACAAAUCAAAGCCAAACUCUGGCCUAGUUUAUGUAUUAUUUUUUGCGUUCGUCCCAACUCGCUACUCUUCGGCCUCUUAAUGAGAUUGGUAAUAUCUUUUUUGUUCUUUAUUAAAUAAACAAAUUCAUUUUCGGUAUUAUUGAAAUAAUAAAAGAACAAAAGUGCAAAUAUAAGAACAAGCACACCUUUACAAAAGCAUUUAAUUAAAUGGAUAAUGUAAUGUUUUAUUUUAUCAUUGAAAUACUUUGAAUUAAAAAAAAACAAACAAACUUUCUAUUCGUCUGAGUCUGAUAUGUUAGAAUGAAAUUCGUAAAGCAAGACACAAAGUGCCACUAUAGCUUAGCUCACUCGUUUUUGAAGUAACUGAUCGGCCUGAACUUCCGAAUUUGAUACCAUAUGAGUCAGAAUUCAUUAGUCUACACAGUAAGCUCAAGCGAUUGUUCCUUUUUGUCAUCAUACUAAUACAAUAAUAUCAAAUCUUUUAAGCAUGUUAUAAGCGCGUUAUCUUACAAAUCAAUUCUUUGGUGCUAAUUUUAAUAAAACUAUCGAGAAAAAAUAAUAGUUUAAAAAUAGCUUGUUGCUUAAGAUCUAUAGACAUCAGAAAACCGUCAGAAAAAAUUGAUCUCAUCUCUGCCGAUUUUUUUUUUGUAUUACAUAUUACAAAACACAAAUGUUUGUAUUUUAGUGGUUUUAAGUUGGAGUGAUUCAUGGAUCUUAUACACAAAACGAGAGUUUACUAUAGAGAAUCGUCUUCUCAAGAAUUGUUAGUCAUCUGACUCAUCUCCUUAAAAUUAGAUUUAGGCGUUAAUGGAACCCACGUUCUCUUUCUCUUUCUCUCUCUCACUCUUACGAUUUCCAAGAAUUUUUUAAAAUUAAUUUAUAACAAACAAGUAGUAGUCUUUCACUCGUUCUACAUCUCGUAGGCUUAGAGCAGAGCAUAAGAUGAGCUGUUUCAAUUUAUUAAUUUCUCUCUCACUCUUCAUUUUUUUUGUUGUUUCACGUGAAGUCAAACUCAAUAAAAUCGGUUACAGCCCAUGUCUCUAUUCUCUUUUUCUCUCUCUGCCAUUUUCUGAACAUGAAGAAGUCAGCUCAAUAUCUCAUGCUGCUCUGAUUCGUCUUUCAUUUGCCUAUAACAAGAAGAAGAAGAAGAAGAAACUGUUCUUGUUUCUGGCAAUUUAAAGCUUUAUUACCACAAACAUGGAGUUCAAAAGAGACAAUACUGUCAGGUUCUAGAAUUUUCAUCAAAACCAACCUUUUUAAAAAAAAAAAAGGAAAAGAAUUUGGAUUUUCGUUAAUUUGAGUUCUGAACAUAAAAAGUUGGCAUUUUGUAUUUACAAUCCCAAUAAAGUUUUGAACUUUUUCCUUCUUUUGCACUCAUUUUCUACAUUGGCAUGGAUUUGUUUCUGAUUUUAUUGAAGUUUCCUUUUUUGGUUUGUUCAUGAUCCUCUUACUCGAUCUCAUUUCUAAACUCCAAUAUUAAAAAUGGUGUUUUUUUUUUGUCUGACACAGAUUCUAUGGAGACGAGAAGCAAACCCUAGAAGUAACAGAGAAGCGUGUGCCAUUGUUCAAAUCAUCAGCAGCUCCAUUUAUGAAACCAGAGCUAGUAACCCAAAAGAAGAGCAACAAAACCCGUCUCUUCAAAAUCCCAAGAUUCGGGGGAUUCAAAGUCUUCCCCGAGAAUUUCGAGAUCGAGAGAGACAAGAUUCUAGAUCCUGGUGGUGACGUGGUGCUUCAAUGGAACAGAGUCUUCCUCUUUUGGUGUCUCGUUGCUCUCUACGUAGACCCUUUGUUCUUCUUCCUAUCUUCAGUCAAACACACUGGAAGAUCCUCUUGUAUGACCACGGAUUUGAACCUUGGAAUCGUCGUGACUUUCUUCAGAACACUCGCGGAUCUCUUCUACGUCUUACACAUUGUCAUCAAGUUCAGAACAGCUUAUGUCUCUCGCACUUCAAGAGUGUUUGGUCGUGGAGAACUCGUGAAAGAUCCUAAAUUGAUUGCUAGAAGAUACUUGAGAUCAGAUUUCAUUGUUGAUCUCAUCGCUUGUUUGCCUCUUCCUCAGGUGUAAUAUAAAUACUCAACACAAAUCUUUGUUUUUUGAAGAGUUUCCCGCAAGACCCACCACGGAUAAAGCAAAUGGCCCACACAGCAAAAUCUUUGACUCAUCUCUUAAGACUUUGUUAUUUUUAUUAAGAGUUUAUAAUAAGUUGGUGUCUCCUUUUGAUUGCAGAUUGUCAGUUGGUUUAUCUUGCCAUCAAUCAGAAGCUCUCACUCAGAUCAUACUACAAAUGCUCUUGUUCUCAUUGUUCUUGUUCAAUACAUUCCUCGCCUUUACCUGAUUUUCCCUCUAAGCGCUGAGAUUAUCAAAGCAACAGGAGUCGUUACAACUACAGCUUGGGCCGGUGCUGCUUACAAUCUCCUUCAGUAUAUGCUUGCUAGUCAUGUGAGUCACUUAGUGUUCUCAAACCAACUCACAAGAGCAACAAAUCUGCUACAUUUAGUCCUAUAGGCUAGUUAUAUAGUAGACGCUAAGUACUUUGAAGUUCUUCUAAUGUUUUUACAUUUUUGUCGUUGUUGUAGAUUCUUGGUGCGGCUUGGUAUUUAUUGUCAAUAGAAAGACAAGCGACGUGUUGGAAAGCAGAAUGUCAUAAGGAAUUAGCGCCUAUACAAUGUGUUACCGAUUACUUUGAUUGUAGUACAAUGAACCAUGACGAUCGGAAUAAAUGGCAGAAUGUAACUGUUGUGUUCAGCAAUUGUGAUCCUUCGAAUGAUAUUCGAUUCACUUUCGGAAUUUUUGCGGAUGCUCUCACCAAAAGCGUGGUUUCUUCGCCUUUCUUGGAGAAAUAUUUGUAUUGCUUAUGGUUUGGAUUGCAGAAUCUAAGGUAUAUAUACCAUUCAUACCUCUUCUUAAUGCUUAUAACGGUUUUUAGCUUCUGUUUUCUAACAUAGUUUCCUUGUUAAAGUUCUUAUGGACAGAAUCUUGAAACAAGUACCUCUGUUCUUGAGACAAUGUUUGCUAUCCUCGUGGCGAUCUUUGGUCUUGUUUUGUUUGCUCUUUUAAUCGGAAACAUGCAGGUAAAAAUGUGAACCUUCUUUCUUGUUACCAUCAUUAAUAAGAUCCAAAAGGGUUAUUUUGUUGAUUUUUGUUUUGGUCAAUGUAUCCUUUAGACGUAUUUACAAUCGAUCACGGUGAGGCUUGAGGAGUGGAGAUUGAAGAGAAGAGACACAGAAGAAUGGAUGAGACAUCGUCAACUACCACAGAAUCUAAGAGAACGAGUGAGGCGUUUUGUUCAGUAUAAAUGGUUAGCGACUCGAGGAGUUGACGAAGAAACCAUUCUUCAUUCAUUACCAGCAGAUCUCCGUAGAGACAUCCAACGACAUCUCUGUCUCGACCUUGUUCGUCGUGUAAGUUUCUUCACCACUCAUACCAAACACAUUUUCUCACAAGCUUCUUCUUGCAAGAACUUUGGCUUAACAUAGUUCUUGCGAUGAGUUUAUUCAGGUGCCACUAUUUGCGCAAAUGGAUGAUCAAUUACUAGACGCGAUAUGUGAACGGUUAGUGUCAUCUCUAAGCACACAAGGGAACUACAUUGUACGUGAAGGUGAUCCAGUGACGGAAAUGCUCUUCAUCAUCCGUGGAAAACUCGAUAGCUCGACGACUAAUGGAGGCAGAACCGGUUUCUUCAACUCAAUCACACUCAGACCAGGUGAAUUCUGUGGUGAAGAGCUUCUUGCUUGGGCAUUGCUUCCAAAAUCAAAAGUAAACUUACCAUCCUCAACAAGAACGGUGCGAGCGUUAGAAGAAGUUGAAGCCUUUGCUUUACAAGCAGAGGAUCUCAAGUUUGUGGCUAACCAAUUCAGACGUUUACAUAGCAAGAAGCUGCAACACACAUUCCGUUAUUACUCUCACCAAUGGAGAACUUGGGCUGCUUGUUUCGUACAAGUCGCUUGGAGACGGUAUAAGAGUAGAAUGUUGGCUAAGAGUCUUAGCUUGGCUGAGUCAUUCUCUUCUUAUGAAGAGGAAGAAGCUGUAGCGGUUGCUGCAACCGAGGAGUCGAGUCAUGAAGGAGAGACACUAACCGCUUUAACUCGUCAUCAUAGUUCUAAAAUUGGGAAACCGCAUUUUGCUGCAACGAUACUUGCUUCGAGGUUUGCUAAGAACACGAGGAGGACGGCGCAUAAAAUUAAGGACGUUGAGUUACCGAUGCUUCCUAAACCAGAUGAGCCGGAUUUCUCGGUGGAUGCAGAUUAACUUUUCUAUGUGAAUCUCUUUUUUAAGUUAGAAAAUCAGUUGGUUAAAAAUCAAAACUUGCUGUCUGAAGUUAAUUUCAAAAAUAUUCAGCAGUUUGUAUAAACACAGACUAUACAUCUGACUACUUUUUUUUCUUAGUUUCCAGAUUUGUUUUUUGUUAGUUUUUCUUAUAAAUUAUAUUUCGAACAGAGAAGAUCAUCAUCACUAAGUUUUGAUCUUGGAAUCAUUAACAACGUGCCUAUAGAUCAGUUUCAUUUGGUCCCAUUAAAUUUCACAUCAUUGAAUUGAUGCAAUUAUUGAGAUUCAGACAUCUCUGGCUCUAAAAAUUCUUAAUGUUUCCUCUGUUUCUGCCGACAACUCUCUCCCACGUUUUGGACAGGGACUCAAAUGAGUUCAAGUUUAGAAAAAAUUAUGUCACUAUUUGUUUUAGUUUUGUCAGAUCAGAAACUGGUGUAAUUUUUUUUCAGUUUUAGAGACUGAUAGGUGUGUAUGUAUUGCUUGCAAUGAAUGUGAAUCAGAACAAAAACAGAGGAAGAGCUUUAAAGACAAAAGCUUUACUUUUUUUAUCAGGCAUUAAGCAAGAAGUUCCUGACUUUUUAAAUACUAUAUAUAAAGGUAUAAAUGUGCUUAAACUUACUUUAACCUUCUAAGGAUUAAUUACAAUGGAGAGAUAUAACCAAAUUACAAAUCAAUAAAUAUCCUACAAACUAUGGCUCCAAGAAAGGAAAUAGGAGAAGGAUACUCGCAGAGUUUAAACUGACUCUUGAAUCUUUCGAUAUUUCUCAACUCAUCUGCUCGCCUAUGAGAUCGAGACCCACAAGAAGAAAGGUGAGACCUUGGAACAACAAGAAGUAGAAAUGCACUCCCUGCGAGGCCAAGAGACUCCUAAGUGCUGCAGUGAGCAAAAGAAAUGCAAGCGCGAGCUCUUUAUGGAAUAUCUUAUUGGUCUUCUUUACGGAAACAGAUUGUUUCUUUUGCUCCUCAAGUUGGCUUAUCUCCAAGAGCUCGCUGUCUGAAACUCCUCUUAGGAUUUGGUUUGGUGGCAUCUUCUUGGAUUCUUUAUCAGUGAGACCCAAAAGAUCAGACUCAGAUGAUCUUCCUGCUUUCUUUGUUACAAUCCACUCGUAAGAGCUGCCUAGCUGGAAUAAUCCAGAUACCAUGGCGUUGAACUUGGUGACUGACAUUGUGUUCUCAAACAAGAGGUAAGGAACAAUGAAAGGGAAGGACUUUGGAGCAGGAAGGAUGUUGAGUAAUGACAUGAAUAUUGGUACAUAGCAGAUAACCCAAACAGGAAGCUCGGCUUCUGGAACGAACAUGGUGAUUGGAAGGAUAACGCAGAACAAUGUGAAGGAGUAAAAAGGAAGUAUGAGUUUCCUUAGAAGGAAGAAUAGUAGUAUCAGAUUUGCUUUCUUCCACAUUGCAAUCUACAACAAGAAAAAAACACCAUUAAAAACAUUGACAAUUUGACAUAAUCAGGUUACAUUACAAAACCAUAGCUCAAAUAUACCUUAGAGGUCAAGAUUGCACGAAGACACAAGCGAAACAGCUGCAUAGGUCCCGAGUGCCAUCGGUGUUGCUGCUUUUUGUACGCUUCAUAUGACUCAGGAACUUCACAAAGAACCUAAAGAGAUUGUUUUUUACUUUAGUCAAUCACUUUAUGAAAACAGUGACAAGAACAAGAGUUAUAAUAGUACCUUGACAUCGUUUAGAUAUAUGAAUUUCCAUCCAUGGAGAUGAGCUCGAACAGCUAUGUCCAUAUCCUCGACGGUUGUUCUUUCAAGCCAACCUCCAGAUUCCUCAAGGGCUUUAAUUCUCCAUACUCCAGCAGUUCCAUUGAAACCAAAGAAAUUCAAGAACACACCAUUAACUUGCUGCUCAACCUCAAAGUGAAAACACAGAUUGAUGUUUUGGAGACGGGUCAACAAGUUUUCGUCUUUGUUCACAAACGACCACCUAGCCUGAACCAGACCUAACUCUGGCUUCUCCUGAAAUUAACAUUGGCAUUUCCAAGUUAGAAGCUUCACCAAAAAUGGUAUUUUUUCUUUCUAAUGACACAAACCAAACAGAUUUACUAAUUUACUUAUAUACAGACCUUGAAAUGUGGAACGGUUAGUUUAAGGAAAUCAGGGUUAGGUUGGAAAUCCGCAUCAAAGAUUGCCACAAACUCGUAAGCUUCCACAUAAUCACAGCUCAUUGCGGAUUUGAGGUUACCAGCUUUGUAACCAGUUCUAACCAAACGAUGCCGGUAAAUUAUAUUGAUACCCUUUUGGCUCCAUUUAGUAACCUCAGCUCUAAUUAACUGUUGAAUGCUUCCAUCAUCUGAAUCGUCUAGAACCUGAAUCAGCAUUCGAUCUCUUGGCCAGUCAAGCUGGCACACAGCAGAUAUAGAUUGCUCAUAUACCUGAACAAAAACACACAUUUAAGUAACAACAUUGAUGCACAUAACCAUGUAAAAAGGUCAAGAAAACAAGAGAGAUAUUGAUACUUUGUUCUCCAUACCUCUUUCUCAUUGCACAUUGGUAUCUGAACAAGAACCAUUGGAUACUCAGAUCNNNNNNNNNNNNNNNNNNNNNNNNNNNNNNNNNNNNNNNNNNNNNNNNNNNNNNNNNNNNNNNNNNNNNNNNNNNNNNNNNCUAAGCAAAGAAUCAAACGAUCUACAGACUGUACAAGGAACAGCACAAUACAAAACUUGGAGAGAGCUUUGAUUGGAGGAGCGAUAUAAUCAGCUCUUAAGCUCAGCCAACCAACAUAGAGCAGAUGAAACAAGCUCUGGAUCUCAAGUUUGCUUAUAGGUAUAUGAAGAUUAGGGUUCUUGAAGUAAUGCCAGCCUCUGUAAUAAGCAACUAACUCAAACCCAAGAAUCGACAAUGAAGCAGCUAAGAAGAGCUUAAUGGCUGAGAAAAGCCAUUUGUCUCUGCCAAGUCUCUCAGAACCAAAUGGGUGAGUGAAACUGAGCCGUCUCUUGACCGAACCAAGGAGAGACCAGAAGACUGUAGCUAGCCAAGUGAGACAUCCAACGGCUUUGUGAGCUUUAAGAAGCAAAACCCAAGUCACUUGCUUAGCGUUCUUGCCUCUACUCUUCUCCAUUGGUCUAAACGCACCGUCUGGCUCCUCUACUUCAACGAUUGAGUAAUUGGGAUUCUCCAUUUUCACCACAACUGGUGUACCUCUCCUCGUUUCCUUCGCCCACAAAUCUGAAAAAUCAAACCUUGGAGCCAUUUUUUAGCUUCUCCCCAAAAGAAGCAGAGACUCGAAAAGGGAAGAAGUUGAAUCUCUUGAUGAGAGUUGAAAGUUAAGAAAUCCCUGAAAGACCCAAAUCUCGAAGUUGAAGAUUAAGCAAAACCCAUCUUGGGAAACGAAAAUGGAGUAGCUUUGAGUGAGGUAAGGAACAAAAAUAUUAAAGAAACCUGAACAACCCAGAUCCAAGAACCCGGAUAUCUAAAGAACCAUUUUUGAAAAACAGACAAAGAAGUAGCAACAGCUCAAAGGGGUCAUUAAUAGUGACCUGCGAGAGAGUAAAGACAAUGAGUGGUUUUGGCAAGAGAGAGAGAAGAGAGUGGAGAGAGGUAGAGAUUGAUACUUGGCAAUGUGAGAAAGAGAGAGAGAAGCAGAAGAAAGGUAUCUAAGAAGUUGUAAGGACCCCUUCCACUUUCAUGUGAAUGUUUCCUCUUCAGCUACCUCAAUGAUGGCUUCAAGAUGCAAAUUCAUCUCCUUUUCCUAAACUGAGAAAAAAAGUUGGGAUUUUAACAUCUCAUGAUUAUGAAUCCUCAUAGAGACGCAUUUUUAAGCAAUUUUUUUCUUAUUUAACAAAAAAAAAAGCUAGAAAGAUGAAAUAUCAUUGAUACAAAAAUUCAAAUUAUAGUAAACAGCUGAAUAAGCUAGUACUCUAAAAAGGGUACAAAAUGUUAAACAAAUUUUACUUCAAAUGAAUUAUUAAGAAGAUUUUGUAAUAGUAAACAAACCUAGUUUUAGGUUUUGAAUAAUUUAGACGUGGCAAUUGCAUUUGACCACUGUUUACAAGACAUUUAUUUCUCUAGCUGAUACAAACACAUACCGUGCAAACCCAAACUCUUCAUCAAACACCAUUCAAUAUUUGAAAGAAACAAACAAAUUUGAAAGGAACAACAAAUUGUUGUGAGUCAGUUUUUUUUUUUAUCGAUCAUUAUAAGUUAAAGGAAACAAAAUAUGUUUUUGUGGUUUAAAGUGAUUAAACCAUAGUUAAAAAUUGAUAUUACCGUACAUCUCGAAUAAUCAUUCAACAUUUGUUCCAUUUGAUCUUCAUUUGUUUUGCACGUUUAUACAUUUUUUAUGGCAUUUAAUAUGUUAAUAACCAGUACUAUUCAAAUCCUUAAUGAAUAUAUACCAGAUUGAAGUUGUAUAGGCAAUCUUGCUAAAUUAUCAAAAAUAUCAUCAAUCAAGUAACAUAAUUAAUUUGGUGAGGAUAUUUUCCCAAAAAUAUUAAAUAACAUUUCCGAGUAUAUCUAAAUCUUUUGAUAUUUCAAAACUGGUAACUCAUUAUAUAGAAAAAAAUAGAAAUUUACAACACAUUAAAUUAAAUACUCAUUGAUAAUUUCAUUACACUUGUCUAUUUUACAAGGUAAAUUAACGAUCUUAUAUGAGAAGAAUUAUUUAUUUUAAAUUGGAAAAAAAUUAAGUAGAAAAUGUAAGUCAGCCGAUUUAGAUUUUAUGAAUCUAAAUAUUUUAAAUAAGAUUUAAGAAAAUAAGAUAAAUGAAGUAUAUAAGUUAAUAUAUAUAUAUAUAUAUAUAUAUCUUCUUUCGUUAAUUUUAGUUUUAAAAUAAUUAUGCAAGCUUUUCUUCUCUAAAUUUAUAUAAAAUGAUAAGCACCAUUUUAUAUUUUGCGGUACAAAUACAUUUAAUCAUGUAUUGGAAAAAGUAAGAUUUUAAAAUAAAAUAAUUAUUCAUUUAAAAAUUUCCAAACUUACUGGUUUUGGCCAAAUAAAUCUCCAAUUUUAAGUUGACAUGACCGAAUUAGACCCAGCAUUAAUCAAACAUAACACACUCCAUUGAACUUGACUAAUUUUGGACUAAGUUAGCCAAGUCUAGGCAAAUUUAAAACUUUAUUUGGACAAACGAGGAACUUGAAGAUUUGUUUGGCCAAUAAAAAAGUUGAGAACUCUUUUGACCUAAAUACAAAAGUUUGAUUGUGCCCUACUUUUCUAACCAUUUUCCUCAUUUUUUUCAUCAAAGAUCCUUAUUUUUGUUAGCACUAGGUGAAAUGGUUUUGCGUCCAUACAACAAAUAUGGAAACGAAGGAAUUACAAGGAAGAAAGUAACCAUGAUCUCUGACUUUGUAGACGAAAAUGAUCAGUUAACAAAUUUAACGAACGUAACAACUUGAUAUUUGUAUAUUAUGGAUAGUUAUCAAUUUUUUUUUUAUCAACAUUUUCGUAGAAAUGAUUGACAAAAGAGAAAAAGAGACAAUCAAUUGAUCGAAACAUUUAAAAAAAUAAAAAUAAAAAAAAAGCUUGUAAUCUGAACAUACACGUUUUUCUAGACAUUCUUGUCUUCGAACAUCACUCAUCAGUUUCAUAUCUUUAUUCAUCUUCUUUUUCGAUUUUUUCCUCUUUCUUUUCUAGUUCACCAUAUCUCAAGUAAGCGCACUUUCAGAAUUUUUAAAAUCAUUUAUUUUCACCCAUAAUAGCUUAUCAAGCCACAUAUAUAUAAAACUACAAAUCGCUCCCUAUUUUAAAAAACAAUACUGUUCCGUUCUCAAAAAAAAAAAAAAACAAUACUGUUCUGUAUUGAUUCUUAGGUCCAAGAUCUUAUACAGUUAAACUCCAUAUUCAACAUAUCGCUAAAGCGCUACUCAGGUCGGGGUGCGGUCUAGUGCUUAGCGAAAAAAUCGGAGAUUAAUCAGAGUUUAGUUUUUGAGUGUUUUCAUUGUUUCUAACCUAUACAUACACUUAGCUAUAUUACCAAAUAUUCAAAUUGAAUAGUACAUUAUACGUAUAUCUCGUAAUACCUAAUCUUAUUCAAGUACCUAAUCUUAUUUAAGUACCUAAUCAUAGUCAACUUCGGAUUUGAGUUUUGGAGCGUUUUUUUAAAGACACCGUACUAUGGUUGUUCCCUCUAUCGUUUUAUACUUUUAUCUAACACAUACGUAUCAAUUUAGCUCAGACACCACUAUGGUGGUUCCCUCUUUGUCGUAUUAUUUAACACAGCAAUUUAGUUCCACACCGUCGAACUCUAAAAGGUGCUUUCAUAAACACCAUCACCCGAUCAUCCGUGACAGUCUAGAAAACCAAAUCAAAACUCAAACAAAAAUCUAGUUAAUUUUGUUAAUCACUGUUCUUUCCUCUCAGAAACAAAUUAUCAAUGAUGAUAAAAAAAAGUUUUCACCCAUUUGUAGCUCAUUUUUCUUUUCUCUAGCAUCAAUCUAGCAUGCACUGUCACUGAUAUAGGAUCUUCCUACCUACAUUAGCUUUGAAGUCGUGUCUAAUUAACAAAAAACGAACUACAUAAAAAGAAAAACGAAAAAACUGAGAAAGCAAAGGCAACUUUUUAUGCUGUCUUUAAUCUCUAAAGCUGGCCUGUCGGCAACUUCUUUUGAGCCGGUUCAGUCUAGGGACUAGGGACUGGGAUGCAUAGUGAAUAAAAUUAAAAAACAAAAACCAGAUUCCAUUUUAAACCGGUCGAAAAUCAAAUUUAGUUUGUUUUCUGAAUUUUCCAAACAAAAAUAAGCCACAAAAGUUGUCACUGUGUUCCUCCAUUAAUCUUUCUUGCUAUUAGAGUUUUGUGUUCAAUGGUAAGAAUCUAUUUCAAAAGACAAAUAAACAUCAAAAGAAUAGCUUACCUACGUGCUUCCGGAUCCUGAAUCUCUAUUUCAUAUCACUAAGUAACAAUCUUGGGAAUUCACCAGUAAGAACCUAGACUUCUUCUAAAUAUGGAAAUUCCAGGAUCCCCCAAUCUUGGGAAGUCGCAGCGUCUAAAGUAAUUUUUCACCAGCAUUAUUGUUAAGUUAGAAGCUCCCCUUAUCGAUUUUCAAGAGCCAUGAAAAAAUGUUGUGACUCCACCAGCGUUUUUUGGAUUCAUUUAGCAGCAUCGAUCAUCUCAGUGUCUGGAUCUUCAUUCUCUGAGGGUUUGGAGUCUGUAGCAGCAGACUGAGAUGAGGUAGUUAUGUCCGAACAAGAAGUGUCAACAACCAGAUUUUCAACCGUUGGAUCUUCUUUCGCAUUUGCUUCUUCUUGUUCUUGAUGAUGAUCUGUUCCAGAUUCAUGUUCCAUUUCAAUAGAAGGGUUUGACUCGGAAUCUACUGCAUCAACUCUUUCGUCAACUUCUUUUCCUUUUUCAGAGACAGUUGCGGAUGAUGAUGAUUCAUUUUUGCAUUCACGAUCUUCUGAAUGUGAGAUGAUGCCAUUGCACAGCGAGGACACACUGGUAUCAUUUGCUCCCACCCCAGAACUCUCAACAGAGCCACCUUGGCUAGAUUCUGUGUUCAAUGCAUCUGUUUUCUUCUCCUUUUGAACUUCUUCGGAUCUAAGACUUGAUGGUCUAGUCUGAACCCUGCACCAACACAAGGAAUCAUAAACUAAAGCUACUUCUCUAAAUACAAGAUUCUUUGUUCUAGCAAGAUUCUUCAUCAACAAGUAAAAGGCCCACCUGCUGUAGAGGAGCAUGUAUGCUCGUUGAGAAAGGACAUCUUCUAGCUCUACUUUUGCCACCUGCGAGUUUUUUGAGACAGUAUUAGAAGAUCUCUGAAAAUUCUACUUUUUUCAUCAUGUUGACAUUCAUAAUAGGCAAACAAAACAACAAAGAGUUCAUAAAAGAUGAUUCUUACCUGAGAAUCGUCUAUUCUGUACCAGUUUCCGCGGAAGUCCUUAACAAAGCAUAUGUAAUGGCCGAAAAACGAGGCAUUCAACAUGUCUAAAUGGACAAUCACAGCGUAGAGUUUGUAUAUAUCAGAUCCUUCCAUCCCGCUGCUCAUGUAAGGGCCAAGAUCAAAUGUCUCAGGAAAACUGAUUCUUUUGUUCAGUUUACCGAAUCUCCCACCCUGUACAUAGUUUUUAGAUUUAUUAGACAACCAAUGUCAGAGGUAUAUGCAGAUGCAAAGAGACUAACUGAGAGCAAAAGAGAUGGUAACCUGAAAUCUUUUUAAGGCAAUUGUAAGAAUAUUUGGAGCACAACGAAUUGAAAGGCGCUUGCAUGCCUUCACAUAGUCAUUACAUCUAAAGAAGAGAGAACAAACUUUCAGAAACACAGUUCAUUCACAAGAUUCGCAUACCAACCAUAUCUAUUGUUAAGAAAAAUUCAGGCUCCAGAAGAAAUAUAAAUACCUAUCACAUUUGUAAAGGUUAUCUCCCUGAAGCCACUCUUUAGCUGUGAACUGAUCGAGACAUUCCUCCAAUGAUACCGCAUCCCCGUGGAUCUCAACGGUUAAAUCCAUCAUAUUCUCAUAUUGAUCAGAAACAUUACUGCAAACAGUACAUUGGACCUGCAAAAGUUAAAUAAAAAAAACGCAGCGAAUGAGGAAAAAUUACAGAAUGAGAGAGAGAGGACGAUAAUCAGGAUGAAUACAUCACAAAAAAAGAAUAACAUGUUAGACAACUAAAUUACUAAAGCGAGUUUCAAAUUUGCUCACACUACAAGUUCUUAGGAGUACGUGAUAAGAAAGAUCCAAUCCAUCCCGUAGGCUAACCUAUCUCGAACUUAUAAUAAUCCAAUCCAAGCCCUAGCCUAGGCUAACCUGUUUUCAACUUAUUACCUAGUGAUUUGAUGAUUCAUAUCCUAAGACUAACAUUAGCAUGUCUUAUGACUCUUAUCGGCACAAUGUCUAUCUUUGUUGUAUUAAAUCUAACUUGUGCAUCAUUGUAUUAUUAAAAUUUGCAAAUACAACGCAAGACCUGCUAAUUGGAUAAGGAAACAUUACCUGUGACUGAAGGAUACCGCCAAAUAUAUAUUGGAUAAGUGUUGUUUCUUGGGCACGGGGAGGCACCACUUUCUCUCCACCAAACUCAUCGAGGCAAACAGAUUGCAUCAUGUCAAUUGCAAACCUAAAUCACAAGAAGUUUAAAAGAAUUAGCUGACAGAUUGACAACUACUCCACCGCUAGGCUUACAAUCAACGAGUAACAAAUUGCUGACCUCAUCAACUCAUGAGCAUCUUCCUGUCUCCCAUACCCAAGAUUUCCACCAAUGUUAGGCAACCUCGAGAUAAUGUUCAUUGGUGAAAAAGGAAACCGGCUUAGGUUUGCUCUGUCGAGAUGAGUUUCAAAUUCACAGAAAAAGCACCAAUCAUUGCGCCGACCUGUCAAACAAAACGUAGAAGCAAAGUUAAGUUAAAAUGCAUACAGAAAACCCAAUUGAAGAGUUUUGAAGUAUUAAAUUUUUCCUCGAAUAGAAAUUUACAUUCUCUCUUGUGGCCUCUCUCCAUAAGGUAUGCAACAAGAGGGCGUGUCCAGGAAAGGCAUUGUAGAACCACAUUAGCAAAACAGCUGUUUCCACAAUUGAUGAGCCCACAAGGAGCCAAUAUAGGCUUGUCCCAGUUAAAAUAUUUAACAAAAGUUUCGUAUGGGAAAAGAACCUGCACAUGAUACAAACGGAAUCAAUAAGAUUGCACAAUCAAACCUAUCAAGAAAGAUUGUCAAAGAUCAGAUGAAUAAAAGAAGACACAUUACAUCUCUUGGCUUGAGGACAGCCUUGCUUUGUCUUAGCUGAGGAACCAAUGCAAUCUUAGAAGCAGACCUAUUCCCGAACAGAGAAGCUUUGAAAUCGAGGUCAUCUCUUCUAACAGGUGAUGAAUUGCAUUUUCGAUUAUGUCCCGAUUUCCAAUCUGACGCUUGGCAAUCCGCAGAGCUAGUAGCAAAGAACAGAGGUAAAACGGAAUCAAAUCCAACUACACUAAAAUCCUAAAAAUCAAAACUUUCAAAAGCAAGAAACUUUGAUAAUCUAGAGGAUGACUUAUAAAGGUAAAAGACCGUUUCUUUCAUUAAAAAAUUCCCUAAAAAUCAAAACUUUCAAAAUCAAGAUUGUUCUGCGGAAGCACGAGCUAGACAGUAAGUAACGACCAUCGUUCCAAUUCUAAUCCAGCUACGUCUAAAUCAAAUCAAGAAACCCUAAUUCGGAGAAAUUAUAAAUCUUUUUGCAAAGUGAAGGAGGUGAUUGAUUACCAGUAUUUAACGGAUUUGCAACGAGAGCAUUGCUUGGUGGAGAGCUUCCCACAGACAGCGCAUACGGACGUGUCGGAAACCAUGAAGUCUCGGCGGUGGUCGCUGUCGAAACCACCGGAGCCGCCGACCUCGAAGUACUUAGCCGCCGUGCGUUUGACAAAGAAGAGGACACCGAUGGAGAGGAAGAAGAGCGUCAAGACAAGCUGCGUGAAGAAUUUGAGAUCCACCGGUAAUCCAACUUCAUGCAUCUAAUUCCUCGAACAUCGAUCUCGAAGCUAAUUUCGCUUCUUCUCUCUCAGAUUCGAUUCGGAGAUGCCGAGAAUCUCCUCAGCUUUUCUUUCUUUUUUUCUUUUCUCGUUGUGUUUUAGACUUAGAAAAAGAAUGAGAGAAUGGGGGGACCUGUUAAAUCUUUUGUUUAUUACAGUCACAUGAGGGCCUUAAUUACAUUUUUUUAAUAAAAAGAUAAAAUAUUUCCUUUUUCUCUUAUUUGUUUCCAUUGCUAUUGUUUGGUCUAAAUUUAGUUAAUUUAACAUUAUCAGCAAUGACAACUAUUUAUAGAUAAUUUCAUCAUAAAAUAAUGUAAAUUUGAUUGAUGUGUAUACACACAAUUUCCUCUAUUUUACAAUUUGUGGCAUUCUAGCAUUUUUCACACAUUAAAAAACUAAUCUAAGAUAUUUAUUUCUCAUUAUUCAUAGACUAAGUAAAUUUCUAUUUUCCUAAUUAAUACACUAAAUUAGUCAAAUUAAAUUAGAGUUUUGUUCAAAAAUUUGCAUUGGAAGUGCAAAACGAGUAAAACAAAUAUAAAACUUAAAAUAACAUUUUUGUAUAAAUAACAUUCUUUUGUGUAAAAUUAAAUAACAUUCUUUGUAAAUUAGAGGAAGUACAUAUAUAAUAUAGGAGAAUUAUCAUCUAUCUAUAUACUUAUUUGUGUAGUGAUUUGCUUAUACGUCAUGCUCACAACGAUUUUCACAGCUUUUCGUUUACGUGUUAGCUCCAGAAUGAAUUUUGGUGGUAAAAGGACCGUUUAGCCAUAUUUUACAGUUACAUGUUAUUUUUUUAUUAGAUCUUAUCUGAUGGUGUAUAAAAACUUAAAACAAACCGAUUUAAAUUAUUAUGGUUUAAUGUUUAAUUUCAUAGUCAAUCAAACCGUUUUUCAAAUUAUAUAUAACAAAAAAAAAUUUAAAAAUGUCUAAAUUAUUAUGGUUUAAUGUUUAAUUUAAUAGUCAAUCAAACCGUAUUUAAAAUUAUAUAUAACCGAAAUUAUAUAUAACCGUAACAAAAACAUUUUUAUAUAAAAAAUAGAAUCUAUAUCUCUUAGUGUUUACCAUUUCUUAUUUUUCCGAAAUUAAAAAAAAUUCUAACAAAAAUGUUGAAAAAAUGGAAACUAUUUAAAAAGUAAUGGAAUAUCGUUUCAAAACAAAAAAAAACUAAAAUUUUUUAAAAAAAAACUCUAACAAAAAAGUUUUUUAAAAAGGAAAAUAUAUAUAUCUAACUAAUGGAUGACGUUAUUUGUGAUGUUUAAAACUCAUAAAACAGUAAUCAAAAUCGAAUAAGUUUAUACGGUACUUCAAAAAAUUACGUCUAUAGUGAUCAAAAGAUCUGAAAACUAUUUCAACUAAGUUAUUUGGAUACUAUUAUGUUUUUAUUUACUCUCUUCUAUUCUAUAUUAUUUUCACGAUCAUGUAUUCCAAUAUUAAAGUAUAAAGAAAUCUAACAAACAAAUAUACUCAAAAAUAAAAACCAAAUGAAUCCAAACAACUAUUAGAUUUUCAAACAAUCAAAGAUAAAUUAUGCCCGCGUCUAGGAAAGUUAACUAGUUUUAUAGUUAAAGUUCAAGAGGCUAUCACUAUCACGUAUAAAAAGUUUCAUAGGUCUUUUCUAGAUCAAUUAAAAUAUGAGUCAGAUAACAUGCCAAAACAAAUUACCAAUACGUCACAUAAUUUUUUUUUUCUUACGGCAAAAACAAUUUUAUUGAUUUCAAUAUGGAACUACAAAAUCAAUACGUCACAUAAUUGUUUUACAAAAAAAAACAUAAAAAAAAAGAAAGAAAGCCGAUAUAAAAUAAAGAACCGGAUAUAAAAAAAAGAUAUAUGUGAUGCAAAUGAGAAAAGAAAACUUUUUAGAGAAACAGUAGUUUUCGAAACUAUUAUCAGACUCAAUAUUUUAAAAUUUUUAGUGGCAACUUGUUCAAUAUCAACGUUCCAAAAAAAAAAAAAACCUUGUUCAAAAUCAUAAAUUUCUCCAUAAAGCGGAAUUUCAGUGAGACAUGCCUAAUAAAACUACACUUACAUGAAUGCAUGCAUCAUCAAAGUUCUGUUGAUAUUUUAGAACAGACAAAAUGACAUCAGAGGCACAAAAUCUACACUUAAUGUCAUAAGAUAAGUUUGUUUUGGCUCUUACAAAAACAAAAGCAAUAGAUAUCUCAAGUAUCCAAAAGUAAAGACAUAUGGCUACUUAACACGAACACUGAAAGCCAACGCCGGAGAUCCAGAUACGAUGAUCUCCACACGACUCUCACUUGAGGAUCUCCAACAACCACUGCUGUAUACAUAGAACGAGAUAUGAAGACCUAACUGAGUGAACAAAAUCGAGUUCCCACUCACACCACAACCAUCAGGAAGCUCCUUGACCGAGCAAGCAACAUUUACCAAACAUCCAACAAAAAACACUCUGUCUCCAAAAUCACUAACCUCGACCCAUUUACGAGCUUUUACAUCUAGCCUAAAAACUCCAAAAGUUGUUCCAUCAAUAGGAGUCACGUUUUCCUCAACUAGGAAAAGUUCAUCAUCACCAAUAGGGACAAGAUAGUUUUUUGCGUCCCUAUGCUUCAAGGACCUCCUUAGGCGGGUCGCUUUCAGUGAACGAGGAUUGAUGACAAAGACGUCCCGUCCAACAAAGGCUGCAUAAAAUUUGCCUCUAAAAGAAACUACUCCCGUGGAUGAAUAGCCUGGGACGUUCUCAACUCGCUUCCACUUCCUUUCACCACUUUUGAACACAACCAAAGUGUUAGAGUAGCUGCGAAGCACGAGGAACUCACUUACUCCCUUCUUGCUUAGCUCAAGAUACGCCACAUCUCUCUCAGAUUUUCUCAACCCUUCAGGACUCCAACAAACUAUUUGGUACUGAUGGCCCAUGUUAAUGAUCUGGCAACCACGCGUGUUCAUCCAUGUUGACUCACAGUCUAAUAUCUUCUUCCACAUUAAACCAGCUCCUGCUAGCUGCAAUGCUGAAUCAGAUCUUGCUAGCUUCACUCUCAGUGUGCACUGAAGAGGAGAUGGAAACUCCAUGUAAUCCCCAGACUCAUCUCGGCAUAUUCCUCCCACGAAAUACUCAGAAACCGACUCAACAGCGGUUGGGACUCUAAAGAGAAUCAAAGGGAUCUUCUCGAGGGAGCACAAGCCUUGCUUUUCAAUAGGAUAAGUCGGAAGAGAGUAACUUUGGAUUAGUAAGCAAGAAGGAAAAGGAAAUAAAGAUCUCCACGAGCUGCAAACAGAGCGAGCAUUAACAACAUCGAAACAGUUGUUCAGUUUCUCGAUGAUCAUUUGAAGUAACUCUUCAGGGAGCUGAGUCCAGUCUGUCAUAUUCUUUUUCGUUGAAGGCUCUGCCAUGUUUAUAUUGAUAGCUGCAAUUUCGAAAUUACAAAUACAAACUUAUUAAAUUAAUAAAUAUACAUGAACCUUAAAGAUUAAAUCUAAUUCCUAAAUGAACAUUGAAAACAAAAGUUUAAAAACCCUAAAAUUAAAUCCAAUUCCUAAACAAACAUUGAAAAUAAACGUUUAAAAACCCUGAAAUUAAAUCCCAUUCCUAAACUUACAUUGAAAACAGAAGUUUAAAAACCCUAAAAAUUAAAUCCAAUUCCUAAACGAGUAUUGAAAACAAAAGUUCAAAACCCUAAAAUCAAAUACAAUUAAGGAAAUCGGUACAAAAGGAAGAGAAAGAAUCUGUAACAAAACCCUCAGUCAGAAGUUUAGAACCCAGAAAACAAAAGAUUGUAGACGACUUCUCCCAAAGGUGACAUUUUUGCAGAAUUAAUCUAAAACCCAGAAAGAUUCUCUAAGAAAAUAGAUUCAAAUUACUACACUCCAUAGCCGACAAAUUUAGUUUGUUGUAAGGACAAGGGAAAACAAAACUGUACCUUUCGAUUGCGUUAGAAAUUGAGUCAUGACGGAGAUGUUGACUGUUCAAUACCACUCUGAGCUUCGGUCUCAAUGAUGAAAAGUAUCUAUCUCAAUACAGAAACAUGUUGUAAUUGGGAAGAAGAAGUUGUCGGAGAAAUGAUUCGACCAUUUUCAUCAUUUCAGCGAAAGAAGAAAGGAGUAAGGCAUCAUCUUUUAUACCACUCAUUAAAACAUUUUAAUCUCCUAUCUCUUCCAUUCAUUUCUUAUUUUAUCAUUAAUCACUCAUUAAAACUUUUUAAUCUCUUAUCUUUUCCACUCAUUUUUUAUCUUAUUAGUAACCAUUCAUUAAAACUUUUUAAUUUCUUAUCUCUUUCAUUCAUCUCUUAUCUUAUUAGUAACCAUUCAUUAAAACUUUUUAUUUUCCUAUCUCUUCCAUUCAUCUCUUAUUUUAUCAGUAAGUAAAAAGACUAAAUUGUCAUUUCUUAAACAAUUUUCUGUAAAAAUUAAUUAAAAAAUAUAAAAAAACUAUUUUUUUCGACCCCAUUUUUAAAGGUGGAUCCAACCAAUUUAGGCAUUCUUUCUUUCUUUCUUCUCUUUACUCAAGCUCCAUCUCUCGUCCUCUUGCUCAGACUCUCUCUCUGAUCCGCUAUCACCACCAAUGUCGGGGAGAUUGGGUUCAGAAAUUGACUCCAUGCCGCCUCUAUCACCGUCUAUUUCUUUCACCAUUGCUGUUUUUUCCUCUGUUAAACUGUCUUAACUGAUAAGUUUCUCAGAUUUUUUAUAUUGAAUUCAGCAUAUGUUGAACUCAUUUUAGCAUGCACAUUGAGAGUUUAACCUUUAAUUCUGGAUUGAUUAGGACUUCAAUUUAGUUAUAUAACUAGAUGAUGGCCCGAUUCGUAGUGCAUGUUAAAUAAUUGGUGAGAACAUUUGGCUCUUGCAAAAGAAGAACUGGGUAUAACUAUCAGUACUGGAAAAUAUAGUAUAACUAGUAAAAUUGGUAUUACUUGAAGUCGAGAUUUAUAGAGUAAAACUUGGUGCAACUAGUAUUACUAUGUAUAGUGAAGGUAUAACUCUGGAUUACUAGUAUUACUGAUCAAGUGUUUUGUAUUAUUUUGACAGAUACAAUGAGCAAAACUAUCAGCAUUCAUUUUAAAUACUAAAGUCACAUGUAUAGUUUACUGUUGAAGACACAUGUGGGGAAGAUAACUCCAUCGAUGAUAGAAGGUAUGAUAUACAAAAAGCUUGCAUUAGAUGAAAAUAAGAUAAAAUUGGAAAUGAGUUACAUUCCACUGCUGGUUGGAGGAGGUGAGGAACGGUUUAUUAUUUCUGAUGAUGAAGAUCUGUGUGUUUUUCUAACAUCUGUUGAUAAAGACAAUCAAAAAUAUAUUUUAUAUGUGGAGGCUAUGAAUAUUUCAGAACAGCCUGAGCAAGUGGUGAGAAAGGACAAUAUUGUUGAAGAUGAAAUUGGAGCUAAUGCCAUUACUUUGUACGUACCCAACGAACAAGCAAACGUUAUGGAUAAAGGUAUUGAUGCUGAACGUGUGGAUGAGGGUACUGAUGAUGGCCCUAAUAGAUCAGUUAUGCAUGAGCCUCCACCUCUGUUAGAAAGCAGUCAUCGAAUAGUGUCAUGGAAAUACAGUUUGGGUGUGAGUCAGUUUCAGGAAUUUUCAAAUAAAACAAACAGUGCAAGAGUUUAUGGAUAGAUGAACAUUUCUUAAGUCUUUUGGUUAUGUUAUAAAGUGGUCGGAUAAAACUCGUUACGUGGUCAAAUAUUCUCAAGAAAUGUGUAAAUAGGGUUCACGAGCUGCAAGAAUCACAUGGACAGAAAUUUUCUCAGUUAGAACACACACAAAGAUGCAUUCAUGCUCUCGAGCAAGUCAGAGUACAAAUAACUCUAAGAAAAAAGGCAAUCCAUGAUUAGUUGCAUCACUUUUGCAUGAUGAUUAUCUGCAUGAUUGCUUUCUAAUAUGUGGAGGAAAGUACUAUAAAAGAGAAAUGGGCACGGUGUUAUUUUUGAGGGGAUAGAUACAACAUAGACACAAGCAACGCUGUGGAAUCUUUAAACAAUGUUUUUGAAAACGCAAGGAAGUGCUCUCUAAUACCCAUGCUCAAUGAGGUUAUUAAAGUGUUUGCUGAUUGGUUUAAUCAACAUCACAAAGAGGAUGUUUCUGGAUCAAUUGAUAAUAAACUGGUGCCUUUAGUGGAGAAUUACCUGCAUGAUUUAUGGAGUGUUGCUGAGAAAUUAACUGUGAUAGCGUUAAACAGUUUCGACUGUGAAUACAACGUCAUUGGUACUGAUGGAAAGCCUUAUUUGGUGAACUUGAUAUUGAGAAGUUGCAGUUGCCGGUUUUUCAAUUUUGAGAAGUAUCCAUGUGUUCACGCACUAGCUGCUUUCAUUGACUUCAAAAAUGAUGUUUCUAGAGGUGAUGAUGCCAUAGAGAUACAUGAAUUAUGUUCAAAAUAUUAUUGGACGGAUUUCUAGGUAUUGGCAUAUAUCAAGACAAUUUAUUUAGUUCCGAAUAGGUCUCAGUGGAAUGUCCCAACUGAGUUCAAAAAGCUGCAGAUCUUACCUCCAGUGAAAAAGAAGGGGAAAAAGAGAAGUAAAAUAUUUUCAUCGGCUGGAGAACAGCAUCGUCCUAGGACGCAAAAUAAAAGACGGUCAAUACAAAGACUAUUGGCUGCUAUUUGGAACUGGUAGAUCUCCAAUGUAAUACUAUUUAUUAUGUUUUAUUAUCCUGUAAUACUAAAUAGAACUUGUAUCAUACUAACUUAAGCAUAUUAUAUCAAAGUUCUUCUAUGAAACUAUUAAAAAAUUUAGUACAAUAUAUCCAUAAAACCAAAAAUUAAAACUAACAAGCAAUAUUCAAAUAACCAAAAUUAUUUUAUUUUAAGAAAAACUAAAGUCAUGAGUGAAAAAAUAGCAUAUUAUAUCAAAGUUCUUCUAUAAAACUAUUAAAAAUUUUAGUACAACAUAUCCAUAAAGCCAAAAAUCAAAACUAACAAGCAAAUAUUUAAUUAUGUAAUCAGAAUUAUAUUUUAAGAAAAACUAAAGUCAUGAGUGAAAAAAUAGCAUAUUAUAUCAAAGUUCUUCUAUGAAACUAUAAAAUAAUUAGUACAACAUAUCCAUAAAGUCAAAAAUCAAAACUAACAAACAAAUAUUUAAUUAUGUAACAAUGUACAACUAGUACAACUGGUGAAACUAGGAUGUUGGGAUAUUAUGACAUAAUUUAAAAAAAAAAAACUAAACAAAUCCAUGUGUUCAGAUGUUGGGAUGUUAUGACACAGUUUACAUAAUAGUAUAACAUCACAAUUUUUAUUUAAAAAUAUAUUUUAUAUCAUAUAAAGUUGAGUUUACACAAUAUAUGUCUUAUACUUCUAAGAUGAGUUAUGAACAUACUAAGCAUCUUAUGAGUAAAAAAUAAAAAAUGUUUAUAUUUAAUAUUUAAUUGAAUAGUACAUUUAGACACAUACUAUUGUGGAAUAUACUUAUCUGUAAAACUAAUAAAGCAAUUAUUUAGGGUGAGUUAUUAAAAACAUAUUAUUUCUACUUAGUUUGACAUAAUUUUUCAUAGUAUUACUGCGUAGUUUGACAUAAUUAUUCAUAGUAAUACUAAUUAGUUUCUAAUACGAAUCCAAACACAAAAACUACUAAGGUGUACGUAGUUUUACACGAAUUCAAAUUCAAAGCAACUUAGAAAAAUAUAGUUAAACAUAGUUUUACUUCAACCCUCAACUCUUCAUUUUGUAUUGUCUCCUCGCCUACGCUUUUUUCCAGCGGUCUGUAAUCAAACAUAGAUUAAUAACAACAUCAUGUUUAAUAACACAAAACCCAUGGUUUGAGAAGUAAAAUAUGGUUACCUUUAAGGUCUCUCCUUGCUCAUUCAAAAAAGAUUCCAACAGUUCAACUCUUCCCACCAAAUCGUUAACCUUAUCUUUGAUAACAUUCAUCUUUUCUCCCAUUUCUGUUUUCAGAGUGUUUAUGAGCUCUACCACUUUAUUUACAGGCGUGUUUUCACAUAUUUCAUUGGGGACAUUCUCGAGUACGGAUCCUAGUCGUGAAACAACAUCUUCAUUAUACAUGUCUUCAAUCCAUAUGGUAUAUCCUUCGUGAAGACGCAGGAUCCAACUGUUGACAACAAUAUCAUGUUUAUCAACAUCGUCAUCUUCUUCUGUGAGUCUAGCCAGAAGAUCAUUUUCUUUUGGAGUAGCUACCACCAAGCUUUCAAUGUCCUAAAAAUGUAAACACUUAGUUCCAAACAUUAACAACAUAACAAACAUAUGCAAAGGAUAACUAACCUUGAUUGUACCAAGUUUUCCAUUUAUUUUUGAAAGAGGAAAUCCUUUUAAUUCGCUUUUCUUAAACUUUGACCUGCACAUCCUAGGACAACCCAUGUCUGCACCUGGAAAAAUACUCCAUAGCUCUAAAAUUGCCUCAAAUGCCAAAAACUACACAACACACAUAUAGUUAAACUUAUCUUCAACUAUAAUAGAUAAUAUCAAUUUUAAAUACCUCAAAUAAAUUUUUACUUACCUCUAAAAGAAUACAGAAAUCUGGAAUUGGCCAGGUUACACCGCCUUGACUAAACCCCCAAAAUGAGUCAUCGUGUGCGAUAUGUUCUUCACCAUAUAGUCAUAUGACAGUCUCUCCCAAGGAAAGCUCUUACAUAACUCGAGAUCAUCCACCGCAAUUUGAAAGAAUUUCAAAACGGGUGUAGCAUCUACUCCAGUCUUUGUCUACCCUACGACAAUGUUGGAUAAGAAGAACAAGACCAACUUCUUCAACCUAUCUCGACUAGUUUCCAUUUCCUCCAGUUUUUCUUUCACGUCUUGAUGAGACACUAUUGCUCCUUUCCCAAAAUGCUUGUUCACAAAUUUCUUAUCCACGAUUUUACUUCCUUCCACAUAAUGUAGUGGAUAGUUGCGACAGUCAAAUCCCGAUAUCAAGGCGUGUUCCCUUAGACCAUAACGGAUAGGAACACCACGAACCAAACUUCUUUUUUAUUUUCGAUGCAUGCCAUUCGAAGAAGGAGCAUCCAUAAGCUUGUGGUAUCUGUCCCUAGGCAUGUGGAAAAUGUGUUUGAACUGCCGAUGUUUCUCAAACCAUCUCAACUCAACACUACUCAAAGGAUGCUUCAACCCUUCUAUUGUAUUCAAGAAUUCAAAUAUAUAACACCUUGUCGAUAUCUUAAUUUUCUUGACAUAUUUCUUCGGUGGGAAGUAGUAGAGCUGUCGUUUCGUCUUCUGAAUUUUGCAGCAAUAAUUGAGUUCUACCAAGUUAUAUUAGUUUAACAUAUCAAUUUCUCUUAGUGUUCUCUAGUGUUACCUAGUUCUACCAGAAUUACUAAUAAACUCAUAGUUUUACCUAGUAAUAUCGGUAUUUUUCCGAAUAUUAACACAAUUUUACGUAGUUCUACCAAUAUUACUUCAAAAAUCCACAUAGUUUUAUCUAGUUCUUCCAUUACUAACAUAUAAAUUCUGCCUAGUUGUACCUAGUUAUACUAGUAUUGCUAAUACAAACAGAUAUACUUACCGUUGAGACCACAUCCUCGUCCAUGGCGUAUGAAUUUCCAUGUUCUCCUUCAUCCUCUUCUUUAUCCGCAUCCUUCUCUAAUUCUUUGUCUUCUUCUUCGUCUUUCUCUCCUUCCUCUUCUUCGUCAACUUCUUCUUCCUUGUCUGACUUCUCUACAUCUCCUCCUUCUUCCUCAUCUUCUUCUUCUUUGUCUGACUUUUCUAGGUCUUCUCUUUCUUCUUCAGUUCUCAGAACUUAAUCUUCAACCUCUUCCUCCAUUUUUGAUGCUUCAACCAUUGGAGGUGGCGGAUCGGAACUGCUCUCGCCCUUGGUUUUUGGAGCUCUAAUCUUCUUCUUCUUCUUUGUCCAUCUUGUUCUAGCCAUUUUUCUCGAUCGAUAACAGUUUUGGGAGGAUUAGAUUUGUAGUUAUCCCUAGUUUGACGAUGAGAGAAUCGAAUAUCGGAAAAGAGAUAAAGAGAAAUCGUUAUGGAUUUGAUCGAUUUGGGGAGAACUCUAAAACAAUCCAAAUUUUUGGAUCAAGUUUUUCGAGUUAUGCCCGAUAUCACUGGCUGGACGGGUUUCAUCCAGAUAUAAAAUGUGAUUUUUUUGAAUUAAAAUGGGUUUAAGAUUUUUUACCUAUUUUGAACAUUAAAAAUAAUUACAUUAAAAAUUCUUUAAAAUAAAGAGAGAUAUCGGAUUUGUAUUUGAGAAGGAAGGGUAAAUUAGAUGAUUCCCCAAACGACUAAGGAUUUUCAGUGAAUAGCGACGUCGUUUCCCGGGAAAUGAGACAACAUCGGUUUGAGUAGCAUCGCCAUCUAUAUUUCCGGUUCAAGGUUUGGUUUCAUCCGGGUUAGUUUCACAUUUGAACAUUUCAUGGGCUCAAAAACAUAUGAUAUCUAUCCAUACACCAAGAACACAGCCAGACACGGCUUGGAAAUUUCAUGAGAAAAUAACGGUUGUAAGUUAACCAGUGACAUGGCUACUAGAGUUUACCAAGAUCGUAGAGGAUAGUCUAGAAUAACAGGCAUCAAAAUGACAUUAAAGACACACGACCUACACCUAAAAUUAUAGGAUAAGGUUGUUUUGAUUUAGAUGUCUCAAGUAAUCCAAAGUACGCCUUAUGGUUUGAUUCUCAACACGGAAAGACAAAGUAAGACGCUCUCUUGAGAGUUCCCAAUCACCGCUUCCUGCUGCAUAUUUAAAGAUGAAGUUUGCAUGGCCUGGCCGCUCGGUGAAAAAAAUUGAGUUCCUGCUCAAACCACAACCAUCAGGAAGCUGCUUCGUCGAGCAUGAAUUAUUUGCACCGUAUCCAGCAAACAACACACGGUCUCCCAAGUCAGUGACCUUGACCCAUUUACCAGCCUCCUCAUCUAGCCUACGCACUCUACAUUUUAACCCAGCAGCAUGAGGGGUGGUACUCAGAAAUUUCUCAACCAGGAAAAGUUCAUCAUCGCCUGAUGGAAUUACAUGAAAGAAUCCGUUCAGAUGCUCUGAGGGCAUUAGGCGAGUUGCUUUUAGCAAAUAAGGAUCAAUAACAAAAACGUCCUUGUUCCUAAAUGCUGCAUAAAACCUGCCUCUAAAAGCUACUAAGUCCAAGCAUGUAGUAUCUGGGACGUCUUUGAGUUGCAACCACCUCUUUUCAACACUUGUGAACACCACCAAAGUUCUUGAGUAGCUGCGGAUCACAACGAAUUCUGCUCCUCCCUCCUUGUUUAGCGGAAGAAAAGCCACAUCUUUGAAAGUUAUCCUCAACCCUUGAUGCCAACAAAUCAUUCUGUAAUGAUGACCUACAGAGAAGAUCUGGCAGUCAAGCAUGUUCUUCAAUGUUGGAUUAGAUCCUGGUAACUUCAAUCUCAGUGAGCACUGAGGAGGAGAUGGGAACUGUGAAUAAUCCUCUGACUCAUCUCGGCAUAUUCCUCCCAAAAAAUACUCAGAAGCCGACUCAGCAGCAGUUGGGACUCUACAGAGGAAAAAAGGGAUCUUCUCGAGGGAGCACAAGCUUUCCAUUUCAAUAGGAUAAAGGGGAAGGGAGUAACUUUGGCGUAGUAGGGAAGCUGGAAAGGGAAAUGUGGAUCGCCACGAGGUGCAAACAGAGCGAGCAUGAACAACAUCGAAACAGUUCUCUAGUUUCUCCUUGAUGAUGUGAAGUAGCUCUUGAGGAAGCUGAGUCCAGUCUGGAAUCAUCGAUUUCGAUGAUGUCUUCAUUUUUGUUGAUGUCUUCACUGCUGCAAUUUCGAAAUCAGAAAGACAAAUUAAGCUUAUGUGGUUUAAGAACCGAACAUUUCUGAAUUGACUUCAUCAAAACAGACUACAAUAACAACAUUUCCUAAAACGAACACUGAAAACAAACGUUAAAUAACCGAAAUUACUACAUAGACACAAUUACUACAGUAAAAAGCCGAAAUUCUAGUUUGUUUCACCGUACGGUCAAGGAAAAAAAACUGUACCUCAAGGAGUUACGUUCGACGCUGAGGCACGACCGAGAUGGCGACUCUGCAAUACCACACUGAGCUUCGAUCUCAAUGAUGAGAGGGUCUCAAUAUACAGAAACAUACAUGUGUAAGGCUAUGAAGACAAAACCAAAGAGAUGGAGAAGUUGUCAGAGAAGAAAUGACUCAUCGACUGCCUUAUAACUUCAAAUUUUCAUCAUUUCAGGGAUUUUCAAUGACCAACGACGUCGUUUUCCCGAAAACGAUCUAUAUUCCGGUUCAAAGGUUUUGUUUCAUUCGGUUUGAUUUCACAUUUGAACAUCCCAUAUUAAUGGGCUAAAAAUAUGAUAUCCAUCCAUUUAGCACCCAAAUAAAGGGCCAUGAUCAUUCCUAAUGAUCCAACUUGCCUUCGAAUUGCGUUCAUGAUUGUAAAAAAAACACCAUCAAAGUCACAUUUUGACACAGACCGGUUUAGAGAUUUCUGGCGACCUGUAUCUUAAUGCCUUGAGUGUUUCUUUAUGUGAUACAUCGCUCUUAUUGGUUGUUUUUGUAUUAGAUGUUGAGACUUCUUGAUAUCAGAGUAAUCUCAAACCAACAUUUACAAAUCCCACACAGUAAGGCUAAUGAUCUCACUCACUCAAAUCCUACUCCAUACUUAACAUGCUACUACAAUUGGACCUUACUAGUUAAGGUAAACAUUGUUAAAUUUUACCAAAAUAAAAAAAAGGCCAAACAUUGAUUCAUUUCAAUUUGUCUUUGGCACUUACACAAAAGGACACAUCUUCAUUUGGUCACUUGCUUCACCUUAGAGCAGAACUUAAGAACACAGUUUGCGUCUCCUUCCCAAAUCAGCUUCAACAUGACCGAUUCACCUAUCUUCACAUUGUUAGCUUUGAAGAACUCUCUCCAGCCUUUUACAAGUCUAAUUCUUUUACCUUGGUCACCAGACCGUAGACCCGUAGGCCACUUCACAUCGUUUUUAUCCAGCAGAGUCAUUUUAGUUUUCUCAGUGAUGCCAUUCAUCCUCGUGAAGGGCAUUGGUAGAAACUGAAAACAAAUAUUCAAACAGAGGAUUCAGAAUCGAUAGACUGUAAAAAAGACAAUGGCUUGUUGAUGAAACUGACCAGGAUAGAGUUUUUGACGACCCAAGGUCUAAGAGUUAAUGUCACAAAUCGGUUUUGGGAUGGUGAAGGUGAAGCUUUCCAUGUCGAUUUACCGGUUCUAUGUUUCCUCUCUGAACAUUUCUGCGAGCUUCUCUCAUCUUGGUUGCUCUCUUCAUCGCUUUGCGGCUCUAUAUCAUUAGCUUCUAAUGAGCAAUCAUCUUCUUCUUCUUCUUCAGAUUCAUUGAGUGACAAACGUAGAACCAGAUUUUUUCCUCUCUGGAUCAGUUUGAGAGUGAAGAAAUCUCCAGCCUUAUAUCCAUUGGCACUACAGAAAGUUCUCCAUCCUCUUCUGAUGUAAGUAGUUCCACAUUUCUUCUGUUUUAAAGCUAAAGUCCAUGAUCUACCCUUAUCAUUCAUUAGAACAAUCUCUCCACAUCUUGUGUUUAGACCAUUUGCCCUCGCAAAACUCAUCGGAAGACUCUGGAAAUUCAACAUGUAUAUCUUUUAAUCAAACUUAGAUUAUAGUAUAAGAGCUCUUUCUUUUAUUCAAAUUAAAGAGUAGACACACCAGUGAAUCAUAACGUAGGCUCGCAUGCGUGACAUUAGCCACAAAGCAAGAGGGAUUUAGUGAAGAAGAAGACUCUGCUUCUCUUUUCACUCUCUUCUUCUUCUUUGGAAUCUUCUCUGAAAAAAACAAAACAAAACAAAAUCAAUCUCUCUACUUACUGAUUCAUACUCCAAGAUCACAGUUUAAACUUUGUUUAAUUGUGCACAUUUCUUCUUAAAUGUCUGUCUCAGAUUCAGAGUUAGAAAGAGACAGAACACAACUCACCGAGCUUGUUCUCAUCGUCCAAACAAGACUCAUACUGAAUCUCACAGCAACUGGGUCCAAAGGGUGUGACGUGGAAAGUCAUGUCUUUCUCUUGUCUGAAAAUAACAAUGUCACCGAUUCGAAAAUCAUGAGCGAGAGCGAACUCUUUCCAACCAUCAGUGAGUCUCCGGCCAUCUUCUACCUUCACUCUCCAGGUUAUCUCCGACGCGUCUGAUCUCAGCUUCGCCGUAGUCUUGUGCUCAUUUUUUCCUUUUAUGUACUUGGAGAAGAAAGCUACAGGAAUUGUCUGAAACAACAUGCAAAUACCAAAUUAGACCCAUCCUUCUUGAUGAGAUUCUCAGAGAGACAGAGACAUGCAGAAAGUGGGAGAAAAGAGAGAGGGUACUAAGUGGCUGUGGAAGUCUGGAAGAAGAGGCUGGAAGAAAUGUCUCUUGGCCAUGAAUCUUCAGAAGCUUUGAAUCUCUCAAAGUCUACACUGCAUAAAAAUCAGGAUAAACAAUCUAUUAAGUAAAAAAAACUGAUCCGAAUUGAGACUACAAGAACAUCAUUUUGCUAACAAAUAUUAAAAACAGAGAAUCGAAUCCAAUUCCAGAAUUCGAUCAGAAAUAGUCAGAAUUUCAAAACCCUAAAAUCACUGAGAAGAGAAGAUAUCGUCGUCGUCACCGUUUUCACUCUAGUUCUAGUUCUAGUUCAAGCUCAUAAGUCACUCGAGUGAGUGUUGGAGAGCUUCUGCGGAAGGUUUAGGUGACUACGGGGAAAUCACGUGCAACACACGUGGUUCGUCUAACAUGCGCACAUCUUCUUUCAUUUCUGGAAACAUAAUUUAUUCUGUAAGAACACACACUGUAGCUAUAGGUCCCAAAAAACCCAAAUUGAGUUGCCAUUUUCGAUUAAUUUCAGUCUUCUUCAGAGAAAAUCGGCACGUGAUAUCCCCAUUUUUCCGGCAACGAAUUACAUUCCCGCCGGCGAAGUACGAUCUACAGUUCCGGCAAUUGAUUGCGUUCCGUUUGGCGACAAAACACUGUGCUCUUCUUCUUACUUGACCCUUUUUGUGUUCUUCUUUACUUGACCCUUUUUGUGUUCUUCUUCUUACUUGACCCUUUUUGUGUUCUUCUUCUUACUUGACCCUUUUUUUCUUUUCCUGUAAUCAUCUUCAUAAGUAAAAACCCUAGCUUGACUAGUCUCAAUGUAGUAUAGUUUCACUCUCUCUUACACUGUUUAAGAUGCAGAUUUUGAAAACUCUUUCAGUGAACUAAAGGAGAAUUCUGAUUAGUGUUGGUUUCAAUCUUUGUUAUGCAGAUUUCCUUGUUCUACAGAAGAAAACACACAUGGUUGGUGGAGGGAAAAAGAAACAGACUCGUUCCAAUAGGUCUUCGAUUCAUAGAUUGAAGGAAGAUAGGAUAAGCCAGUUACCUGAUUCUUUGUUAUGCAAGAUACUUGGCCAUCUUCCCGCAAAAGAAGCUGUUAAGACGAGCGUCUUAUCCACCAGAUGGAAAAGUCUCUGGCUUUGGGCUCCUAGUUUGGAAUUAGACUCCAAUAAAUUCCCAGAUUUCAAUGCCUUUGCGAGUCUUGGUGACAGGUUUUUCGAUUCCAAUAGGGUUUCAUGCAUAGACAAGCUUGAGUUAAAAGUUUAUGAAAGUGACAAUGAUGAUGUCGAAGAUUAUGUAGCUUAUUUCACCUCAUGGAUUGAUGCUGCAGUUAAGCGUAAGGUCCAACAUCUACAUGUUGUGUCUCUUCCCGAUGAAUACUCAUUUGAGAUUCCCAUAAGCCUUUAUAUAAGUCAGACACUGGCAUUCUUGAAACUUCAACUGGUGGCCUUGGUUAGUGCUGAGUCUUUUUCCUUACCUUGUCUGAAGACUAUGCAUCUAGAAGAGAUCUGGUUUCAGUAUCCCAAUGAGACCACUUUUGAAAGACUUGUCUCAUCAUGUCCUGUCUUGGAAGAGUUAAAAAUUAUCGAGUUUGGGAAUGCUCCUAAUGUCUUUCGGGUGCACUCUUUUUCACUCAAGAGGCUCGAAAUAAAAAUACGUUAUGCUUUAACUGAUGAUUACUUAAAUGUUGUGAUUGAUGCUCCUUUACUACGCUGGUUGAGAAUCGAUGAUUGCUUAUCUGAAAGAUAUAUGAUAAACAACUUGGAUUCCGGUGCCAAGUUAGAUAUUUCUCUCAGCUUUGGUGAAUUGCUUCCUAAUGAAGAAACAGUUUCAUCAAAGAGAUAUAUCAUCCGCGAUUUGCUGCCCCGGAUUUCAGAGGUCGGGGAAAUGAUCAUGUAUCUAGACAUUUUUAAGGUAUAUGUUUGUUAAUGCAGGUAUAUGUUUUCUUCUAUAAUGAAAGUCUCUCACCCACAAGUCUUUCUAUUGGUUUCAGGUCAUUCAUUACUAUUCCAAAUUAGAACCCUUGCCUCAUUUUGGUUACAUGUCCCGCCUGGAUAUAACACUCUGUGUAUCUGAUCUAAAAUGGUUGCCAACUUUUCUUGAGCACUGCCCUAAUCUGAAAUCCCUCGUUUUGGUGAGAAUCUGCUAGUCAUAUGAUUUUUCUUAUCUCUAUGAAGUUUCUGUGUAUUUUUUCAUUGUGUUUUCUUUUUUUUUUCAUCAGAAAUUGGAUACUCAGUUUAAGGAGAUCCAUUCUGAGGAGAUGAAACAAAUCAGAUUUUCACAUGUGCCUCAAUGUUUGUUAUCUUCGCUAAAGUUUUGUUGAUAUCAAAAGCACAAUCAGUGGAUAUACUGCAGAAAUGAAGCUGGUGAGGUACUUCCUGGAGAGUUCAGCAAUCCUCAAGAAACUGACUCUACGUUUGAAAUAUUGUUCAAAUGAAAUUGUCAUCUUCAAGAAACUCCUGAAAAUACCAAGACGUUCUACCAAGUGUCAGGUCGUCGUACUGUGAUUGGCAAAGGCAAGAGACAACAUGACAAAGCUUAUGUUCUGACCGGUACAGUCAGUUGAUGAUUUGCCGCACAAGAUUUGCAGUUGUAGGCUUAUAAGUAUGUUUGUUUCUUUGGUAAAUAGAAAUGCAACUGUUUUUAGGUACUUUUGCAGGAAAUCAUUAUGCUGUUUAUAGAAUCAAGUUUGAUCUGCAUUCAGUGGAACGGUGCGGUGCAUUCUGUUGCGGGAUUGUUCUGUAAUUUUAGCUAAUGUGGAUGUAAUUUUUCAGUGUGUGACUAGUAUUGGUUUUCAGAAACGGACACUAUAAGAUUGACUUAUAUCCUGUUGCACCAGGCUUUCAAUUGAAUGAUAAGAAGCUCCUAAGGCUUAUAACUGUGAGUCUGAGACAUAGGUACACUUAAAUCUAUGUCAAAUCUAUGUUCAUUGCCUUGCGUUUUGAGAUUUCUUGCGACCUUUUAUCUGAAUUCCUUGUGCUUCUAUAAUAAAUAAUCUUUGAGUGUCUCUCUCUUUGGUGGUUUUUGUGAGAUGGUGAGAUUUCUUGAAAUCAGAGUAUUCUCAACCAAAGUUAAUUUAAACCAUUCACAAAUUCACACACUCGGAUCUUACAACAUGCUUCAAAUAACAUACUACAAUAGACAAUAGGCUGGACCUUUUGAGUUGUUAUAUCUUACACACAUAAUAAGCCAGAAACUGAUGCAUUCCAAUUCGUCUUGGGCACUUACAAAAGCUAAAGAAAUUACUCAUACACAGUUUCAUUUGGUCACUUGCUUCAGCUUAGAGCAGAACUUAAGGACACAACUUUUGUCUCCUUCCCAAAUCAGCUUCAACAUGACCGAUUCACCUAUCUUCACACAGUUUGCUUUGAAGAACUCUUGCCAACCUCCUACCAUUCUUAUUCUAUCACCUGUUAUCUCAGACCGCAGAUUCGUAGACCACCUCACACCAUGUUUGUCCACCAGACUCAUUUUAGUUUCCUCAUUGAUGCCAUGCAUCCUCGUGAAGGGUAUCGGAAGUAACUGUAACAACGAUUCAAAGAAAGGAUUCAAGGCUCGAUAGACUGUAACAAGACAAAAUGGCUUGCAGUGAUGAAACUUACCAUUACAUACUUUGUGAGAUUGAAAGGCUUAAGAGUUAAUGUCACAAAUCGGUUUUGGGAUGGUGUGGAUGACGCUUUCCAUAACAAUCUAGGCUUCUUGAAGCUUUUCUCAUCUUGGUUGCCCUCUUCAUCGCUUUCUUGUUCUGUGGAAAGAGACUCUAUUUCAUCACCUUCUGAGCUCUCUUCUUCUUCUUCUUCUUCUUCUUCUUCUUCUUCUUCUUCGGAAUCUGUGGGGGACAAUCGUAGAACCAGAGUUCCUCCUCUUUGGAUCAGUUUGAAAGUGAUGGAAUCACCAGCUCUAAGUCCAUUGGCACGACAGAAACUUCUCCAUCCUCGUCUGAUAUAAGCAGUCCCACAUGAAUUCUUUCGUUUCAAAUUUAACGUCCAUGAUCUACCCAUUUCAUUCAUCAGAACAAUCUCUCCGCAUCUUGUGUCUAGACCAUUUUCCCGUGAAAAAUUCCUUGGAAGAUACUGGAAAUUCAUUACAAUACAAAUGAAUAUUUUUUUUUAUCAACUUAGACCAUAGGUCCAUAGUAUAAGAGCUUUUUCUUUUGUUCAAACUACGAGUAGAAAUACCAGUGAGUCAUAACGUAGGCUCGCAUGCGUGACAUUAGCAACAAAACAAGAGGGAUAUAGUGAAGAAGACUCUCCUUCUUCUCUUUUUGGAUUCUUGUUUAUUUGAAUCUUCUCUGAAAAAAAAAAAGGUAAUCAAUCCAAGUGGUAUUGUAUUAGUCAAACUGAUUCUCUCUACUUACAGAUCCAAAUAGCAUAAUCAGCUUGAAACUACAGUUUAAAAGAGUUAGAGAAAGACUGAAACACAACUCACCGAGUUUGCUCUCCUCAUCGCUUUCUGAGUCUGUGGAAAGGGACUCUACUUCAUCACCUUCUGAGCUCUCUUCUUCUUCUUCUGACUCUGCGGGGGAGAAACUCAGAACCGGAGUUUCUCCUCUUUGGAUAAGUUUGAAAGUGUAGAAACCUCCAGCUUUCAGCCCAUUGGCAUAACAGAAACUUCUCCACCCUCGUCUGAUAACAGUUCCAUAAGUCUUUCCUCUUAGAAGUAAGGACCAUGAUUUACCCUUACCGUUCAUCAGUACAAUCUUUCCCCAUCUUGUAUCUAGACCAUUUGCCCUCGCAAAACUCACUGGAAGAUUCUGUAAAUUCAUAUACAAUACAACAUGAUCUUGACAAUUUUCAGACCUUAGUGUAAAAGGUUUUCUUUUGUUUAAAUUCGGAGUUAAUACCAGUCUGUCUUGACGUAGGGUCGAAGGCGAGACUUUAGCCACAAAAUAAGAGGGAUCUAGCGGAUAAGACUCAGUUUCUCUUUCCGGAUUCUUCUUCAGUUUUUUCCUUCUCUGAAUUUCCGCUGAAAAAGAAGCAAAUCAAGCCAAGUGAUAAUGGUCAGUCUGAUUCUCUCUACUUACUGAUCCAUAUUCCUAAAUAAGCCAAAAUUACAGUUUAAACGUUUCUCUAGUUACUUGAGCACAUUUCUUAAAUGACUGAGAGUCAAGAGUUAGAGCAAGACGGAACACAACUCACCGAGGUUGCUCUCUUCAUCACUUUCCGGUUCUGUGGAAAGGGACUCUACUUCAUCAGCUCCUGAGCUCUCUUCUUCUUCUUCAGACUCUGUGGUGGACAAACGUAGAACCGGAACUUUUCCCCUUUGGAUCAGUUUGAAAGUGAAUGCCUCUCCAGCCUUAAAUCCAUUGGCACUACAGAAAGUUCUCCACCCUCGUCUGAUGUAAGUACUUCCACAUUUCUUCUGUUUUAAAGCUAAAGUCCAUGAUCUACCCUUAUCAUUCAUUAGAACAAUCUCUCCACAUCUUGUGUUUAGACCAUUUGCCCUCGCAAAACUCAUCGGAAGAUUCUGAAAAUUCAUUACAAUACAACAUGAUUUUGAUCAAACUCAGAUUUUAGUAUAAGAGAUGUUUUCAAAUUAAGAGAAGACAUACCAGUGAGUCAUAACGUAGGCUCGCAUGCGUGACAUGAGCCACAAAGCAAGAGGGAUCUAGUGAAGAAGACUCUGUUUCUUUUCUUGGAUUCUUCUUCACUUUCGUCUUCUUUGGAAUCUUCCCUAAAAAUAACAAAAAAAAAAAAAAUCUCAUUGGCAAAUCAAUAGUCAACUGAUUCUCUCUACCUCCACAUGCAUGUUCCAAAAUCAGUUUACUUCUUAAGUAUCAUUCUCAGAUUCAGAGUCACGGGCAGAGUUAGAGAGAGAGAGAGAGAGAGAGAGAGAGAGAGAGAGAGAGAGAGAGAGAGAGAGAGAGAGAGAGAGAGAGAGAGAGAGAGAGAGAGAGAGAGAGAGAGAGAGAGAGAGAGAGAGAGAGAGAGAGAGAACACAGCUCACCGAGGUUGUUCUCGUCAUCUAAACCAGACUCAUAUUGAAUCUCACAGCAACUGGGUCCCAUGAGUGUCACGUGGAAAGCCAUGUCUUUCUCUUGUCUGAAGAUGGCAAUGUCACCGACUCUAAGAUCGUGUGCAAGAACGAACUCUUUCCAACCAUCAGUGAGUUUCUGGCCAUCUUCUAUCUUCACUUCCCACGUUAUGUCCGACGCGUCUGAUCUCAGCUUCGCCGUAGUCUUCUUCUGCUCAUUUGUUCCUUUUAUAUACUUCAAGAAGAAAGCUACAGGAAUUGUCUGAAGCAACAUGCAAACACAAAACCAGAUAAAGACAGAUAUUGAUGAGAGAGAGAGAAAGAGUGACAGAGAGAAAGGGAGAGAGGGAGAAAGUGAGAGAGGGAGAGAGAGAUAGAGAGAGAGAGAGAGAGUACCAAGUGACUGUGGAAGCCAGGAAGAAGAGGCUUAAAGAAAUGUUUAUUCGCCAUCCUCAGAAGCUCUAACUCUCCUAGAGAAAAGAAUGUAAUGAACCAACUUGAAGAAAUGAAGACGACGCUUCAUUACCCUUAUUUAUUGUAAAGCUUCUUCUUUUUGAUUGGAUAAAGGCUUAAAGUUUAAUUAAGUAAUCUCCCUUUAUUAUGGAUCCUAUUUAUUGUAGACCUUCUUCAUUUUCCCUAUAUUUAAUGCUCACUUUCUGAUAAUUAACAAAUUUUGUAUUUAUUAGUCUCCCGAGAACAAAACUUAAGUACAUAAGUUGUUUUGGUUUGUUCAGAAAUGAACUCCAAAGUGAAGGACUCUCCUGUUCUAACGCCAUUAGCCUCACAAAACCAUUUCCAAUCAAUUCCCAAAGCCACGAAUCCAUCUCUUGACAAAAGAAAAGCCGAACACUUCGUUCCUUCUUUACCCAACAUAGUUAUCUUCCCAAGCUUGCCGAUGCCAUUAGCCUUCAUGAACUGCCUUGGAAGAUGCUGGGAGAAAUUUGAACAAACACAUUUACGUUACCAAUUGGAAUAUAAGAAAGAGAAACUUAACUCAACUCGGAAACAAGAUUGGAUGAUGAACUUACCAAUUUACAUGCUCUGACAUCUUCAGGUGUGAGUGUUAAUUCCGCGAAUCGGUUUUGGAUUGCUGAGGAUGAAUCUCUGCUUCUAGGUUUCGUGGAAACCGACUCUUUCUCGUUAGGUUUUGAACAGCUAGACUUUGCAUGGAACAUAGACAUGGUAUUCACUUUCCUAUUUUCUUCUUUCUUGUUUUUCUCUUUACUGUUCUCGUCUUUGCUUAUUUUCUCAUAGCUGCUAGGUUCUAUGGAAAGAGAGUUUUCCUGGUCUGUUUCUGAACACUCUCCUCCUGCUCCUCUGUCAAUGCUACAUUCUGCAGGGCACAAGCUAAGCAUAGGAGUUGUGUCUUCCCAAAUCAACUCCAGUGUGAAGGACUCGCUCAUCUUUAAGCCGUUUGCUUUUACAAAAUCUUUCAAACCCAUUUCCAUUUUCAUUGUUCCGUUCUUGUCCCGUUGAAGGUUUGUCAGCCACUUUUUACCAUCUUUACCUAAGAGAUAUAUCUCCCCAGUCUUAUUGAUGCCAUUCUCCCUCAGGAACGACCUUGGAAGACACUGAAGAUAUUUGAACAGAGGACGAAUAAAUAUGCGUCAAAAGACUCAAAACCAACAAGGGAAGAAUCAAGAGUUGUUUUCGAUGAACUUACCAAUCUACGAAUUCUGUCAUAAUCAGGUGGAAGUGUAAAUGUUACGAAACGCUUAUAACGUGGUGAAUAUGAUGAACAUGACAAAAUUCUUCGUUUCAGGCUACACUUCUUCUCUUUUGUCUCCAUGAGUGACUCCAUUGAGCUGCAAUCGUCUUCACUGCUCUCCCCUUCUAUGUUCUCUUCCCCGCUGCUAAUUUCUGUGGAAAAAGAUUCUCUCCCGCUAGCUUCUGAACAGUUUCUUUGCCUUUUAUCAUUACAAGAUUCUGAAGGGCAGAAACCGAGCACAGGCGUUUCCCCAUUUCUCACUAGUUUAAACAUAAAGAAGGAUUCUGCUUCUCGACCGUUUUCCUCACAGAAUUUUCUCCAACCUCGGCUAAUGUAAAAACUAUCAGAUGACUUGCUGAACCUCAGAUCCAAUGCCCAUGAUCUUUCCUCUCCAUCUGUUAAAACAAUCUUGCGGCAUUUUCUUGUAAUACCACUUGAGUUUGUGACAUAUUGUGGAAGAUACUGCAACCACCAGAUUAACACAAGAGUUAGAUUAAUUUACUUAGAAAACACUUGCAAAAAAUAAUAUAGCAAACGUGGACAAACUCUUUCUUUAGUUACAUUAUUCUAUAGGCAUGAAAAUAGGAAUAGUAGGUGAAUAAGGGCAAAUCAAACCAAUCCACAUGAAAGCAAACUAGACCAAACAGCAUCAAAACGAACAGUUUUGCAAGUUUUCUCCCACACCAAAGUAAGCAAAGAUUAACCAAAUCCAACUUCUAACAUACAUACAGUAAUCUAACACUUCUUAUCAAACCAAUACCGAAUUGCAAUUAACUAACUUUUGAUUUCACUUCAACAAAUUUUCUCCUAAAAUCUAAGCCCCCAACACUAGAAACAGCCGUUCAUUUAGUGAGUCAUGAAACCACAGUUAUGCAAAAAUAUUAUAAGUAUGAGAUUUUUGCAAAUGCAGGAGUAGAGCAAUCACCAGUUUAUCUGUGCGUAGGCUCGAAGGCGUGACCAUGGCCACAAAACAUGAGUCGUCUGAUGAGGAAGAAGAAACUUCUUCUGCCUCUGGACUGUUCUUCUUCGCUUUCUUCUUUACGGGAAUCUCUGUAUCAUAAUUAUCUUACAUGUUUAAACCUCUGAUACUUAGAUUGGACUCAUACAAUACAAGAGAAGUGAAAAUUACCUAAGUUAUCCUCAUCAUCAACAUCGUUUGAUGAAAAGACCACUUGUGUUCUUGGGUGCAGACGCUUUUUCAACAAAUUUUUACCUGAUUUGGAGAAGAAAAGAUCACUAAAAUUACCAGAUUUUGCAGUUUUGUCUUACAAUGACAUCUUUAAAUCGCAGAAGUCACUUACCAAUGUCGUCCUGACCAUAACUGUUGUUGCUCAAAGGCGGAAUGUCUUGAAUCUCACAGCAACUGGAUCCUAAAUCCGAAACAUGGAAGACCAUAUCUCCUUCAUAUCUAACAACGACAACAUCGCCGGUUCGAAAAUUGUUAGCGACGGCGAACUCUUCCCAGCCGUCACUGAGUCUCCGACCAGUCAUCUUCACUUUCCAGGUUAUGUCCGACGAGUCAGAUUUCAGCUCAGCCGUCGUCUUCUCCACACUGGUCUUUCCUUCGAUAUACUUGGAGAAGAACUCUAAGGGAAUCGUCUGCAAAAUAAAGAUCAAUAUCUGUGAGUUAAGCUGUUCGGAGACAGAAAAAAAGAGAGAAGGAGGCAUGGUAGUAGUUACGAGGUGAGUGUUGAAGCCAGGAACAAGAGUGUGGAAGAAUUGCGGGUGAAGAAGAAGCGUUGGUUUCGCCAUUCGGCAUUGUCGAAGCAGAAGAAAGAAUAUGGGAAAAAUGCCAAAACAUACCUCAUUUAUUUAAUUUUUGGAAGAAUCACACACGAACUUUUAACGUUGCCAAAAACCAUAAAACUAUUUUUUCGAUGCAUAAAAAUACAUAAGUUUUUUAAAGCUUCAUUUUCCUCCUUCUGAUUUCACGGCCGUUAACAGACAUAACGGAAUCAAUAAACAGAGUUAAUUUUUGUUAGAAAAAAAUGCUAAAAAAUACAUCAACUAUUUAAUUUUGCCAGAAACCCACACAAACUUUUUGCAUUGCCAGAAAUCCACACAGACUAUUUUUUUAAUCUAUAAAAAUACAUAAACUUUUUAUAAUUCCAUUUUCCCUCCUCAAGUUUCACGGUCAUUAUAGACAUAACAAAAUCAAAAAACUGCGUUAAUUUUUUAUAACACGUGUUAAUUACUGUCAAAUUAAUAUCAUUAUUACCUUUAAAAAGAAAAACCUAAACUCUAAUUUUUUUCUCUUACUUUUCAGAAAUUGAGUGAAAUCGGUUGAAAAUAUGGUCAAUAAAGCAAUAAAUCAUGUUUAGAACAUAUACAUCAUCUCCUCGAAUUGCUCUUAUUAGUCUUACAUAUCACAACACACAAUGUUUCCGACUCGAUUUAUACUACCAACCAUAUUUUUCAACCGAUUUCACUCAAUUUCUAAAAGAGAGAGAAAAAUUAGGGUGUAGAUUUUUCUUCCCCAAAUCAAUUUGAAGAUUUUUUAAGGGUAACAAUGAUAUGUAGUUAGCACGUGUUACAAAAAACUAACAUAACGACCGUGAAACUUGAGGAGAAAAAAAAUAGAAUUAUAAAAAGUUUGUGUAUUUUUAUAGAUUGAAAAAAUAGUCUGUGUGGAUUUCUGGCAAUGCAAAAAGUUUGUGUGAAUUUCUGGCAAAAUUAAAUAGUUGAUGUAUUUUUUUAGUAUUUUUUCCUACAAAAAAUUAACGCUGUUUAUUGAUUCCGUUAUGUAUGUUAAUGGCCGUGAAAUUAGAGGGGGAAAUGAAACUUUAAAAAACUUAUGUAUUUUUAUGCAUCGAAAAAAUAGUUUGUGUGAGUUUUUGGCAACGCUAAAAGUUGGUGGAUGAUUCUUCCAAAAAUUAAAUAAAUGAGGUACUUUUUGGCAUUUUUCUCGAAAGAAUAAACCUUAGAAAUUUUCUCUUUAAAAUACAACCAAAUUCAAAAUAACGGAUUUUGGGCAGUGGCACAAAUUGGUAAAUAAACGGAAAAACAAAGGCAUUGUUGGUUUGGACUAAAUAGUGACACACAAAAAAAAUGGAAAACAGAGAGUCGAAUCAAAAUCAAAAUCAAAAUCAAAAUCGAACCUGAAAUUGAAACGAAGUCAGAAACUAAUUUUUGUGUUAAAUUGAGCCUGAGGGAAAUAAACAAUGGGCUUGAUUUGGGCCUUCAGAUUCUAUCCAAAUAAUCUCCGGCGAGAUUGACUUAAAGUAAUAUGAUUAAUACAAGUUACGAGUCAAGUGUGGAAGCCAGGAAAGUGUGUGGAAGCAUUGCCGAUGAGGCGAUGAAGAAGAAGCAUGUUAUCUUUCGCCAUUGUCGAAGCACAAUAAAGAAAACCCUAGUAAACUUCUCUCUAAUGUAUACCAAAUUUCAUCUUAUGUGCCUCUGUGGUAUAGUAAAUAACGGAUUAUGAAUUUUAUUUGGACCUAUAAGUAGUGGCGGAUCUAGAAAAAAGUUUAGUUGGGAGCAUAAAUUAUUAAUAUGGAACACUUUAUUUUUACCACUAUAUUAUAUUUAUUUUUAAUUAAAUUUAAUUAAAUAUUUAAAAAAAUAAAAAAGAAUGAGGCACUAGACCCCACUUCUACUACAAUUGCUCCGCCCCCGCCUGUAAGUAUCUUUACAGUUGACACUUAGAAAUAAUAUCCGACCGUUAGCGGGAUACUUCCUCUAUAUUUUUAAAAGUCAAUUUCGUAUUAAGUCUACCGAGAACAAAACUUGAGUACAAUGCUUGUGUUAAGUUCAUAAACGAACUCCAAAGUGAAAGAUUCUCCUAACUUCACGCCAUUAGCUUUACAAAACUCAUCCCAACCAUUUUCUAAAGCAACAGUUCCAUCUCUGAUGGACAAUAGAUAUGCAGACCAUUCCACUUUGUUUUCACCUAAAAUAGUUAUCUCUCCAAGUUUGUUGAUGCCAUUAGCCUUCAUGAAUUGACUUGGAAGAUGCUGCAAAAAUAUAUUUGAACAAACACAUUUGGUUACCAAAUAGAUUCAAGACAGAAACUAACUCAUCUCUAAGACAAGAGUUGUUUGAUGAACUUUGAACUUACCAGUAUACAGGCUCUGACGUCUUCAGGUGUGAGUGUUAAUGUCAAGGUUCGGUUUUGGAUUGCUGAGGAUGAAUCUCUGCUUCUAGGUUCUGUCGACUCUUUCUCGUUGGCUUUUGAACUGUUAGGGUUUGAAUGGACCAAUUUGAGCAUACGAGUUCCGUCUUCUGAUAUUAACUCCAUCUUGAAAGACUCGCCUGUUUUUAAGUCGUUUGCUUUAGCAAAUUCUUUCCAGUCGUUUCCCAAAUUCAUUCUUCCGUCUCCAUCCUGUACAAGAUUUACCAUCCACUUUUUACCAUCUUUUCCCAACAGAUCUAUCAUUCCAGGCUUGUUCAAGCUAUUCUCUCUCGCAAAUUGUGCUGGAAGAGUCUGGAAAAGAUUUGAAAGAAGUAUACGUAUAAUACCAAUAAGAGUACAAGAGAAAAAACUAAUCAUCUGAAUUCUGAAACAAGAGUUGUUUGAUAAACUUACCAGUUUACACUUUGAGUAACUGGAAGGUGUAAUUGUUAAUGUCAUUAGUUGUUUUUGGGUCGAUGGAGUUGAAUCCCUCCCUCUCAGAUGAUUCUUCUCUCUUUCCAUUGACAUGGUCUCCUCUUUCUUAUUUGCCUCAUUGUUGUUUUUCUCUUUACUGUUCUCGUCUUUGCUUAUUUUCUCACAGCUGCUAGGUUCUAUGGGAAGAGACUUUUUCUGGUCUGUUUCUGAACAUUCUCCUCCUGAUCCUCUGUCCAUGCUACAUUCCGCAUGGCACAAGCUGAGCACAGGAGUUGUGUCUUCCCAUGUCAACUUGAGCGUGAAGGAGUUGCCAGUCUUUAACCCGUUUGCUUUAGCAAAAUCCAUCCAGCCUUUUCCCAGAGUCAUUAUUCCUGUUCCUUUGUCCCACAGCAAUUUCGUCUGAUGUUUAAUGCCAUCUUUCCCUAACAGAAUAAUCAUCGCAUGCUUGUUGAUGUCAUUCUCCCUCGUGAAAGCCUUUGGAAGACGCUAUGGAAAAUUUCAAUAAUAAGCAAAAAAAUGUGUCAAAACCAUUAAAAAAGUGGUUACAGUAAAGAAACCAACCCCCUGAGAAAAAGUUGUUUGAUGUUCUUACCAGUAUACACUUUUUGACACUAUAAGGUGUCAUUGUUAAUGUCACAGAUUGUUUUUGGCUCGAUGGAGUUGACUCCCUUCCUCUCAGAUGAUUCUUCUCUCUCUCCAUUGACAUGGUCUCCUUGUUUUCCACUUUACUGUUCUCGUCUUUGCUUAAUUUCUCACAGCUACUAGGUUCUAUGGGAAGAGAAUUUUUCUGGUCUGUUUCUGAAGAUUCUCCUCGGUCAAUGCUACAUUCUCCAUGGCACAAGCUGAGCAUAGGAGUUGUUUCUUCCCAAAUCAACUUGAGCGUGAAAGAGUCGCCAAUCUUUAAGCCGUUUGCUUUAACAAAAGAUUUCCAUCCGUUUCCCAAAGCCGCUUUUUUUCCUUUGCUGAAUAGCAAUUUCGUCUGCUGCUUUAUACCGUCUUUGCCCAGAAGAGUAAUCAUCCUAGGCUUGUUGAUGCCAUUCUCUCUCGUGAAUUUCCUUGGAAGAGGCUGUGGAAGAUUUAAGCAGAAAAGAAAAAGUGUCAAAACCAUUAAAAGGUACAAUAAACUAACAACACCUGAAACCAAAGUUGUUUGAUAGACUUACCAGUAUACACUUUUCAACACUAUAAGGUGUAAUUGUAAAUGACAAAAAUUGAUCUUGGCUCGAUGCAGUUGAAUUCCUCCCUCUCAGAUGAUCCUUCCCUCUCUCCAUUGACCUCCUCUCCUCUUUCUUAUUCUCAUCUUUUCCGAUCUUAUCUUUUUUGCUAGGAUCUUUGAAAAUAGACUGUUUCUCGACAGCUUUUGAAAACUCUUUUUCCUCUCUGUCACUGGCGGAUUCUGCAGAGCACAAACUAAACACAGGAGUUGUGCCUUCCCAUAUCAACUUGAGCGUGAAGCCUGACUCUAAGCCAUUUCCUUUAACAAAUUCUUUCCAACCCUUUCUCCACCUCAUUUGUCCUGUCUUGUCCAGCAGAAGGCUUGUUGGCCACUUUCUACCAUCUUUACCCAACAGAUAUAUCUCCCCACCCUUGUUGAUGCCAUUCUCCAUCACGAAUGGCUUUGGAAGAGUCUGUAGAUAUUUGAACAGAGGACGAAUAAAUAUGCAGUCAAAACCAGUAAGUGCAGGAGCAAGAAAUGUUUUUUUGAUGAACUUACCAAUCUACGAAUUCUGUCAUAAUCAGGUGGAAGUGUAAAUGUUACGAAUCGCUUACGACAUGGUGAAUAUGAUGCAUAUGAUAAAACUCUCCGUUUCUUCUUUUCUGUCUCCAGUAUUCUGCACUCGUCUUCAUUCCUCUCCCCUUCUAUGUCCGCUUCCUUGUUACUAAGUUCUGUGGAAAGAGAUACUCUGCCGGUAGCUUCAGAACAGUCUCUAGGCCUUCUAUUAUCGAUAGAUUCUGUAGGGGAGAAACUGAGCACAGGAGUUUCCCCGUUCCCCACUAGUUUAAACGUAAAGAAGCCUCCUGCUUUUUUACCGUUUUCUUCACAGAAACGUCUCCAACCUCGGCUUAUGUAAAAAGUAUCAGAUGUUUCGUCCAACAUCAGAUCCAAUGCCCAUGAUCUUUCCCCUCCAUCUAUUAAAACAAUCUUGCGGCAUUUUAUUGUAAUGCCAUUUGAGCUUGUGAAAUGUUGUGGAAGAUACUGCAAACACCAAAUUAACAAAAGAGGCAUAUUAAAAAAGGUUCAGCAUUUGCUCAUGAGUCUGUGUUUAGAUUUAUGACUAAACAACUUAGCAAUAAUAUAUAACUAACAUUAACAAGACCUUUUUUUUAGUUACAUGAUUCUAUAUGCAGGAAAGUAAGCAAAUAGGACAAACCGAACCAAUCCAAAUGAAACCAUGCAUAAAUCCAGUUUUAUUUCGGCAAGUUUUCUAUCACACCAAAGUAAACAAGGAUACACCAAAUCCAACUUGAAGCUAAAAUAUAUAGUCACCUAAGACGUUUUAUCAGACCGAACCAAAACAAAAUAGAAACACAGAAACAGUCGUUCAUGUAGUGAGUGAUCAAACUACAAUACCAGUGUAUCUGUGCAUAGAUUCGAAGCCGUGACAUUGGCCACAAAACAAGAGUUGUCUAAUGAAGAAGAAUCCGCUUCUGUUUCAUCAACACUAUUCUUCUUCUUGACUUUCUUCUUCUUAGGAACCUCUAUUUCAUAAACAUCCCACAUGUUACAACCUCAUAUACAAUCUUCUUUUUAAAAAGAUUCAUACAAGUAAAAUUACCUUCAUCAUCACCAACAUCUGUUCUUGGAUGCUUAUGCUUUUUCAAUAAAAAGUCACCUGAUUUAGAAGAAGAAGAAAAAGAAAAAAAAAACCGCCCAAAUUGAUUUUUCUAAUACAGUUUCGUCUUUGAAAACAUUGAUUCUUGUCCAAACGCAGAAGAAAGACUUACAGUUGUUGUUGUUCUGAUCCUUGUUACUUGGAAACGUUACGUCACAGCAAUUUGGUCCUAAAUCCGAAACAUGAAAGACCAAAUCUCCUUCAUAUCUGACAAGGACGACGUCGCCGGUUCGAAAGUUAUUAGCGACGGCAAACUCUUCCCAGCCGUCACUGAGUCUCCGACCAGUCAUCUUCGCUCUCCAGGUUAUGUCCGACGAGUCAGAUUUCAGCUCAGCCGUCGUCUUCUCCACACUCCUCUUUCCUUCAACAUACAUAGAGAAGAAGUCUACAGGAAUCAUCUACAAACAAAAUAAAUGAAUCAGAAGAAUCUCUCCACUGAAUAAGCUGAUUCGGAGAGGGACAAAAGAGAGAAGUAGACAGAGUGGUUACGAGGUGAGUGUGGAAGCCAGGGACAAGUGUGUGGAAGAAUUGCGGGUGGAGAAGAAGCGUUGAUUUCGCCAUUGUUGAAAGCACUUCAACAGAAACCAAACAAGAAAAAAAAAAAAAAAACCCUAGAAAAUUUCUCAGGUAACACAAAAGAAAAAUAUUUUCCUUUUCGUCUUGACUCUAACGGAUUUUGGCGGUGGCAAAAAUUGUUAAUUGUUACGAAGGCAUGUUUUUUUUCGUUAACUAAAAAAUCCGAAUUAUAACACAAGGACACUGUCUCUCUGUUUUCAAGCAGAACUUGAUCAGAAGAUUCAUUUCUUUAAUCCAGUUAUGAAGCAAAAGUAAACGCAGGAAAUAAUCUCUAAAACCUAUGAAGGCAAUAAAAGUCUCUGAAGAAUAAGCAAAGGAGUUUACUUUUCUUGCUGCAUCGUCCUCAAAAUCGUGAUUAAUACAAACAGAUGAAGCAGCAACGAUUGUAGAGCAAUAACACUCCAAACAUUUCAUGUAAACAACAGAUGGUGUCUAACUCAGCAAGAAGAUGCAUCUCAAACCCUGGCCAUGGAGUUUCAGUGUCAAUGGAUGCUACAAUAGUACCAGCAUUAGCCACAGUCAAGAAUUUUGUGGAUUUUGGAUGUCCAUAAAAAGCUUGGAGUGUUAAGAUUCUCGCCUGCAUUUUCUGCUCACGCUAGACUCAAAGUCAAAGGUGAACCUUACCAUCUUAAUGGUAAUCUCAUGUGUGCCAUAAAAUAAAACAGGUUCUCCUUAAGAAACCAUUGUUAGAAAGCUACUCAUGGUCAAGACACCAAACCAAGUCGAUUCCAAAUGUAUCCAUAUAUAUAUACCUUGAGCAUCGUUCCGUGCUAUAACCACAUAAAAAAAGUUUUGAAAAAACUUGGUACUAGUUACCAGUUAUGUAUUUGGUCUCCGAAGUUGGAGCAAAACUUAAAUACAUGAUCUGUGUCUUCUCUGGGAAUGUAUUCCAAAAUGUAAGAUUCUCCUACCAUCACGCCAUUAGCCUCACAAAAACCUUUCCAACCAUUUCCUAAAGCGACAGCUCCGUCGUUUGAUAGUAAAUAUGCAAACCAUUUCAUCCCGCUUCUACCCAACAUAGUUAUCUUUCCAGGCUUGGUGAUGCCAUUAGUCCUCAUGAAUUGGCUAGGAAGAUGCUGUGAGAUAUUUGAACAAACACAUUUCGUUAGCCAUUAGAAUUCAAAACAGAAAGUCUAACCCACCUCUAAAGCAAGAGACGUUGAUGAGCUUACCAGCUUACAAUCUCUGACAUCUUCAGGUGUAAGUGUUAACAUCACGAUUCGGUUUUGGAUUGCUAAAGAUGAAUGCACUCUUCUAAGAAGAUCUUUACUUUUCUCAAACUCCCCUGAGCUACUCCCUUCUCUAUUGUUCUCUGCUUUCCUUGUCUUGUUCCCACUGCUACGUCCUGUGGAAAGAGACAGUUUUGAAAACUCACUUUGCCCUCUAUCAUUGCUAGCCUCUAUACGGAGCAAACUGAGCACAGGUGUUGCGUCUUCCCAAAUUGACUCCAACGUGAUGGAAUCGCCCGUCUUUAAGCCGUUUGCUUUAGCAAAAUCUUUCCAUCCCUUUCCCAAACUCAUUCUUCCUCUUCUUUCUAGUAGAAGGCUUACCAGCCACUUUGCACCAUCUUUACCCAAAAGAGUUAUAUCUCCAGGCGUGUUCAUGCUAUUCUCCCUCAUGAAUUGCAAUGGAAGACGCUAGAACAGAUAUGAACAGAGAAUUAAAAGACGCCAUUACGUUAUGCGAUAAAACGAAUAAAGUUUGAUUGAUGAACUCACCAGUCUACCAUGUCUGAGACUGUCAGGUGUGAUAGUUAAUGUCAGAAAUCGGUUUUGGCUGGGUGAACUUGAAUUGCUCGAUAUUAGUUGAUUCUUCUCUCUCUCCCAAGAGGUGCUCUCCUCUUUGCUGUUCUCAUCUUCGUUGUUAUAGGAUAUGCUGAUCUCUUUUCCGCUGCUAGGUUUUAUGGGAAGAGGCUCUUUCUCCCUUGCUUCUGGACACCCUCCUUCUUCUCUACUGUCAAUGCUAUACUCUGCAGGGCACAAACUGAGCACAGGAGUUGUGUCUUCCCAAUUCAACUUGAGUGAGAAAGAUUCACCCGUCUUUAAGCCAUUUGCUGUAACAAAACUUUUCCAGCCGUCUCCUAAAGUCAUUCUUCCUCUGCUUUCCUGGAGAAGAUUUGCCAGCCAUUUAGAACCAUCUUUUCCCAACAGAUAUAUCUUCCCAGGCUUGUUUAUCCCAUUCUCCCUCGUGAAUUGCAUUGGAAGACGCUGUAGGGAUUUGAACAGGAGUCAAAACCAACACGAGUAGAAUAGAGAAAACUAACCCUCUGAGUAAGAAGUUGAUAUGACGAUCUUACCAGUCUACAAUUUCUGACAUUGACAGGUGCAAGUGUAAAUGUUGCUAAGUGCUUCUCGUUUGAAGAAUAUGAUGAGAUUAUCUGUGUCGGACUAUUCUUGGGACAUUUCCUGUUAUGACCAUCUGAGCUUGAGAAAUCUUGUGGAAGAGGCUCUUGUGGAAGAGGCUGUAUAUGCACAAGUUUCAGAUCAAAUCACUCAAGACUGGUCAACGAAAGAAGGAUCACUAAAUAUAAGGAAUCAAUACGAUGGCAAUUUAGUAAGCGUCGUGAUUUUAUAAUGAAACACAUCUACGAGGGGGAAAAUAAACCAAAUUAAAGCAAACCAUAUCAAAUCAACCAAACAACACCAAAAUGAUAAUUGGUCUUACUUCAGCAAAUAUGCUCAGAACCCAGAGUUAAUCAAACUGACAAAAUGCAUAUAGCUACGUAAGAUGUUACAAUCAACGAAAACCAAAUUAUAUUGUUGAUUAGGUAUCUUAAAACCAAAAUGCCUAUCCCUAGGAGGAAACAGUUCUCAUUCAGGACCAAUUUGCACAUCAAUUGGACAAAAAGGGUUCAGGUAUUUUAAGCAUUUCCUCAUGUGACAAAAGCUGUAGAACACUUUAUCUACUUUCAUGACUGACCAAAACUGAAAUUCCUACCCCUAGAAAUCAGCUAAUGAGUAUGCAAAAAAUUUUAGCAAGAGAUUUCAAUGGAGUAAAGUAAACUGAAUUAUAUAAUCACCAGAGCAUUUGUGUGUAGAUUUGAAGCUGUCACGUGUGCUACAAAACAAGAGCGGUCUGAUGAAAAAACUGCUUCUGUUCCUGGGUUGUUCAACUUCACUUUCUUCUUUCUCGGAAGCUCUGUAUAAGAAAUACCCCACCAAAGCAAGUGAUUUUAGAUCAUCUAGAUAUGAUACUACAAGAAAAUAGAUGAGAACUCAACUGAAUAUACCAAUGUUGUACUGAUCAUCACCAUCAUAUGAUGAAAAGCCUGCUUCUUUUCUUAAGUGCGGAUGCAUUUUUAACGAAAUGCUACCUGUAUCAGGAAAAAAAAAACCCCUAAAAUUGUUUUCCAUCAUCCAGAUUAACUUCAGUUCGAAGGAUAGCUAUAAUCAAUCUUACCAAUGUUUUCCUGAUAAUGGUUUCUGAUUGGAGUUAGUACAUCUCGAAUCUCACAGCAGCUGGGUCCGAAAUCUGAGACCUGGAACAUCAUAUCUCCUUCAUGUCGGAAAACGGCGAUCUCGCCAAUUCGAAGAUGAUGAGAAACACCUAUUUCAGGUGAAACUGUUGACUGGAUUGCUAAAGACGAAUCUAGCCUUCCAAGAGGAUACUUUCUGCUCUCUCCACUGCUAAGUUCUGUGAAAAUAGUCUCUUUCUCUCUUGCUAUUGAGUACUCACCUUGUUGCCGUCCAUCACUGUUAGGCUCUAUACGGAGCAAACUGAGCACAGGAGUUGCGUCUUCCCAAAUUGAUUCCAACGUGAUGGAAUCGCCCGUCUUUAAGCCAUUUGCUUUAGCAAAAUCUUUCCAUCCCUUUCCCAAACUCAUUCUUCCUCUUCUUUCCAGUAAAAGGCUUACCAGCCACUUUGCACCAUCUUUACCCAAAAGAGUUAUAUCCCCAGGCGUGUUCAUCCUAUUCUCCCGCAUGAAUUGCAAUGGAAUACGCUAGAAAAGAUAUGAACGAAAAAUUCAUAUACCCUUUUGUUAUGCGAUAAAAUGAGCAAGAGUUGAUUGUUGAACUUACCAGUCGACCAUGUCUGAGACUGUCAGGUGUAAUUGUUAGUGUCAGGAAUCGGUUUUGGCUUGUUGACGUUGAAUCACUCCUUCUCAGAUGAUUCUUCUCUUUCUCCCAUGAGCUGCUCUCCUCUUUCCUAUUUUCAUCUAUGUUUUCAAUUGUCAUAAUUUCGUUUCCGCUGCUAGGUUGUAUGAGAAGAGACUCUUUCUCGCUUGCUUCUGAACACCCUCCUGCUCCUCUGUACAUGCUAUACUCUUCAGGGCACAAACAGAGCACAGGAGUUGUGUCUUCCCAUUUCAACUCGAGUGUGUAGGAUUCGCCGAUCUUUAAGCCGUUUGCCUUGACAAAUGAUUUCCAGCCGUCUCCCACUGUCAUUCUUCCUCUGCUUUCCAGGAGAAGGUUUGCCAGCCACUUUGAACCAUCAUUACCCAACAGAUAUAUCUUGCCAGGCUUAUUGAUGCCAUUCUCUCUGGAGAAUUGCAUUGGAAGACGCUGAAGAGAUUUGAACAGGUGUCAAAACCAAAUAAGAGUAGAAUAGAGAAAACUAACCCUGUGUAUCAACAGUUGGUAUGACAAUCUUACCAGUCUACAAUGUCUGACAUCGACAGGUGCAAGUGUAAAUGUUACAAAUCGUUUCUCACUUGACUCAUAUGAUUUUACCAUCCGUCUCGAACUAUACUUUUUGUCACAUUUUUUUCUAAUAGCAUCUGAGCUUGUGGAAUCUUGUAGACGAAAGUCCAAACACUAAAUGAACACAAGAGACAGAUCAGAUGAACCGGUGAAGGAAAGGGUCAUAAAUUAUAAGCAUUUCCUCCUCAUGAGAUCAAAGAAAGGGACAGAUCAAGUCGAUAUUUGGUUAGCUUCAUGAUUCUAUAUGAAACAAACAAGUCUAAGAGUGGGAAAGUAUACCAAAUCAAAUCAAACAAAACCAAAACGAAAUAUGGCUUUAAUUCAGCAAAUUUUCACUGAAACUCAAGUAAUCUGACCAAAUACAUAUAGCUACUACAUAAGUGUUACGAUCAACGAAAAACUAAAAUCAAAUCCUUGCUGUUUUAACCUUUAUAUUCAAACUGAACUUGUUACCAAAACCGACAUGUCCAUGCCUAGAAACAAAAGCUCACUAAGGACCCGUUUGCGUAUCACUUGGACAAAAAAGGUUCAGGCAUUUUCUCCAGCUACACAGCACUUUUUCUUGUUUCAUGAUUAACGGAAACAGAAAUGCCUAAUCCUAGAAACAAACAGUUCAAUCAGCUAGCAAGAGAAUGCAAACCCUUGAAGUAAAGAAAAAUUUGAAAUUCUAUAAACCAAAAAAGAAAUGCCUAAUCCUAGAAACAAACAGUUCAAUCAGCUAACGAGAGAAUGCAAACCCUUGAAGUAAAGAAAAAAUUUGUACGUACAUUCGUAGCUGAGACAUGGGCUUCAAAACAAGAGUGGUCUGAUGUAGAAAAUGCUUCAGUUUCUGGGUUGUUCUUCUUCGUUUUCUUCUUUCUUGUGAACUCUGCAUCAGAAAACACUCCACAUUUAAAGCUCACUCAGAUGCUUUUUAUUUUCUUGAAACAAUCCCUCACAAGGCAAAUAGUCUGAUGAAAAGAAGUGGACAUACCGAUGUUGUCAAGAUCAUCACCAUGACUUGAUAUAAAGCUUGCUUCUUUUCUUGGGUGGUGAUUGUUUUUCAUCGAAAUGUUACCUAAAACAACAAAAAGAAAUUACCUUUUUUUUUUUUAAUUUGAAUUCCACUCACAGUUUCGUCUUCCGGAAAAAAGCUUUGCAGUUCUUAUGAUCCCAAAGUGUAAAAUCAUACCGAUGUUGUUGAUUGUAGCAGGUACGUCUCGAAUCUCAGAGCAGUUGGGUCCUAAAUUUGAGACCUGGAACAUCAUAUCUCCUUCCAUGUCUGAGGAAAACGACGACUUUGCGGAUUCGAAGAUCAUGAGCGUCACAGCGAACUAUUUUCAGCCGACAGUGAGUACGAGAUCGAUGAGGGAAGCGUUGGAUUCGACGUACUUCAUAAGAAGCCCAAGAUUUGUUCUUUUCAGAGAAUGAGCGAAAUCGUUACUGUCGGAAACACACAACAAAAUCCCUAGAAAUUUUGGAGACGGAUGAUGAACAAUCAAAUCUUCGUUUAUUAUAUGAUUUUCAUAAUAAAACUAACAUAAAGUCCAAAAAUUGAUUCUUUAAACUCCGAAAACACAUACAUAUAUUGGUUAGCUUCUUUAACUUCACAAAAAGGCAAAGUUUGUAAACACUUGACUUUACAUGCUUUUGAUCAGUCAUUUUGUUUUCGUCUUAAUCUCAAGAGUUUGAAAAAAACUUAAACACAGGAGUUGUGACUUGCUUAUGGAUACACUCCAAAGUGAAAGACUCUCCUGUCUUGACGCCAUUAGCCUCACAAAAGCCACUCCAAUCAAGUCCCAAAGCCAUGAAUCCAUCUCUUGACAAUAGAUAAGCCGAGCACUUCGUUCCAUCUUUGCCCAACAUAGUUAUCUUCCCAAGCUUGUUGAUGCCAUUAGCCUUCAUGAAUUGACUUGGAAGAAUCUGCAAAGGAUUUCAAUAAACACAUAAUAGAAUCAAGACAGAAACUAACCCACUUCGACCAAGAAUGAAAGACUUACUAGUUUACAGUCUCUGACAUCUUCAGGUUUGAGUGUUAAUGUCACAAACUGAUUUCCGAUUCCUGAAGAUGAAUGUCUCUUCUCUUCUCUAUUGUUCUUGGCUCCUUGGGUCUUGUUCUCACCGCUAGGUUCUGUGGAAACAGACUCUUUCUCGCUAGCUUUUGAAUAGCAUUGUCCUUGUUGCCUUCCAUCACUGCUAGAAUCUGUAUGGACCAAACUAAGCAUAGGAGUUUUGUCUUUCCAAAGUGACUUCAGUGUGAAGGAUUCACCCGCCUUUACGCUGUUUGCUAUAGCAAAAUCUUUCCAGCCCUUUCCCAAACUCAUUCUUCCUGUGGCGUUUUCUCGUAGAAGAUUUGCCGGCCACUUUGUACCAUCUUUACCCAACAGAGUUAUCAUCCCAGAUUUGUCCAAGCCAUUUUUUCUCAUGAAAGACAGUGGAAGAUGCUGGAAAAGAUUCAAACGGAGGAGUUUUUUCACGUCGUUUUAAUAUAUAUAUAUAUACAUGAGUGAAAGUGAUCAAACUAAUUAACGCUCUGAAACAAAAUUUGAUUUAUGAACUCACAAGUCUACAAUUUCUGAGGCUGUCAUGUGUAACUGUUAACGUCACAAAUGGGUUUUGGCUUGGUGAAGGUGAAUCUCUAAAUCUCAGAUGAUUCUUCUUUCUCUCCUCUUUGCUGAUCUGUUUACCACUGCUAAGAGGAGACACUUUCUUGCUUGCUUUUUCUCUUCUACUCUCUGUGGAAACAGACUCUUUCUCGCUAGCUUUUGAAUAGCAUUGUCUUUGUUGCCUUCCAUCACUGCUAGAAUCUGUAUGGACCAAUCUGAGCAUAGGAGUUUUGUCUUUCCAGAUUGACUCCAACGUGAAGGAUUCGCCUGCCUUUAAGCCGUUUGCUUUAGCAAACUCUCUCCAGCCUUUUGUCAAUCUCAUUCUUCCACUUCCGUCCCGUCGAAGAUCUGCCACCUGCUUUGUGCCAUCUUUUCCCAACAGAGUUAUCAACCGAGGUUUGUCCAAGUCAUUUUCUCUCAGGAAUGGCAAUGGAAUAAACUGGAAAAAAUUUAAGCGGAGAAUAUAAGUGUGAUAAAAUUAGCUAAUCUUCUAAAACAAGAGUUGAUUGAUGAGCUCACAAUUCUACUGUCUCUGAGGCUGCACUGUGGAAGUGUCAAUGUCACGAAUCGGUUUUCGAUUGGUGAAGUUGAAUCUAUACAUCUCAGAUGAUUCUUCUUUCUUUCCAACUCCAUACACGAUUCUUUACUGUUCUUGUUUGUUCCAUCAUUGAAAGAUUCAGUGGAACAGAAACUGAGAAAAGGCGUUUCACUGUUUCCAACUAGUUUGAAAACAAAGAAGCCUCCUUCUUUUCUACCAUUUUCUUCACAGAAACUUCUCCAACCUCGCGUUAUGUAGAAACUAUCACAUGAUUUGUUGAACCUCAGAUCCAGUGCCCAGGAUCUUUCUCCUCCAUCUGUUAAAACAAUCUUGCGGCAUUCCCUUUUAAGAACAUUUGAGCUUGUGAAAUCUUUUGGAAGAUACUGCCAAACAAAAAAAAAAGAUUCAGACAUUUUCAGUCUUUUCUCAUGACACCAAGCUGUAUAACACUUUGUCUUAGCGUCAUGACUAAGCAACUUAAUAAUGAUUUAGCAAAAGUCACUUUCUUUAGUAUCAUGAAAUAGUUAAUAAGCAAAUAGGCCAAAUCAAUGUAAUCCAAAGCAAACCAAACAGAAUCGAAAUGAAAUUUGGUUUUACUUCAUUAUACACGCCAAAGUAAACCAAACGAAACUAAAAACAAAUUUAGAAAAUGCAUACAUUUACCCAUAUAUGUCUUAGAAAAUCGAACCAAAACCAUAUUGAAAUUAACUUUUGAUUUGAUUUCAACAGGUUUUGUCUCAGACUGAACAACAAUAACUGUUAGCAUGUUUUGGUUUAGAAAGUGACUUAACCAAACUAUGCAACAACAAAAAAAGUAUGAGCACCAGAGCAUCUGUGUGUAGAUUAGAAGCCGUGACAAGGGCCACAAAACAAGAGUGGUCUGAUGAAGAAGAAUCAGCUUCUGCUUCUGACUUGUUCAUCUUAGCUUUCUUCUUUCUCGCAAGUUCUGUAUCAGUGGAAACAAACCAAACAUGUCAAAAUCUUUGAUAUUUAGUUUUAAAACCUCACCAAAGCAAGUAAUCUUGGACAAUACAACAAGAUAGAACAGAACUGAAGUUACCGGUGUUGUCAUCAUCACCACCAUAGUCUUCUGAUCUUGGGUGCUGAUGCUUCUUCAUUGAAAUGUAACCUGCGUUAAAACAUGUAGGAAUAUGAGAGGUAUUUGUAUAUAGACAAGACUAAACAAAAACUUUCACCAAAAAAAAAAGAAGACUAAACAAAAACAUCACAAAUUAUUUGAAAGUUUCAAGAUUUCGCAGUAUGAUUUUUGUAUUUCCAAGACCAGAAUCACAAAAAUCCCUAAAAUUUAUUUCGAGUCCCACUUUCCUCUCACAUAAAAACUUCAACUUUGCAAGCUCUCUGUCACGAAAAUAUCCCAUACGCAGAAAUUUCGUUGAAAGGAAAAAGAACCAAACUUUACCCAUCUUGUCCUGAUCAUUGUUGCUGCUCGGUCCUAAAUCUGACAAAUGUAACACCAUCUCUUAAGCCGCUAAUAUCUUUUUUCUUUCCACAGAGCAUCUUCUACUCCACACUUCUUUCCUCUGGAAGCUUCGAGAAGAAAAAUACAGGAAUCGGCAAUGUCGAAAGAUCUUCAACCAAACCCUAGAAAUUUCUAGGCGAAAAGAGAUUUCUUUUCAGGACAGAGAAGAAAAAAACACAACUUUUUGUUCUUCUCAGGGAGCAAAUGUGAGUGUUAAGCAUUACAUCUUUGGAAAAAUUCGAAAUCUCGGCGCGGAGAGUAUACAAAUGAACAGUUGUAUUCUGAUGGAUGAUUUGUUUGUAUUUGGGGGAUUUGAUCGGACAAAAUCAAAAUAUUUUUAUAUUCGGAUGAGAAUUUAAAAGUAUCUAACUUCUAACCCGAUAAAAGCUAACUGGGUUUGUAGUUUGGUUUGAUUUUGGUUUGGGUUGUAAAUGUUUUUUUCUUCAUUUAAAAUAUUUACUAUUUUUUACCCUGUGCUGAUGCACUGGAAUUUUUUUUUAUUAAUCAAGAUUUUAAUGUAAUUUAAAUUUUUUUGGAAUAUAAUUUUUCUAACAAGUGACAAAGAUUUAUUUUUGUUGUUUAGAUAUAAUUUUUUUUAGUAUUAUUAUAACUACAAUCAUAAAAACAUAAUUUUAACCCGAUCAUUCUAUUAAUUGUAAAAAUACAGUUAUUAUAAAAAUAUAAUUCUAUUCUAACUCGUUCAUUCUAUUAAUCCGAAAAUGAUUGUGGUUAGAAAACAUAAUUAUAUUAUGUAUAUUCAUAUUACUAUAUAAUAUAAAUAUUUAUUAAUUUUAAAAUACUUUUUAGCUUAAAAUUUUGAAUGUUUUGAUAACUUAAUCCACAUAAAAACAUAAUUAUUAAAAAAACAAAACUAAUUCGCCCCAUCAAAUUACCAUGUAAUAUAAAUAGUUAUUAAUUUUUAAUAUGUGAAAUUUUAGACUGAAUAAUUAUGAUUAAAAAAAAUACAAGAAUAUAUUUUUUAAUCAUAUGUGUCAUUAUGAAAAUAUUAUUUAGAUUUCAAAUGUUAAAUUAAAUCUAAAUUAUAUUUGAGGAAGUCUAAAAACAAUUUAAAUUAAUAUCUAAUUUUUAUAAUUAAAUUUAAAAUCGCAAUUUUUUGAAAAUAUUUUAAAUUUUAAAUUAAAUAUAACCUAUAUAUUAAGAAAAUCUUUUGAAACCUAAAUUAAUAUCUAAUUUUAGAAUUAGAUUUAUAUAUAAAAGAAAAUGUAUUUUUUUUUAACACUGAAAACUUUUAUUAAAUUUCAAACCAAACCGAGACAAACAUUAUUUUGUUACAUCGAAAACCAACCUCACACAAAACAGUGUUCGGUUUUCCAGACAGCUUUUGUUAUAUCAAAGAAACAUCCUCACACAUCAGUGUUCGGUUUUUCAGACUGCAAAAGUUCGCGCAGCCAAACUGGUUCUCCCUGAGCCACAUAGGAUUGGAUUCUAUCUUCAUUUAUGACACUCCUAGCCAUCUUGAAAGCAGGUAGGUUAGUCAUAUGGCUCUCCUUUGUCCAAUUCCAUUCCACAAUCCCCUGUAAGGCUUCUCUAAACUCUGCAACCUGGCCUCUAAAUGCCGGCCACGCUUGAGGACGUUGAAUAGCAUCCGCUAUAUCCGUUGCUUCCGUUUCAAACAACACUUUCUCCAGCCGAUGACUACACAUUCUUUCAAUUGCCCAUUAAGGACUAGUUGCCUUUGCUUCUCGUAAAUUAUCAAUAUUUCCAAAAGCUCUCCGGCUAUGUAGGAGCACAUUACCUUCGGCAUUGCGAACAAUCCAUGCCGCACCACAGAGGUGUUUCCUUCUUGACCACGCAACCGCUAUGUUGCAUUUGACAUAUCCUAAAUCAGGAGGAAUCCAUCUCCGGUUUUUGGCGACACCACCAGAGUGGCCUUCCACUCGUUCGAUGUCGUGUCUCUCUUGCACCACAAACCAGUGAUUCGAAUCAUCCCAUACUUUCUCUGCUGUUUGUGUGGCUGUAUAAGCCUUUCCCUCGAAAAUAUAAGCAUUGCGAUUUUUCCAUAAUUGCCACACGAUCCAUGGAAAGCUUCUCCUUAUCUCCACCGGAAUCCGUUGGUCCUUUUGGCAUUGGAACAAAUAUGAGAAAUUCACAAAGACUGAGCUUGUAUGAAAACCUUCACUUGGAAAAGGGAAAUUUGUCUGCGCCCAUACUUAUCUUGCCAAUGUACACUCAAAGAGAACAUGGUUGAUUGAUUCACCAUUUCCCUCGCAGAUCUGACACACCUCAUCCACCACUAAACCUCUGGCUUUCAAUCCAUCUGAUACCGACAGAGCAUCACUCAGCGCCUUCCACAUAAAAACUUUGAUUUUCGAGGUAGUUUUCACCUGCCACACUUGUGCCUUGAGCGGGUUAAGGGAUGGAUGUACCAUGGCCUCUGUUCUCACUUCCGAUUGUCUUAGUUUCCUCCCCAACCAAUACCCUGAUUUAACCGAAUAUUCCCCACUCUUGUUAUAUACCUAUUCAAAACUAUCUUUCUUUCCAAAGGCUGGUUUUUGUUGGAGAAUUCUGCCAACAUCUUCAGGCACAAUCACAUCGUCGAGCUUUCCUCUGUCCCAGGUUCGAGUUUGAGGAUCAAUGAGAUCCCUCACCAUCAAGUUUAAGUCCUAGAACAAUUGUCGUCUAAAAGGAGCUCGAGGGUUUUCAUCAAAAAUCCAUCGAUCAAGCCAUACAUUGAUUGGAUAAUCUUACAAUAAAAUAGGAUAAUCUUAAAAAAGUUUUUAAACAAUUAAUUUUUAAAAAACUUUAGAAAUGUUUGGUUGCAAGUACUAAAAGUGCUUAUGUUUUAAUAGAAUAGAUAUUGGAAUAUACAAAUACAUGAUCAGACAAAAUGAAAAUAUUAUAUUCGGAUGAGAAGUCUAACCGGGUAAAAGCUGGGAAAAAGGCCGAUUACUAUCAAAACACCAUAAACUGAUACCAAUUAGUACUCAAACAAUUUUGAUGCACUAAUCAGUACCUCACUUCUUAAAAUUGGUAAAUCAAAACCCCAUUAAAUUUGUUUUUUGCCAAUUCGUGCAUUGACUUUAGUUCUGUUAGUCAAUCCGUUAAUUUGCAAAAAGAAAUAUAGUAUGACGUUGUUUAGAUUUAAAAUUCUGGAAAAAAUAUAGCAAAACAACGUUGUUUGAAGAUUAUUAUAUUUUUAAAAAAUCAAACAAAACAUAUGUCUUCUUUCAUCAACUUGAAACCCAGAAAUUGGAGAAGAACAUCUAUAAAUAGAGUUUGGGUGGUGUUUGAAAUCAAUUCGGAAUGACUUCAUCGUAAUUCAAAGGCUUUCUCAGAGAUUCCAGGUAGGUUUAUGAUGUGAGUGCAGUGGGCAACACAAGUUUUACCCUAGACAAGCUGCAAGUGCACAACAAACACAGUAGUACUUAGGGAUCGAAUCCACAGAGAUCUGUGUGUUGAGGACUUCUAACUGAUGGUAAAAACAAUCGUAAACCUAAUCUAAUAAAAAGGGGUUUUGGUUUGUCACUAAAUCUAGUUAUGCAGAGAAUUAAAAAGCUGGAAAUAAAAAUCGGUUGAAAACUAUAUGAAAAACGGCAUUGGGUUCAAGGUUCAUCUUUAGGGUUCAUGUUAUAAAACACAAGGAAUUUAGGCAAGAAUUUUCUAUGACUCUGAAACUAUGAUAGACACAUGUAAGAUUAGCCAACUCUCGUCACUCUAAUCAUCUAAUCACUUGUUCAUGUCAAUUAACUCUCGCUCUUAUGCCAGAACAAGAUCAUGCUUUGUAGAUCAGAAUCCAUCUCUGCUUAUGUAUCCUCCGUAGGUAGCUUUCGUCUCCUACGAUGGUGAUGUCCAUAAGAUCGAGUUCAGGCAACCCAAAUACAACACUCUCGUGGCUGGGAUUAAACCUAGGAUUGGAUUCUGGGUGAUCAAUCCAGAAUUACCGCUUUGAGAUUUGGAUGAAUGGGAGAAUCAUGUUAAAAAUCGAAAUCCUUUUCCUAAAAACCUAGAUGUCAUUCGAACAUGGGGUCCCUUUGGAUUAUCUUUUCACCCAACUAGGUGACUACUCAGACAUGGCUGAGGUAGACAUCAUCAUCAGUUUUGAACUAAGAAGAAGAAAAGUAAAAAACAAAAGUUGCAGAAAAACUUCUCUUAUUGAAGGCAGAGUGGCAAUGGAGAGCUUCUACAAAUGCAUAAAAAUAAAACCUAAAACUACAAAUGAGUUCUCUCUCAAAGAGAAGAAAGAGGCUCUCUUACAAAAGACAUAAAAGUGAGUAUUUAUAGUGUUUCUCCAAGUCUUGGGCGUCUAGGGCUUGUAAAAUGGGUGCAGGAAGUGUCUUGGGCCUUAGUUGGGCUCCUAAGGUUUUGACAUAGGUCCACCGGGGGUGAAACCUCUUGAGCCGCGGUGGGAAGAAGGCUGGCCGCGGGUGAAAGCACUUGUGCUUGACUGGACUUGUGUUGAUCGGCCUUCAGUGCAUUGAUGAUAUCUGUAAAUCUAACCGUUGGACUGCUUUGAUUCCAAAAGUGUUCGAAAAAUGGUUGUCUCCUCUAUAAGUUCUCCAAAUUUGGGGAUGAUCAGACGGUGAGAAGGUUUUCAUUGGUUGUCUAACUUCUGACGGCCUGAAUUGAUCCAAAAAUGUACUUUUGCUCCAAAAUGCACUCUAAAGUCCCAAGUUUCCUGAAAAGCCUUUUAAAACUCCAAAACAUGGAAAACACUUAUAAAACCUUUAAAACUGAGUAAAAACACCUGCAUAAGAUACUGAAAGUGAUCCAUAAAAGUGGUCAAAAUCAGGUGUUAUCAGUUGAGAUAACAUAACAGAUUAUACUAAAGUCAAAAUGUUUCACCAUUACAUUUCCAAAACUUACUUCCGUUGACAAGCUCAAUGGAAUCAGUGUAUUGAUCCUUCCAUUUAGAAUUUAAAUACCAAUCUGAAACCAGAUCAUCAGCCUUGAACUUCUUCUAAUUGUCAAACACAACUCUUAGGGCGUGACGGCAUGGAAUCUCUGUUAGAUCCCAUCUCCUAAAUAUGCAUGUCUUUUCCUUCAUGUUAACUGUGUGAUUUUGGCCUUGCUCGCUCAUUUCAAAGAUACGAUCACGGCGAGAGAUUGAUCUACACCUUUUAACCUCUUUUUCCUUUUCUGAGAUGGCAAGUCCAACCUUCAGACUGUGUUUUCCUUUAUGUUUGCGAGUUUUUCUCCUUCUCAGCUCACUCCUUACUAUAGCCUGUCUUCUCACCAUCUCAAAACUCUGAACCACAGGCAUAGCAUGUGCCUUGUCAAUAGCUUUGUUAUAAGAUCGAUAACACCGUAUUUUUACCAUUUUUUCGGAUCGUUUUGAAAUACUUUUUCUAUGUUUUUUAUUGCUUUCAAGUACUUUUAUUACGUUUUUCUAGUAUUUGUAGUUCCAAGACUCUUUUCAGGAAAUUUAGGGAAAAACUUAACAAAAUGGAUAGAAGACCAGAUUUUCAGCUCAGAAUCAAACCGUCAGAAGUUCACCCCCGAUUGAAGGCCUUCUCACCGUCUGAUCCAGCUCAAAUUUGAAGAUUGCAAAGAUGGAACUAUCAGAUUUCCAGCACACUUUACAGCUUGACAAACCAACGGUUCAAUCAAAAGUUACGCGAAGAGCAAGAUGUCCCGUAAACCAGCCGACAAGCAUUUCCACCCGCGGCCAACAACCAUUUGACCCCAGUCAGAGGCUACCCGACCGCGGCCAAGCAUCCAUUCCCCGCGGCCACGCACUUUCUGACCGCGGCCAGCCAACUCCAAGUUAGAAAGCCCAUUUCUGAAGCCCAAAUCAUUUUCUAAGCCUCAAUUGCGGAACCCUAGACACCAUGGAGCAUUGGAGACUAUAAAUACUUAUUAUUUAGGUUGUUUUUAUGGAGAGAAGAGGAGAGACAAAAUAAUUUAGAAGAAAUUUACUUUAAGCUUUUGUUUUUAGGUUUAGGAAGAGAGAGAUCUAUCUCUUGAACCCUUGUUCUUUCUUUUUCAAUUUCGAUUAUUGCUCUACCUUUUAAUACUAUGUUUUUGAUUUCGUUCAUCGUGUCUGAGUAGUUUUAUUGUUGGGUCAAAGGGAUUUUUGAUGGGGAUAUAUAUGUACGAUGAGGAUUUCAUGAGCUAUUGAAGCCGAAUCUUAGAACUUUUUCUUAUGAAUUUACUUUUAAUGCAUGGGAGUAGCAUCAAGAACUACAAUCUGAUCCAGAUGCUUGGUGACACGAAAGUGUUCAUCCGGUGUCAGAUCUAGUUUGGGAGAGCAAAACAAACAUAGGAGUAACCUACCUAUGGGCGAUUUUUGAAUGCUAACGAGUCUUAAACACAAUGCAUAUUUUCUCUUCCAGGGCCAGAGUGGAAACCUACUGGUCAUGGUUGAGAGAGAUAGUUAUCUAUGAUCAUGACAGUGGCGUAUUCAUACGUCCGUGACUCUAGUUCGAAAAGUUUUAGCUAAGAUCUUAUUAAAUUUACUCUUUAGCAAUGUUUUGAAUCGUUCAUACCCCGGAGAAAACUUCCCUGAAACCCAGCGCCUCUUUUCUAUUGAUUUACAUCGAUUUUAUUUCAAGCUUUAGUUCAUCAUUUUCAUUCUCUUAAUCAAUUUUCAUUUAAGCAAUUAGGUUUAGCCGUUUUUCUUGUUUUUAGUCGAUUUCAUUAAGUUUAGUUUUUAGGUCAUUUUAAUUCCCGUAUUUUCUCGUUAAGAUUAGUUUUUACGUUUUAAAAACACCACCAAAACCCUCACAAAUAUCGCCUGGUUCUGGACUUCCUUACUUUAUAUUUCUUUCGAAGGUUUUUGCAGGAAAUAUCCUCUUUCCCUGUGGAUUCGAUCCCUAAGUAUUAGAAUCGAUCAGUUGUGCACUUGCGGCUAUUGAUUUCAUUUAGGGUAAAACUUGACAACCCUCUAGCAGAAAACACAUCAAGUUUUUGGCACCGUUGCCGGGGAAGGCACACAUUUUCUUUUCCGCAAAACCCUAAGAAAGGUUGGUAAAUCGACUCUAGAACCCUUUUUCUACAAGUUUUCGUUUUUGGUCCUCAUUGUUUCAGUUCCCAAAGCAAUGAACCCUAUAAAUAGAAGUCCCUACUACGAGGGAGGUUUUUACAACACUCCUAAGGCCACCAGACGCAGAGAAGAGCAGUACAUGCGCGAUCUUUACGACGAAGUUCGAAUCUCAGACCCAAACUACCGAGCAUACCUAGACGAGCCCUACGCACCUCCAAUGGCAAACCC